AAAUCUCCACUACGUUUUAGGACUGAAUGUACUAAAAAUAUAGCUGUUGUAGUUUGUAACCACUGUUAAUUUAACCAAUAAGGGUUAAAUGCGUAUUUUAAUUUCUUAAAUAUUUUUGGGAUAUUAUAAGUGAAAGCAUCCUUCAUUCGGUGAUUAAAAACUAAACUGAAAUAACUUUACCAAUAAGGUUCGAAAUCCCAAUCAUAACACAACAAAAGGAGAUGCAACUCUAGUUCUGAAAUACAUCGAAAACAUAUAUCAUCUAGUAUCAAAACCCCGAACAGCUCUCUCCCCACCAUCAACUCGAGUACAUGUGUCUGAAAAUACACAGAUACACCAAGGAAACUAAUAUCUAAUGGGGUCUGUGAUAAGCACACGAGUGGCUAUCUAGAUUCACGUAGAACUGAGACUGAAACUCAACAAUGAUGAGAGUGAACUGAGGAUAGAACAUAGGACUCUAUCUAAACAUACAUCUAGUAAAGUGACUAUGUGGUCCCGAUAUGAAUCUACCUACCAUCAACAACCCCUAACUGUGUGUGAAUGGGCUCAUGGUGGAUCCGACCAUGAAACCUCCCUAAAAUAUCGCGUGAGUAACAUCAGUAGGCGUACUCAACAUGUCCUUCCUGAGCCUGAUUAUAACCUGGGCGGUUGCGCAAUCCAAGGGUGGGUGACUAAUGCAUCAUAAUCAUGAACUAGUAUAUAUAUGCCUAUCUUGUCCUAUCAUGAAAUGUGAAUCAAUUGCCACAGUUCGAACGCCAAGAGCUUAUGCUCAAAAUUUAAUUAAUGUAUAGUAGAUCAAACACUACUAUACAGUUCUGAGAGCCCUCGCAUCAAAUCACACUGGGAAUCCAAUCAUUAGAUUUCUGCAAUCUAUUACAGUUCUACGCUUAUAAGGAGAAAAGUAACCCUAAACCCCCACCUCUAAUUAGCUUUCCCAGUUGAGUCUGAUCUGAAGCUGCCUUCCCAGAGCUCAAGCCUCCCGUCCUGAUUUACCUAAAGAGAUCAAUCAUAGGAUUGACAUCCCAAAAUCCUGGCUGUCAAGUUUUCCUACGUGGGUUUCAAACUAUAGAAUUAAGAGAGAAAGAAGAAGAUUGAUUACCUUCCCAUGCGUCCCCUAGCCUCUCUUACCCUCUAUCCUUGAUCCUGGCUGAUCAGCUCUAUCUUCUCCUCUUUCAUCGAUCGCCUUCAUCUCCUGGGAGAGACUCGCCGCCCGUAGGUUUCUUUUUGUUUUUGAAUUCUGAGUUGCAUGUCGUGAUUUUGGCUUUUAUAAUAACUCCACCAUGCCCAUGAUGAACUUACCACAACACCUAUGACUGCUUGACAGCUACGCCCGCAACCUAGUGAUGGUCACAACUAUGAUCUCCUGAUGAUCACGCCCUUAACUGACUGCUAACUAGGGUGAUGGUCUAUCUAGCAAAUAUAUCAUGUGACAGACUGACGGUCAUGCCCGUGAUUGUCCACUUGUCUAACCACAACUCAGCUUAUUAAACCCUGAAAUUAGGUUGGGGGUUAGGAUUACUUUUCUGUUUUAAACGUAGAACUAUACUAGGUUUUCAGGUAUUCAAUGAUUGGAUCUCAUUAUGUUUCAUAGCAAGGGAUCUCAAGACUGUAUAGUAGCGUGUGAUCUACUGCACAGGUGUUGUGAUGUGAUUAGAGCGAGGACUCUAGCGCUGUACAAUAGUGUGAUCUACUGUACAUGCAGUUAUUAAAUUUUGAGCAUAAGUUCAUAGCAUUUGAACUGUUACGUGCAAUUCACAGUUCAUGUUAGGACAUGAUUAGGCUUAGCUAAAUUAGCUCCCGAUUAUGAUUUGUUGGUCACCCACCCAUGAAUUGCGCAAUCCUUUAGGUUAUAAUAAGGUUCAGACAGGACGUGUUGAAUAUGCAUAUAGAUGUUGGUCGCAUGAUAUUUAGGGUGGUUUCAUGGUCUGAUCCACCAUGAGGUUGUCCGCUCACAGCUAGGGGUGGCUGAUGUUAGGUUGGUGCCUAUAAGACCACAGGGUUUACUAGAUAUCUUCAGUUCGACAGACGCGUCAUGAACCUCAAAGCGACCAGUGCUCAUAGUAGCUCAAUAUUGAAUAAUUUGGGCAGAUGCUUCUAUUCGGUGUUAGGCGUAUGUAAGUUGUGCUUCUAACGGAGGAGUUAGCCAUGGGCUUGGAGGAAAUUACAUCAAAGGCGUGAUGGAUAGACCACUAUGAGCGUGGCUAAUAGUGGGUAACUUCUGUGACAUAGUAACGACCACAUGCAUGAUUAGUCAUUGGCCACGGGCAUAAGGGGAUGUGUACCACAUGUGUGGUCAUAUGUACACCAAAGGUGUGGUGAUGUUAGUAACGGGCGUGGUCAGAUGUAUACCACGAGCAUAACCGAGGAUACAGCACUGGCGUGGCAUGUCUGCCAGAGUGAGUGCCACAAAUACCUUCGUAAACCUCUUCGAGUAUGUGUCGGGCCCCUUUUGCGUUCACACACCGGAAAAGGGUAAUACCAUGGUUUCGUUUGUAGAGGGUGGACCAAUUGAUAUAGAAUUCUAGGGCGAGUCUCUCUUAUGUCUUUUUGAAGUUUUUGUUAUACUCCUGGUGGGUAUUCCUUGCUUUGUAUAUAAGUUUUUAUGUCAUGGUACCAAGGUUUAUCGUCCGACUCUUCUUUCACGUUAGCACGUGAGAGGGAUCAUCUUAUGUUUUAUCUGAAUUUGAGGAAUGGAGUCAAGCUUUCACAAUGCGUAUAUCGAGGAUAGGAUAGCCAGAGCAUCAACGAUAUGUUUGUGGUAAGGGAUAAUCUUUCGGAUGUGUUCCAACUUGGUGUUAUUGAAGCUUUCCAUCAUUUUCAUGAUGAGUUUAUGGUAAGGGAAAAGAUUUUCGUUUCUUGUCUCCCACUCUCCUCUUAGUUUGUAGAUGACGAGUGAAGAAUCUAUGUAUACCUUCAAGUUCUUAAUCCCCAUCUUUAUGGAUGAUCGGAUACCAAGCGAGCAUGCCUCGUACUUUUUUUUAUAAAAACAUGCCUCGUACUCAGAGACGUUGUUGGUGCAAUAAAAGGUCAAAUUAGUUGUAAUGGGGUACAUUUUCCCUUUAGGAGAUAGGAACACUACACCUAUACCGUAUCCAAAGGCAAUAGAUGCCUCGCCAAAUUUCAUAAUCCAAGGUCAUUCUUCACCCUCGAUGUCUUCGUCUUCAUCAUCAUUCAAAACAGUAUCGUCGGGGAAUUCCAAUACUAAUGGGUUUUAGUUUGAUAUAGGAUGGUCCGCCUAGGUUGUCAGCGAUCAGAUUUCCCUUGGUUUCUUUCUUUGUCGUAUACAGGAUGUCUUACUCGGUUAGUUAGACCGGCACUUUGCUAAACGACCAGUGAGAGUGGGCUUCUCAAAGAUGUGCUUCAUGGGGUCGACUUUUGAGACAAGGUAUGUGGUGUAGUACAACUUCUAGCGUCUCAACCUUUUAAUCAUUCAUGUUAAUGCUCCACAUUUCCUUUGUAGGUCCGAGUAUCGAGAUUCAUAGUCGGUGAACUUCUUGAUGGUAUAAUACAUGGUGUGUUCCUUCUUUCCUGAUAAGUCUCUUUCGGCUAGCAUAGGCCCUAGUGAGUUCUCAAACACCUUUAAGUAAAAAAGUAGCAUUCUCCCGGGUGUGGGAGGGACUAAUACCGUUGGGCUUUGGAAAGUAUUCCUUAAUAUUUUCAAAUGCCAACUGGCAAUUAUCAUUCCACUUUACUGGUUGGUUAUCUCUGAGAAGUUUGAGUAUAGGCUAGCACGUCGGGGUUAGAUGCGAGAUGAAGCAACCAAUGUAAUUUAAUCUUCCUAAGAACCCACGUGCUUAUUUCAGCGUUUGAGGCAGCGAAAUCUUGAUGAUGGAUUAUAUUGGGUCCACCUUAAUUUCUCUCUCGCUUACUAUGAAUAUGAGAAGUUUCCCUCACAUGAUCCUGAAGGUUCAUUUCUCAGGGUUCGGCCUUAGUUCUUGUUUCUUUAACCUUUUGAACAUUUUCAGGAGCACUUCUUUGUGAUCUUCAUAACUUUUGGACUUGGUGAUCAUUUCAUGACUUUAUGUAUCAUAUCAUGAAAACAGUGACAAUUCCCCUUCAAUAGGUACGUCGCCCUGAAAAUAUAGCUAAACGACCCCUAAAGUGUUGUAAAUGUUGUCUUUUCUCUAUCCUUGGGGCACAUCUUUAUCCAAUUGUAGCCGGAGAAGCCAUCAAUGAAUGACAACAUUUGGUGUCUUGCCGUAUUAUCUACUAGCAUGUCAAUGUGGGGUAGAGAAAAGUUAUCUUUUGGGCUUGCUCUAUUUAGAUCUUAAUAGUUGACACAUUUGCACCUUUCCAUUUAUUUGGGAGAUGAGUACUAUGUUAGCCACCCAUUCCAAAUAUCAAAAUACUUGGAUAAACCCGCCACAUACUGCUUCUGCACUUCCUCGUUGAUUUUGAGAAGCCACUCCAUUUUCAUGCUUCCAAGUUUUCGCUUCCCGUGUUUUCACCCCUCCAUGGUUGGCAAGCAAUGUGUAACAAUACUUUUGUCUAGACCCGGCAUAUUCUGGUAUCAUCAUGCAAAGAUCUCUUGAUAUUCUAUUAACAGCUCUAUUAGCUCCGCUAGAAAGCCUGCAGACUCCUUUCCUCUUAUUCCAAAAUCCAAUCUAUAUCUUACUGCAUCUCUUUCUCGUUCUCUUCUUCAUCCCCGAUUUCCAUUUCGCAAAUUGGGUUAUCAAAGUUAGUUUAGAUAUCAUGAUAAUAGUUAUUUCUCCUACCCGUAUCUGUUACCCAGUUAAAGUUUGCGUGGAGAAGUUAAUAAGAGGAUAAAGGAAUGCAGUUUUAACACUAAGUGAUGGAAAGAACAUGAUUUUUAUUUAGGGUGUUUUAUGUAGAACACUGAUUUUCAAGUAGAAACUCAAAUACAAACACACGAAGGGAAAUUCUUAAAUCAAAAUGCAUGAAGACUUUUAUUAUUUUAAAAUGUGCUCGUGUUUAUUACUUUCCAUGCGGCCCCGGGAGUUUGAUGGUCGUCCAGUUGUUCAGGUCUUCACCCAGUUGUAGCUGUCACAGAAGAUCCUAUUACUGAUCCUUGUCGAGAUCAAUUGUGUUGAUAUUGAAAUUAUAGAGAGCCAUCCUUGAGUCUUUUUAGGUGGAAGGAUCGCUCUUUGUCUGGUUAAUAACCCCAGCGCUAAAAAAGGUAUGGGAGAUGGGUGGGAAGGCCAUCACCCUCUUUCCUAAGCUCUGUUGGUGGGUCAUUUUUCCAUUGAUGAAUCUACCGUGAGUGGGUGUAUAUCCCAAUCCCUCUUGACCCUUAUUUUUCUUUAGUUGCACUGGUUCUUUCAAUAGAAUUCCCACUUUGAUGGGUCCAAAUGACGAGUGAGACAUUGGACCGCCAUAAGACUAACAUGGGAAAGUGAUAUUUGACCUUUCCAUAAUCAGGACCGUGCCUACUAACCCAUCUAUAGUUAGGACAGCGGCUACUAACCCAUCUAUUAUAUCCAUAGUAGUAUUAUAGUGAACAUGCACUUGACUCAAUAUUUUGAGCAGGGCCAGUCGGUGAGUCUUUGAAGAUGUUAUCAUAUCUAGCUGGGAGACUCAUGCGAGGGUUUUUUUAAGUUGUUUCAUGACUUCGUAUUCGAUGUGCUUCAUCAUACCCUUAAGAACUCAUGGGCGGUGUCGCGGAGGUCUCUCAUCCAAGAACACAUUCUGUUGGUGCUCUACCCUAUCCCGCUUGAGGAAGGGGGUUUGGCGCGCUGGCGUCACAAGGUUGUAGCACUUGGUGGAGUCGCCAUCGAUCAGAAGAACAUUUAGGGUGAAUGUAACAUCCUGCCCGUCCUUCCAAAUCAAUGUGGCUUGGGACACAAUUUUGACUUGAUCUAUGAAAUUGAGAAUUGUGGGUACGGGGUGAUGUUACGAUUUAUGGUUGUCGGGUUGACCCCAUGUUGACUGGUUUUUACUCGGUUUGACCGAUUAUUUACUCUUAUGUCGUGAUUGGUUGAUGAAAAUAAGGGAUUUAUGAAGUGUUAUCGAACGGAACAUUUAGGUCUUUUUAACAUGUCUUCUCAUGUUUUAUUAGGCUUUCAGGUAUCCGUUGGAUAGAAGACGACAAAAAUAAUCCAACGGGACCAAUCGGAGCUCAAUCGGAUGUCGGUCGAGGGAGAUACUAGCAAAAGAAAGAAAAUUACCCAGGCUGGAAUCAGGGCCACACGGCAUGUGGAGGCCAUGUGGGUGUGCUGACAAAUGAUAUUUAUGCCCAAUUUUGAGGAGAGAGGUGGCAUUCUUUGGCUUACACACAUUUUCAAUCAUCCACUACUCUCCCAAGAAUCCUAGUCCAAAAAGCACCAUCCAUCCACCAAUUAUUUGAGGCCAUUAAAGACCAUUUGGAGCUCUUGAAGAUCUAGGAUUGGAGAUCAAGCAUUGUUAGAGGUUGAAGCAAGGAUUUGCAUUCAUGAUCACCUCCUCCAUUCUUGUAGAUUAUGGUGAUUAUUGUAUUCCUUCCUCUUUGUUAGUUUCAUCAUGAGUGGCUAAGCGAUUAGAAUUGUUCGAUUAGAGUGUUUGUAAGUGCUAGGAUGAUCCCCUCAUGAUGAGGGGUUGGACAUGUUCGGAUUCUAGUUAUGAUUAUGGUUGUGCUUGGAUUAUGGAGCUAUUCAAUCUAUCUUACGCCAUGGCUUGAUUUAGGUCAAAUUAACUCUUUCCUUUGCUUAAUUGUGAAUGAAUUGAGUUAGAUUGUAAUCCAAGAUUCAAGCAAGGUGUAUGUGGAACAAGACACACCCCAAUUUAACCUUUAGUGCUUCUUUAGGGACAUUUCAUCGAACACUAGAGUGCAUUCUAUAAAUCAUCUAAGUAGUGACAAACUUGAGUGAUUGGGAUGUUUGGGGUGUCAAUUGGUGAUUAGCACCCAUUCCUAGGUGAUUGUGGUGUCCUUAAGGAUUUCUAAGUACCAACGUAUUUCAUCGAACACCUUCUGUUCACUACUAUUUUUGCUUGAUCUCUUGUGAAUUAGUAGUGGUAUUCCAUUGUAAGACUUUAUUCUGAAUUUCUUCACAUGCCUAGAGACUAAUCGUACCAUAAAUAGUGUCCAUUAUGUCUGAAGUCCUCUAAUGAGUCAAAUUUGAGUAUUUCCAACACUCGACGUCUAGCAACCUUACUCUCUUCGUUUGAUCUUUAUACUCUUUUGCAACAUUUAAUCUCUUUAAUCGCUUUGCAUACUUUGCAGUGAUUGGAUAGUAAACCUAGUUAGUAACUUAGAAAAACCCUUUUACAAACUUUCUUUGGCUUAAACCGUGAACGAAGUGUUGAGUAGAGAUUUGUGAACAGACCUCGUGGGAUACGACACUCGUGUCAGUUAGGAUUUGGGUUUCAUAGCCUCUGUUCUAUCCUAUCAAAUUUUUGACGCUGUUGCCGGGGAAUGUUCACACCUUUAAAAGACAGCAUUCACCCUCUCCAAUUUACUUCGUGCUCCCCUUGUUUUGGUAUAUCCCCCUGUCUGUGUAUUACUUUGGUUUGCUCGUUUUGGUGUGUAGGACUCUCUUGUACAUCCUCAUUGUAUACUAGACAUUUAAAUAUAAAUAGAUGUGCACCAAGGUGGCUCCUAGGGACUCCACCUCACCCUCUAUCACGCAUAGCGACUCCAUCCCGUUUUCCAUCAGUUGCAUCAUCAUCUACACUUCCAUCAAUCCUAGAAUCUUCUACACCAACAUCUUUACAGGCUUCACUAGUUGACUUGAGCUCCAAAGCAGAACUAGAGUCGUUGAGAACAUGUUCGAAAUGGCUCCACCACCACCUAGAACUCUUGAGGGAACUUCAUCAAGUGUCCUUCGUCCACGAGUCGACAACCGCCAAAAUUCCAAUACAUUCAAAUGGUGCAACAAAAUGUCUAUCAUGGCCAUGAAAAUGGAUGUCCGAGUAGCCCCCUUCGAAGCUUCUUAGAGAUUGUGGACCUCACGAAGUCCAACAAUGUCCCUCAAGAGGCCACCAACUUCGACUCUUUCUUUUCUCACUCCAAAGUUAGGUGAAUCAAUGGCUAGAUAACCAACCCAACAACACCUUGCAAACUUGGGACGAAUUGGCGAAGACUUUCUCGGAAGAGUUCUUCCCCCCUACAAGACGGAUGAGAUUAGGGGAAGGAUCUCUCACUUCCAACAAAUUAAUGGUGAGCCUUUCUUUGAAGCAUGGGAUCGAUUUCAAGACGGAUGAGAUUAGGGGAAGGAUCUCUCACUUCCAACAAAUUAAUGGUGAGCCUUUCUUUGAAGCAUGGGAUCGAUUUCAAGACGGAUGAGAUUAAGGGAAGGCUUUACCCAUGCCCUCACCAUAACUUUGGAGAGUGACAACUUGCGGAGACAUUUGCUAGAGGGCUUACUUAUGAGGAUACGAAGAUGAUCAACCAAGCGACGAAAGGAGAUUUAAGAUCAUUCCUCCUCGAGCGUUGCCUUCAAAUCUUCAGAAAGAUGACCGUGAUGACAAAGAGUUGGUCAAGGCCACAAUGUCUUAAAGACAUCAAAGCGAUGACCUGGGAUGCUUAUAUCUCCACCAACACUACUGCUCCCAAAACUCUCAAGGAUAUGCCCAAACUUUGAGAGAAGGAUGAAGAGCAACCAGGCCACUUAAUUGUAUCAAGGAUGGAUACAAUGGAUGCUCUGCUUUUUCCUUAGCUCAAGCAAUUGCCAAGCCUCAAGAAGUACAAGCACUUCUUCCCAAGCCGACAAUCAAGCCUCCUAUCGCACAAAUCUUUGUAUCCAAGAGUUGUGGCAGUGAAGGGCAUGAUGCUUCGACUUGCUAAUCUUUUGCUCCCAACUUUGCACUGAAAGAGGAUUGCAUUGAAGAAGUGGACUAUGUACAAGGAAGCUACCACAGAGGCAACCAAAGUGGAUCAACCACAGAAGGCGAACAAGAAAGAGAUCAACCACAGACAACAAGAAGAUGAUGCGGUGGUGAUGUUGAUGUCUGGUAGAACCUUCCAAUUAUGUAUUAUUCAAUUCAGUUGUUGAUGGUCAUCCGAGUAGUAUUUUUACUGAGCAAACAUACUGGGCAUUGGAGCUGGCUAUUGGCUAAUGUAGACGCAAGAAACAUUCUCUAAACCCUCAGCAAGUAAUGUAGACGUAGUCCCUUUCUCCAGUAUUUCUCUGUGUUUCAAUGAUGUAAGAAGUUAAAACUCUUAACAUUUUAAUACACCAGCCGCGUAAGAUAUUAUUUUCUAGUUAACCAAAGUCUGUAUAGAAUAUUACCUUAUAUUGAUAAGGAAACAUCCUAAAUUCUUACUAUUUAUUAAAUGAUUAAAAUACCUCAAUCAGAGAACUUUAAAAUAAAGAAAAUAAAAUAAUAAAAUAAAAAUCUUUAAAACAAGAGGAACUUAAGAAGAAUCUCGAACACUAAUUCUUACGAUUCACUCUCCUAUAAUAACUUUCAAAUAUCUUGGUGGGUGGUUCGGGGUCAGUCUUUCGUGCUCUAAUCUUAACAAUCAAUAAUUAUUAAAAGCGUUAGCCAACAUAUUAUACAAUUUCAUCUAAUCAUUUAGAGCUAUUUUCAUCUCUAGAACUAUUCCACCGUUAUUAAGGUUCUCUAACUUCUACUAACUUCUACUAACUUCAUACAUUUAGGAUAUCAUGAUCUGAAAUCAUUUACUAACUCAAAACUAACUAGUCUUAAUAUCCAUUUGACGGACUACUCUAAUGGCCCAAUAUUUAAUCGUAGGAGUCCCUAGUGGCCCAAUUAUAAGUAUUGGAUUUAUAUUGGUCUGAGACCAUAAGCUGCCAAUAUGGAUCAGAGGUCUAAUAAGAGAGGUAUAUAUUACUAGAUCAUCUAUUAAUCAUCUAGACUUAGAGUAGCUCUUGUUGUUCGCUAGUUAUCUAAUCACAUCAUACUCUAGUUUAAUCAUAUAGGCACGUCAUAUGAGCAUCAUAACUGAACAUAAGAAAAUAAGGACACAUAUAGAUUCAUAAGUACUAACUGAGUAACCAUAUUACAUAAAGUAGUCCUAUUUAUGUAAUCCUAUCAUAAGUAAGAGUUUAACACGAUAAGUACUUAAUCAUCAACAAGGAGUCUUUAAUCAUCAACAAGGAAUCAUCAACAAAGAAUCGUCAACAAGAAAUCAUCAACAACUAAUCAUCAUGAAAGAUUGAAACUAAAGUCAAUCAUGUUAGGUGCAUUAUGAAUCAUGGAAUUAUAGUUCUUGUAACUUGUCAUAUCAUCAACAUCAUUGAGGAAGUCAAUUUACAAGACUCUGAUUCAUGCACUAUCAUUGACAUUAUCUAAGGUAUCUUAUUCCUCGUGGGGCGUCCCCCAACUCAACCAACUAACCCACCGCCCUAGCGCGGAGGUCUGGGAGUACAUAUCCAUCAGACGGUAUCAUAAAUCAUAGAAGGAAAACUGUGACCGUAAAUCAUAGUGGGUAUAUGCCCAAAUCAUAGGGGCAACUGUGGCCCGAAACAUAAGGGGCGGUGGUCUAACUAGUAAGUUUCAUGUUUUAAAUCCACCUAUUACACAUCUAAGUGAAGUGUUCAUGUUUCUUAUCACUGGUUAUGUCUAAACUUAUCAUCGUCUAACAUUAAUAUUAGUCUAACCUUAUCAUAGUGUUAACAUUAUCAUUAGUCUAACCUUAUAGUUAUAUAGGAGGUAUAACUUGUACAACAUCAAAGUAAUAACAUGUCACAAAUAAACACUCAAGCAUGGAAUCAUGGCAUAAACUAAAAUGCAUCAAAUUAACUAACUUAAUCUACCCCCUUAAACCAACCCACCUCAUUGGCGAGCUGACGUCUCAGAAAUAUAUCCGAGAUGAUUCCCUUUGCUGCCACGAAACCACAACCUCAUACGGUGCUUCGUUCUGAGCUCAAACGACCAAGUUAUUCUCUGUUUACUUCUUUGCAACUUGUUGAAACUUGAACGGCAGAAUUUUCAUUUCCCUGUCUAACUUGGCAAACUUCAGAAUCAGUUCCCCAACUUCUGGUCCUUGCAGUUCACUCCAUAUCAUACAGAGAACUACAAUCCAGUCAUCCUAAUUUCCAGGAAGAACAGUUCAGUCUAACACCCCAACUUUACAGGUAUUGCAAAUUGGUCACUUAUCUUCCAUAAUUCGCUAGGUGAUCACUCUUCCCUAACCUCUGCAUCUGCGAUUACAGAGGAUGUCGCCGAUGACCCGAUUCAAUCCGUCGAGCUUUCCACGAAUCUUGGAAUCCGCUUCUUCUCCUCGCCUUUGACUCUACCGCCAGCCGCUUCGCAUGGGAGAGAAGGCUUCUCCCUCGAUCUAUCUUUGUCAGAUCGAUUCCUCCGCCAGACACCCAACAUCGGCUCUUGUUGAUGCUCAGACUCCAUCCAUCCUUGAUCCAAGGUGGUCGCCCGAUUGGUGGUUCGUUGCCGAUCCGACGAGGGAACGACACCAUCCCUCAUGGGCCCUCUCUCGUUCCAGUCGCCACCAAUGUCAGCCUCUCCCUCUCCUCUCACCGAUCGAUCUCAGGCCACCAAGGAAGCUCGCCAACAUCGCCUCCUGGAUUGCCUUCCCCAAACGAGAAGCCGACUUACCUGCGUGGUCACCAUCAACUCCUCUCGUCGGAUCUGCCACACUAGGGUUCCCUCCCAGCACGAAACACUCUCAAGCUUAAAUAGUUACAGAGGCUCACAUGUCGUUCGAUCCAUCCAACCGCCCAAUGCCCAUCACGUCAUCAUAAUUUCAAUUGUGUAUUAGGCCCACAACCGAAAUCCAAAACCAAACAAACAACAUCAUCUACUUUCUCUUGGACAAAUCAGGCCUCACUUCUCACCGUAGAAUCUAUCCAACCGUCCAGAUUCCUCCAGACCCCCAACUAAUAGACUAAUGGCUUCAUUCCAUCUCCGAUUAUCUAACCAACCGAUAAUAGCACCGCACCUCAUAGGUCUCCGGAACUCGCACAACUCAACAGCCAAACUCCUCGAAUAAAACAAUUAAUUCAACACCAAACCUUCUAUUCCAUUCUUCGAGUAGGAUUUCUAUCAAACCGAAAAUUCUAACUAGUAGCCUACAACCGAUUUAUCCAAUUUAAUGUACCAUGUACUAAUGAGUUGGACACUUCUAAUAAUUCACAAUUAGGCUAACAUUAAUUUAGUAACAGGAUCGUAUCCAAACAUGGAAUUUACAUUAUUGUACUUUUGCCAAUUUAGUGUUUUACCCUCCAUUUCAAUUUUAGGGAAGCGCAAAACCGCUUUUUAACAAUAAUAAUGGGGUCAUUUUUGGAAAUAAAAAGUAUGAUUAAUUUAAAAAUUAUAUUGACCGUCAAGUUGAAACCUAAAUUAUAUAAAUUGGCCAUUAAGACUUAGGAGCCUCUAAAACAUGCGGCACAUCCAAUAAACACAAAGAAGAAGUAAAAUGCGAUUGCAGGUUACGUGCAUCGAGAUGCUAGGUUUCUAUUCGAUGUUAUAAAAUAGUCACUAAGUAAAUACUAAUAAGUAAUGAAUCAAAAAUACUAUGCAAUUAUUAAUAUUCUCUAACAUAAUACUCGAUAAUUACUAACAUUAUCUAACACUAGGCAAUUAUUAAUAUUCUCUAACUAUGCAAUUAUGGUAAUGAUACCAACCUCAUUAUCGCAUAUAUCACCGACGCGAUGUCAUUUGCGGUGGCCCCAAAGUAGUUUUACAUCGAUUGGCUCAGGGUCGACGCACGGGGAUAUUGGUCCAUACAAGUAAUCCAUCCUACAACAAAACAAAAUAUUAAUAAAAAACAAAACUAAAAAAUUACAAAUUAAAAAAUAAAAUUAUAGAAUUACCGAUUAGUUGGUUGCAGAACGAGGACUCGUUAUCGGUACAGAAAAAUCAAGAAAGGAAGGAAUGAGAAAUAGUGGAUUGGUGUGGAAUGAAAGAGGAGGAGAGGGUGAUAUUUAUAGAACAACUGGAGGCAUACUAGAACGUGCGAUGCACUGUGCCUCCAACGGUUAUAUUGAAACGGUCAUCUAACGAUCGUUACAAUAUAGCCGUUGAUUCCACCUUAAAACGCUUCACACAUCCUAAGACACGCCGCGAGUUGUAGAGGGUACUAGUGAUCAUUUUGUAUAAUUUAAAUUUUAAUUUAACUAUCUACAUAAUUUUUGAUUUAUUCAUGUCUAAAAAAAAUCCCCAUUUUCUAAGCCUUAUCUCAUCUCUUUCCUGCUCGUAUAAAAAAUUUCAUUAUUUUAUUUUUAGAAAAUUGGCCCCUUGUAUUUUAAUUUUACCAAAUUGGUGAUUAGCCCCUUUAUGACAAAAUUGCCCACGUCCCCUCUUACAUUAUUGCUAAUUAACCAACCAUAUUUUCUGUUAUGGUUUCGGUUAGUUUACUAUUAAAACCUAACAAAUCAGCAUGCCAUAUCACUAAGUCCGUUUAUAUCAUCAUGUUUAUGUUGAGACCAUCCAUUAUGGUGAGCUAAAUAGCUAAAAAUGCUAUUAUUUAGUUCCAAGUAGCUUCACAAUGGGAGAGCUAAAUAUCCAAAAAGUAAAAAAAGCUAAAAUAGUUGGUAAAAAAUAAUUGGGUCAAAUAGCUAAGACUAUCUACAUCAAUACAAUUCAUCUCCAUCUAUAAAAGUGAUCCACAUUUUCACAUCAUUAACUUUUGCAAUUUCACAUUCUAUAUUUUCAUAUCAUUUUCAUCCAUACAAUUCAAUUCCAAUUGCAAAAAUGAGACCAAUAUAUAUAUUAUUUAUAUUUUCUUCAAAUUAAUUCGAAUGUUAACAAAAAGUGGACCCAAAUGAAUUUUAAAAUAUUGUAUGAAUGGUGUAGCCCCAAAUAAAAUUAUCACUUGACUUAUAACAAAUGUAAAUUUGCAUUUAAAAGUUACAUUUUUUCAUCUAUGAUAUUUUCAAUUGAAUUAUAAAAAUUUAACACAUAAAUUCCAUAUCAUUUUAUAAAUAAAUAAAAUCUCAUUAAUGGGAUGCUUUAAUAGUCAAAUUUCACACUACCUGGCAGACCCAUAGUAAUGGAAGGCGUAUGGAAUUAAAAACAUAUUAGGAAAGAGAGUGACAAACAAUGCCCAAUGAUAAAUCAAUAAUCCGGCGAGUGGAAGACAUGCGGACUUGCUGCUGCUGAGAUUCCUUGAAUAAUUAUUCAUCAGUACAAUCCAGCUGGCACAAUUUGAUUGGCUUCUUUGUGUUGUUGUGAUAAAUGGUUUUGCUGUUCUUUGUUAAAAAAGGGAAUUGCCUUCAUUAUUUCACAUAACCAUCCGUCAUGUUUGUUCACGAACAUUAAUAUUAUUUUUUGACAUUCAUUCAUAAAUUUAAAAUUUAAAGUGCCUUAAUUAUGGAUAUAAUUUAACGAGAAAUUGAAAUAUUUGAAUUUUAUCUUAGAUCUAUUUUCUUGCAACUCAAGGAUAUAUGCAAAAUAAAUAUCAUAGCCCAUCAAGUGGUAAAAUUAUCACAUGAGACCAAUUUAUGGUGAACCAACACAAAUAUGACCAAGAUUACUACUUCAAAACCGAGUAGUUCUUGUGUUUGAAUAAAGGUCGAUUAAAAUUGACAUAGAGUCACAUAGUGAUCUUACUACCAUCCUGGCAUUGAUAGCCAUGUUAUAUCCAUAUAACUUUUUGUUGGAUAUAAUUAGUAUAUCAUUGAUGAUAUACGAAAAUCAUGUUCGAGAGAGAUGCACAAUUGGCAAGUUAGUGGUAAUCUUCCACAUCUUUCAUCAAAGACUUGAUGUCUUAAAACUUUUCAUUUCUCUUGGGAAUUUGAAUUUGCCUCAAAUUGAAAUUUUUUUUUUUAGCCAAUCAUUUCUAUCUGUGCAUGCAUUUUGGCUAAUGAUCCUCAUUUUCAACUAUCAUAUUUAGCGUUGCACUAUACGCAAAUAUUUCGUCGACGUUGACUUCAUUGGGGUUCCAAUAUUUUCCAUCCAAGAUAUAGAUAAUUGAGAUAUAUAUUCAUAUCUUUCAGGUACCUGAUACUCUUCUUGAGCACAUUAUUUGUUUCUCUUGGUGGCUUUGUUUAAAUAAUCUUAACCUCAAUUUGACCAUCUUGAUAUAUAGCUCCAUUCCACUUUUGAGGAUUUUUUCUUUGGAACCGAGUGGUCUAUCACGCCUUUGCGGGUUUUAGACUCAUUUGUGAUGUCAGAUUGCCCAAUAUUGGCAUUAUUGUUAUUGGAGCAUUUUGAGUUGGCACAUGAAAACUUUACUCUCGUUGGGUCAGUAAAGUGUCUGGCAGAUAAUGAAUUAUAUAUUUUUGAACUUCAAGCUCAUAUUGCUUAGUGCGAGGAUCAAAAUAAUAUGAUCAUUCAUCUAAUCUCUUGGCCAACUUUUGUUUUGUCCCCCUAAUGUUGGGAAGUUUAAAUAUAAACCUCCAAACGAGUCAUCAAAAUACUCCCGACAACGAUGUGAUACUUUACCAUCGAUGAACUCGUAAUCAAAAUUCAAUCUUCAUUGAGAACCCAUCCUAAUAAAUGGUGGUGGAGCAAUUCAGAUGUGUAUAUCACAUCCAUAUAUCCAAUGAUGGGAAGUAUAAGGUUUUGACCCAAAAACCACAUAUAAUGGAGGAAUUCAUAAUAAUUUCUUGGCGUAAUGCGAAUUUGUGUUGUUCAUGUAAAUGACAUGUUCACAAUAAUAUAAAUGGAAAAUGUUCGUCUUAAUGACACAUUUUCGUUAUUGGAUAAUCAUGAAAAUAUGCUCAUAACCAAAUGGUUGAGCUAGUAAUCUCCCAAAUUAAAGUUUGUCAUGAUAUACACAUGUGACUAUCUAAUUGAUGCAUCAAUUAAAAUAAUUGGCUCACAUGUUGGGUGUAUUGAUCCCCAAAUAUCACCUUUGUUUUGUUGUGUGGAGGAGAAAUGAUCUUACUUUAGUUGAUGAUUAUCCAACAAUCUACUCUAUUUGAGAAUAAGCAACCAAAAACUGAGUUAUGUUGCGUUGGAGAUUUACCCAACAAUGGGUAACGGAAAGGUCAAAAUGCUUUCCUAGAAACGAAACAUUGUUGACAGAACAGAAAACCGUUCGUGUUCCCAGGAAGUAGGGGAGUCACAAGGACUACUUAAAUCCAUAUAACCUUAGGAAUCAUUUCUUUAGAAUACCCAAGUUGAGACCAUCAUGCACAACAAUGUUCAAGAGAACAUACUCUUUAGAUUAUGGAAUCAUCAAAAUUGACCAUAGAGGUACUUAUCGAUUCCCAUCAUGAUUGAACCUGGAUGGUCUCACCGGUUAUGCCAAAUAAUAGUUGUCAGGACUAGUAAACUUUUGUUUUACAUUGACAUAUAUCUCAAUCAUGGUAACAUAUGCGUAGUACGAAUUGGAGGAAAAUAUUCAUAUUCUAUUUUAUUGAUGGUCACAAGAGAUAGGAACAAUAAUGUGGUCUAUGACCAUGCAAAAGGUUUUCGCUCAUGCAUGAACAAUAUAAUAUCUCGAUCUAGAGUUUGAAAUAAAAUAUAAUAGCUCGAUCCAGAGCUUGAGAGAAAUGUUGUACUACACCAUAUAUCUUGGUGCACUAUCGAUGUGAUAUAUAUCACAAUUAAUUAUGGUGAUUCGCAUCAUAAAAUACUCAUUUUUGUCAUAAGAAUGGUACAUGGUUUAAAUGAUAAAUAGAGAUAUUUCUCAAUCAUCUAUGUCACCAAUUAAUUGAUCAAUAAUUCUCGUAUAACCACAAUUGUUAUGUCUAUCCGAAUAAAAUGGUUCCUUAUGUGAACAAUGAUAAUAUGUUGUCACUUAUGCUUUCAGGAACAAUGUAACAAAAUAAAAGUGUCUUUGCAGAUCGUAUGAUGUUACUUGUGCUUUCAAGAAUAAUGUAACACAUGUGUCUUUCCACAAUCACUUUGAGGGCUAAAUUAGUAUCAGUUGGAUAUGAUCAUCAAAAUAAAACUGACAGUUGUACCACCAAUCAUAGGAUUAAAAUUGUUCAACAUCAAUUCACAACUCUCUUCCACGCGAGAAGAUAAAUUUCACAAAUUUCUUUCCCAUGACCAUAAUAAGAGGUAUUGUCCUCCACAAUAGUGUAUUGUCGUAUCGCCUUCGUGGGAAUAUAUGUAUUGUCACAAAGGACAUGAUAUAAUCAUNNNNNNNNNNNNNNNNNNNNNNNNNNNNNNNNNNNNNNNNNNNNNNNNNNNNNNNNNNNNNNNNNNNNNNNNNNNNNNNNNNNNNNNNNNNNNNNNNNNNNNNNNNNNNNNNNNNNNNNNNNNNNNNNNNNNNNNNNNNNNNNNNNNNNNNNNNNNNNNNNNNNNNNNNNNNNNNNNNNNNNNNNNNNNNNNNNNNNNNNNNNNNNNNNNNNNNNNNNNNNNNNNNNNNNNNNNNNNNNNNNNNNNNNNNNNNNNNNNNNNNNNNNNNNNNNNNNNNNNNNNNNNNNNNNNNNNNNNNNNNNNNNNNNNNNNNNNNNNNNNNNNNNNNNNNNNNNNNNNNNNNNNNNNNNNNNNNNNNNNNNNNNNNNNNNNNNNNNNNNNNNNNNNNNNNNNNNNNNNNNNNNNNNNNNNNNNNNNNNNNNNNNNNNNNNNNNNNNNNNNNNNNNNNNNNNNNNNNNNNNNNNNNNNNNNNNNNNNNNNNNNNNNNNNNNNNNNNNNNNNNNNNNNNNNNNNNNNNNNNNNNNNNNNNNNNNNNNNNNNNNNNNNNNNNNNNNNNNNNNNNNNNNNNNNNNNNNNNNNNNNNNNNNNNNNNNNNNNNNNNNNNNNNNNNNNNNNNNNNNNNNNNNNNNNNNNNNNNNNNNNNNNNNNNNNNNNNNNNNNNNNNNNNNNNNNNNNNNNNNNNNNNNNNNNNNNNNNNNNNNNNNNNNNNNNNNNNNNNNNNNNNNNNNNNNNNNNNNNNNNNNNNNNNNNNNNNNNNNNNNNNNNNNNNNNNNNNNNNNNNNNNNNNNNNNNNNNNNNNNNNNNNNNNNNNNNNNNNNNNNNNNNNNNNNNNNNNNNNNNNNNNNNNNNNNNNNNNNNNNNNNNNNNNNNNNNNNNNNNNNNNNNNNNNNNNNNNNNNNNNNNNNNNNNNNNNNNNNNNNNNNNNNNNNNNNNNNNNNNNNNNNNNNNNNNNNNNNNNNNNNNNNNNNNNNNNNNNNNNNNNNNNNNNNNNNNNNNNNNNNNNNNNNNNNNNNNNNNNNNNNNNNNNNNNNNNNNNNNNNNNNNNNNNNNNNNNNNNNNNNNNNNNNNNNNNNNNNNNNNNNNNNNNNNNNNNNNNNNNNNNNNNNNNNNNNNNNNNNNNNNNNNNNNNNNNNNNNNNNNNNNNNNNNNNNNNNNNNNNNNNNNNNNNNNNNNNNNNNNNNNNNNNNNNNNNNNNNNNNNNNNNNNNNNNNNNNNNNNNNNNNNNNNNNNNNNNNNNNNNNNNNNNNNNNNNNNNNNNNNNNNNNNNNNNNNNNNNNNNNNNNNNNNNNNNNNNNNNNNNNNNNNNNNNNNNNNNNNNNNNNNNNNNNNNNNNNNNNNNNNNNNNNNNNNNNNNNNNNNNNNNNNNNNNNNNNNNNNNNNNNNNNNNNNNNNNNNNNNNNNNNNNNNNNNNNNNNNNNNNNNNNNNNNNNNNNNNNNNNNNNNNNNNNNNNNNNNNNNNNNNNNNNNNNNNNNNNNNNNNNNNNNNNNNNNNNNNNNNNNNNNNNNNNNNNNNNNNNNNNNNNNNNNNNNNNNNNNNNNNNNNNNNNNNNNNNNNNNNNNNNNNNNNNNNNNNNNNNNNNNNNNNNNNNNNNNNNNNNNNNNNNNNNNNNNNNNNNNNNNNNNNNNNNNNNNNNNNNNNNNNNNNNNNNNNNNNNNNNNNNNNNNNNNNNNNNNNNNNNNNNNNNNNNNNNNNNNNNNNNNNNNNNNNNNNNNNNNNNNNNNNNNNNNNNNNNNNNNNNNNNNNNNNNNNNNNNNNNNNNNNNNNNNNNNNNNNNGUUAAAUUUGAGUGGGAAUUUGACUUUUUUAGGUUCAACUUUUCUAAAGUUAAAACGCUAAAUUUGAGUAAAUUUUUUUCCCCACCGCUAGUAUAGUUUCAUUCCUGAUCACGGACACCUGUGUAGGAACCACCUAUGAUCUCUUCACUUUCUUUAUGGUUCUGAAUACAACUAUAUUCACACCAUCUUCCUGCUCUUCACCCAAAUUCGACAAUGAUAUCAGCAAUACUUUGUUAUUUUAUUUAUGUCAUUAAUAAAUAAGUUUAUAAUUAAGCUGAUUAGGAUGUUGACUAAAAUGAUGACCCCAACUGCCACGUCAGUGUUGGACAGAAUUAUUGACGAAAUUGGACGGAAAAUAUAAUGGAAGGAUACGAUUGGUUAAUUGGCAGGACUGUAAGGGAANNNNNNNNNNNNNNNNNNNNNNNNNNNNNNNNNNNNNNNNNNNNNNNNNNNNNNNNNNNNNNNNNNNNNNNNNNNNNNNNNNNNNNNNNNNNNAUCCAUUUAUUUAAUUGAUGGUUUGUCAUUAGGUCCGCUCAAAUUCACAACAGUUCAAGCACAUGUAAUUCAUUUUUCUUCUUUCCUUUUAUAAAUGAAUUUUAGUUCAACAUUAAAAUGAAUUAUAUAAGUUCAAAAUUAAAAUGGUCCUGUUUUUUAAGGCCCUUGGUUUUUACUUUUUGGCUACUUCUUUUUGGUUGGCCCAAGUCAUCUAGAGUGAACAAUGAUUGAUUGUUAGCGUAUGUAGUUGUAUGGGUUUUGAGCCCAACUCGAGCCUAUGUUAUUUUGUUGUCUUUUCUUGAAACAACGUUACUUAAUUAUAUAAAUAGUCCAUCAAUUGUCUCCCUAUAUACAGGUGAUACCAGAGAACGAGAUCGACGAGCAAAGUUUGUGAGAAACCGUGCUCCUAUAUUUUCUAACCCACUCAACCCUGAAUAUAGGUCUACUAUUAAGGAUGUGUUGGCAUCGCUCCAUUAUCGGGCCAAACUCCAUGCUACCAUGUCCCAACGUUACUUCUUGGUAAUCUGUCUCAAUGAUGGCCUUUUCAUAGCCCAUGUCUCGUAUCCAUUCGAAGCUAUCCUUCACUGCAUGCGCUUCUUCUUCCCCGCUCUUGUUAACCUUGUUGCCUUCUACAUGAGGAAAUGUAUUAAACCACCUGACUCAUCGCAAACCGCUAGUCUUACGCCAUGGUUUCUAUCCUGAUGGAACAGGGGAAUGUCAACAUUGCAGUUGACGUACCCCACCGGUGGUGGGUGCCAUUAAGGACAAGCUGUGGGUUGAGGUUGUUGUGGUCGCUUCUCCUCCGUCCAAUAAUUCACCCAUUCCAACAAGUCAUCCAAAGCAUGUCGUAUAAUCACCUCUGGUGACUAGCCUCCCCAUUCCAUACUCGCUCGUUCCUUUCCCGCCAGACUACCUUGAAUCUGUAAAUUCGCGUUGGAUUGCAACAUUUGGAAAACCCAUCCCCGUACAUCAUCCACUUGCAUGCAUACCGAAUGGACCCACUGCCACAUUCCCAACAAGGUCUACCAAUUUCACACUCGAAGAGCAAGUUAUCGAGAUCCUCACCCAUUUUCAAACAACAGUCGCAAGUAUCCAGUACUAUGACUGCUUGCUUGCCAGACGCACUCUAGUUGGCACCACAUCACGAGCCACCCGCUAAAUUAUGAAAUUACUCGAAUGAUUUAAGUGGUUACGUUAUGUCAUGUCAUUCAUGUGACUAUGUUAUGUUAUGCUAUGUUAUUCAUGUGAUCCGGAUAAUUGUAUGCCAAUAUCAUUGUGAUUAAGUGGUUACCUUAUGCUAUGUUAGUAUGUAAUGGUUAAGUGCCUAUCUUAUGUUAGGUUAUGUCAGGUUAUGAUAUCUCUUGAUGAUGUGCAAGUUACAACUUUCAACUACAUUAAAGCAUGUCAUGUUCCCCAACAUUAGUGUCCACGUUAUGUCCAUCAUAUUCAUGUUAUGAUUAACUGCUUAUGUUGUUGCUUGAUGAUGUGCAAGUUUGCCCUUUUAAACUAUGUUAACUCAUUUCAUGUUCUCCAAGAUCAGUGUUGUGAAACCCCAUCCUAAGAGUCCUGAUCGAACCACUAGUUCAACCAAUGAGGAGUCCUACUCGGGUUUCAACUUGAAACACACUGAACUCUAGGCUACUAAUAAAAACAUUUAAAACAAUAUCCUCUGAUAUCAAAACACCGACAAGCUCUCUCCCCACCGUGAGCUCCAGUACCUGUGACUGAACACACAAAUAUGCCAAGGAAAACAAGCUAAGUCUAAUGGGGUCAGUGAUAAGCAUUGAGUGGCUAAAUUAGACUGGCGUAAAACUAUGACUAUACUGAGAAGAUAGGGAAAGAAAGUAUAACUAAUCCCUGAAUCUAGUAAUGUGACCUUGUGGUCCUAUAGGCAACAUCCUAUCAAUAGUCACCCCUAGCUAGUAGUUGAUAGCCUAUGGUGGAUCAGACCAUGAAACCACCCCGUAGAUACAGUGCGAGUAACAUCAGUAGGCAUACUAGACACGCCCUGCAUGACCGUAUGUCACCACAACUUUAAUUGGACUCAAGGCCCACACCUUAAGUUCAUGUCCAAUUAGAGUGGAAGUCCUCACCCUUCACUUGAAUAGUUCAAUUCCUAUCCAUAGCCAUACGAUCAAUCUAACGAUCUAGAAAUCUCCAAGUCCAUAACUAACAAUUCACAGACUUAACUCUUCCUCCGAUUGACUUAGUCAACCCGGUAACUACCCCGAGCCUUACAAACCCUUAAUACUUGGUCAACUGUGAACUCAACUCCUCAAAUUAAUUAAAUUAAUUCAUUUUCCAACUUCCGACUUCUACUCAACGAGUAAAUUUUGAAUCAAACCGAAAUCAAACCAAAAAUUGGGGUGUCACAACUCUCCCCUCCUACAAAAGAUUUCUUCCCGAAAACCGAACGUCACCCCACUGAGCGGGAAGGAUUCGGCGCAAUAGUGUUCAACUAUGGCGCUUGCACUCCUACUUGGUAGCAAACGACCUUGAUGUGUCGUCCUUCUCAAGUACUCAACCAGUCCACUCCUCGAAAAUGACCCAGGGUCAAAUCAAAGUCUAACCACAACCUUGUCCUCGAAGACCGACAGUGACACCUUUAAAGAAAUGAGUCAACCCAUGGGCAAUACUCAUCAUCCUCUGGACCUUCAUUUCUUUUCCACUUCUUGUUCCCCUAACUCUCCUUCCUCCUGACUAGAACAUCCAAAGCUCGCACCUCGCUCAUGACCUCUCAGCCCUGAAAUGCUCAUUCCUUAACUGAUUUCCUUUGAAAUCUGAACACACCUUCCCCUUCCUAGAUGAUACUUGGCCCUUGGUAGUCACCAUCUGGCGGAAGGACUUCCCUUAACCUACCGAGCAUCAGCUUUGCACUUUCAGUAUCCUUACGAUCUUUUUGCACCCUAAGCAUUGUUUCUAGCUCGUCAACCCGCACUACCAUGUCCCAGACAUAGAAGUACAUAGACCAGUCCUUGCCAUGCUGCUUUGAAGAUGCAGCUAGUCGAGCAGCAAGCUCAACCUCGCAACUUUGAUCUUGAUGCUUAUACUACUAUUCCCCAUUUUCUUACUGAUAGGUAAUACUAAUCAUAUAGUACUACCAAGACCUUAGCCAACUCACAGAAUCUUGUCAUCCUUUCCCAUGAUGACGGUUCCGACAAGUCUGAUCACGCUUGUGACCGUUGUCCCGCCACGCCCAUGGUAUUCUCCUCACCACACUCGUGGUCCUCUCCUUACCACGCUAGCUUGUGGUCGACUAUCAACAACGACCGUUGCCACUUGACUGUCACAGCCGUUGCCUCAUGAUCACUGCACCAUCACACUCGUGAUGUACUACAUGUCAUGACCAUGACUGUCAUCCAACCAUACCCGUCACGGACUAUUCGUCAUGCAUGUGACUAACUGUCAUCCACGACCGUGACGACCUUUUUGUCAAGCCCGUGAUGUAUCAUCCCUCACGCCUGAGGCCAACUCUUUGACAAGCCCGUGGCUGAGCUUCACCACGCCCAUUGCUUGUUGAUCAUCGUGACCGAGGUUAACAUCCCGUCACGCCCGUGACUGACUUCUUUUUCCUAGAACUACCAGAGUUGCUACAGCUGUUACAGUAACACGCCUUACUGUCUUUCUGAGACCAACAAAGACCUAUCUCUACUCUUGCCCUAACUACUCCAUCGGCCCUCAGAUGCUUCCCAUCCUUGCCUUCAAGCAUGGUUCUCAAUUAAAUACUAGAGGCUAACUGUCUCUUUGACGUUACACCUCAAGGAGCGAAAGCAUCCUUUAAACUCUGAAUUCCCUUCCCAUUGGGGUCCAAAAGGAUCAUCCGACUAAUGGCUCUAAUGAAGAGUUCCACUGGAUGAAAUUCCCAGAUUCCAUCCAAUGCAUCAUGUAACACCUUAGGCAAAUCGCACAUCGACAAAGUACGAGAGAGAUCAAUGGGUUAUGAGUAAUACUCUAUCCUUAACUGACAAGAUACAUUUUCGGGGUGAGAUGAAGGAGUUCGUGUAAAGAACUCUGAAGUUAAUCAUGCUCAAGUGGGAGCGGUUUAGAAAUGGGUGACCUCUUGGGAAGUCAUUGUUCAGCACCCGAAAAAAAAUCCGUGAGGGAUUAGCUAUACCCAAAGCGGAAAAUAUCUUAUCAGAAAAGGUUGGGGUGUUGCACUUCCCUUAUCACUACCCCUUGUCUUACUAGAAUUCUUAAAGUUCAACAACAAGCCUUUGAAUCAAGAAAGUAAGAUACUCUGCCCCUUGGUUCCUUAAUCCCUUUCUUUUCUCUUUCUAGAGCUGGUGAGAGAGUGGUCGUUCAAAUCCUGACAAACUAUCGCAAUGUUCCCUUUUAAAGCACCUGAAUCCUGAAAACUCUUUUCUUAAUAUCUUUUGCAAAGACUGACUCACCACAUCAUUUUUUUCUAGACACUCACCUACUGCCCCAUGAAAGACUAGUACCGUUACAUGUGUCGACUCACCUUCUCCCCUCUGAGGUUCGUGACGCCUCUGAGGAGUAGGUAGCAUACCGUUAGGGUUACAAGAAAACCGGGCUCUAAUACUAGUUGUCAAACCCCACCCUAGGAGUCCCAGUCAAACCACUAGUUCAACCGAUGAGUCUUACUCAGUUUUUAACUUGAACCACACUCAACUCUAGGCUACUAAUAAAAACAUUAAGACAAGCAUUAACAGCUUAAACUGAACACUUCAAUAAAAUUGACAAACUAGGAUCCGAAAUCCCAAAACACAACAAAUCAAAAAGAGAUGCAACUCCAGUUUAAAAAUACAUAAAAAUUAUAUCCUCUAAUAUAUAAAAACCAACCAGCUUUCUCCCCUCCAUCAGCUCCAAUACCUGUGACUGAACACAUAGAUAUGCCAAGAAAAACAAGUCUAAUGGGGUUAGUGAUAACCAUUGAGUGGCUAAACUAGGCUCGCAUAAAACUGCAACUAUACUAAGAAAAUAGGGCAAGAAUCAAGUAAUGUGACUCUGCGGUCCUGUAGGGAUCAUCCUAUCAAUAGUCACCCCUAACUAGUAGCUGAUAGCCUCAUGAAGGAUCAUACCAUGAAACCACCCGUUGAUACCGUGUGAGCAGCAUCUGUACGCAUACUCCACACAUCUUGCAUGACCGUAGAAACAUCCUGGGGGAUUUUGCAAUCCAUGGGUGGGUGACCAACACACAUAAGGAGCUAAUCUAGCUAAAUCUGAAUUUUGUCCUAAGCAUGAACUGUGAACCACAGUUCAAAUGUCAUGAGCUUAUGCUCGAACUUAAACAACUACCUGUUCAGUAGAUCACACGCUACUGCACAGUGUAUGAGCCCGACUCUGUUUCAUAACCCAUGUAUAGUAGAUGACACGCUAUUGCACAGUCUUGAGAGCCCGGCUCCGAAACACAACACAUGUACCGUAGAUCACACGCUACUGUACAGUCCUGAGAAUCCGAUCAUCGCAUUCCUGACAAUCCUAAUUACAGUUAUAUGCUUAAGUCAAAAAGUAAUCCUAACCCUCACCUAUUAAGAAGGGAUGGCAUUUCUGAUUCUCACUUGACAUGAUUCCUCUCACUGCCACUAAUCUAUAGCUUCUGACCGUGCAUCAUUUGGAGUUUAACCAAUUGAGUUAUACUCCAUUUACUUGUAGCAAUCUGAAACUUGCUAGGACAGAAACGUGGCGCUAAUCCUCCAACUGCCUCCAUUACACUAACUGAUCCAAAACUUCUACUCAUUGACAAAACUAACCCAAGUCCUUAACUAUAAAACAUCCAAAAGUUCAAAGUUGCUAAAGGUCCUCAACGCGUCCUACACACCACCAAAGCCGUUGCACCCUUGCCGAACGCGGAUGGCGCCACCGCUACUGCUAUUCCUAAAGCUCCGCCUUGAAUCUCCUCAAUCUCCUCCGAAAUAGUGAUCGGCACCGCCACAACUCCAUCCUCGUUUGCCCUCGAUCGAUGGAAUUCAAAAUCCUCACCUCUUGGCGUCAAAACUAAUGGCAACAAGUAACUUACCCUGCUCAUCGUCUCAGUGCAUCACCAGUUAGAUCAUGGAAGGGAAGUUAAACCAUUCUCCCACUUGAUGGUAAUGGGGCCCAACUCCACAAUCUGAUCCAUCAUACGGCCCAAGGCCCACCUCAACUUUAAUUGGACUCAAGGCCAUAAUUUAAGCCUAGGGUGGCAGUCCUCACCCUUCACUUGAAUGGUUCAAGUCCUAUCCAGAGCUAUAAAAUCAAUCUAACGGUCUAGAAAUCUUCGAGUUCAUAACUAACAAUUCACAGGCUUAACCCCUCUUCUGAUGGACUUAGUCAACCCAAUAACUAUCUCGAGCCUUACAAAUCUUUAAUACUUGGUCAAUUGCUGAGUCAACUCAUCAAAUUAAUUAAAUUAAUUCAUUUUUCAACUUCCGACUUCUACUCAACGAGUAAGUUUUGAAUCAAAAAAAAUUUUAACCGAACCAAAAAUUGAGGUGUCACAAUUGUCUACAGUAUGCUUAGCUUAUACAUGUGAUGGUUAGACAGUUAUGUUCAUGUUUCUACUUGAUGAUGUGAAAUUCAUUAAACUAAGAUAAGUUGUUAAACUAUAAUAAGUCCUUAAAUUAUGAUAAGUCAUGUUCAUGAGAUCCAUGUUAUGGCAUGUCUUUUUUCCAGGAUUAAUGCUCCCAUUAUGUCCAUCAUAUUCAUGUUACGGUUAGGUAGUUAUGUCAUGUUAUGUAUUAUUUAAUGAUGUGCAAGUUGUACCCUCGAAUUAUGAUAAGUCAUGUCAUGUCUCCCUGAUAAGGGUUUAUCUCAUUUUCAUGUGAUCCAUGUUAUGGUUAAGUGGUUAUGUCAUGAUAUGUUGGGUUAUUACAUGAUGAUGUGCAAGAUGUGCCUUGAAUUAUGAUAAGGCUAGACUACUUCAAGGUUAGGGUGUGAUAUGUCUACAUGACUAGUGAGUAGUGAAUAAGUACACGUUACUUAGACAAGUAAUGUGUAUUAGAAACAUGUAACUUUCUGGCUAGACCACCACCCCCUAUGUUGUGAUCUCAUGGUACCGUCUGAUGGAUACAUACUCACGGACUCUCACGUUCACGUUUGGGCCGGUAUUGCCCCUCAUGUUACCGUCUGACUGAUACGUACUCGCAGACUCUCACGUUCAUAUUUGGGCUGAUAUUGCCCCAUGUUUCUCACGUUUGGGCCACAUUUUUCCCCUUAUGUUACCGUCUGAUGGAUACAUAGUCCCAAACUCUCACGUUCACAUUUGGGUGUUGGACUAGUUAGUUGAGUUGGGGGGGGACGUCCCGCUAUUGAAAGUUCAAGUGAUAAGAUACCUCAGAUAAGUUCAUGUACAAGUAUGUCAAGUUCAAGGGAUAAGAUAACUUAGAUAAGAUCAAGUAUAAGAUUCAAUGUUAUGUGUUUUCAUGUUCGCUAAGUGAUGUUGGUGAUAAUGACCACCUGAUAUGAUAUGUUCAGUGAUUGUCAUGUGCUGAUGUGUUGUGAUAUGUUCAAAUGUUUCUUAGAUGUGAUAACUAUGUGUUGGGAUAAAUAUUCAUGUAAUGAUGUGUUCCUUAUGUUCCAAUGUGCCAUGGAUUUGAUGACUAGUUGUGAUCAAUAUUCAUGCAGUGAUGUGUUCCUUAUGUUCCAAUGUUCCUUUAGAAUGGAUUAGAGGUUCAACCUUUGAUGAUGACUAUGUUACUUGCCAUGUUGAGUUCUCAUGUGUUAGGAUUACACAAAGAUGGAUACUAUAUCUUAUAUGCCUACUUAGCUAGUAUCAAUGAUGCCUUAUACAAUGAUAUGUUUUUGUCUUCCCUAUGUUCUAGCAUGAUACUCAUGUUAUGUGUCUACAUAACUAAGUCAGAAUAUGUUGUGGUUAGAUAACUAGAAAGCAUGUCCCUAAGUAAAGGCAAUGUUUGAAUAUAGCAAUGUCUGAUUAAGGUGAUGUCUGAAUAAGGUAAUGUCUGAUUAAGAUGAUGUCUGAAUAGUUUGAUGUCUGGAUGAGUUGAUGUUUGAAUAAUUUUGAUAUUGUUAAACUUAAGUUGGAAAUCAUAUGUGUUAUAUUAGAGCAUAAUAGACUAACCCCAGAACCACCCACUAGGGUGUUUCUAAGUUGAUGCAGUAGUAGAGUUGAGCUGAUUCGGAUGUGCAGCGAUGGACUUGGUAUUCAAUGUCGGGUUUGAGUUUCAAGUGUUUAUUCUGAGACUUGAUUCUUUUCAUGUUGUCUUAUGUUGGAGCACUCUCCGCUUUUGUUAAAGCAGAUGAUCAUUUUCUAUCUUUUUGGUUGUUCUAUUUAAAUAAAGUUUUUGAAAUUCCUUUGAGUUGAGUCCCUAUAGGGCAAUUUGGUUAUUAAAUAAAUAGAAAGUUUUUGGGGUGUGUCACAAGCGCCCGCGACAAAGAGUAAAACCUGCGACCAUUGUAUGAGCGCUAAUGGAUUUAUUCAAACGUUGUCGCAGUCCGCCUAAAACAAGAGCUCGACUGCGAUAAACAUAGUGAAUGACUACCCUUCAGCAGCCGAUCUCCACUCAUUCCACACAGCUUCAACUCUCCUCCCAUCUGAAAUCCUCCUAUUCCUCUCAAUUUCCUCCAUCGAUUUUCUCCUCUUCUCUUCUCCAAUUUUGUCACCCCGACUUCCACCCUUUUCUCGAAAUCGCCAAUAUCAGCUUACUGUUACUAACAAGAAGCAUAAGAGUUCGAUUUUGAUAUAGUUGUGUCGGGCAAUCGCAUUGUGUUUGAGUUGAAGAAUCAGGGGGUUAAACCUGUAGGUCCACUUCAUUCCUUCAUGGGAUACUACAUAAGUGAGUGUACAAGAAAUUAUGCUUACUACCCGGUCUCUCCAAUCGAAUGGAAGAAGUUGUCGCCCCAAUUGAAGACACGGGCUUGGGAGCAGUUUGUGCUAGUAAGUAUUAUUUUAGUUUUUUUAAUUAGAUAUAUUUUUGUAGUUAAAAUUGUAACUAGUUAGUGCUUAAUUGAUUUAUAUUAUAAACCUCUUUUCACAUUGAGGCGAAUGAGAUGGUUGAAGCUCGCAAAUAUUGGGAUCGCAAUGUUGGAAGACUGUUGGGGGAAGUCAAGGAUCACAAUUUGGCAAGCUUAGUUGAAGCAUGCACAAAUAAACCAACUCCCUCCAUAGUGGAUUAUGAAUAAUUCCUUGACAGGUUGUCCAAUGGCUGAUUGGAUAACGUACUUGUUGCGAGUUAACGACAAGUAGUUCGAGAUAGUACAUAUAUUUACAGAUUUCUAAUUGUAUUUGAUUGUAGUUUUUAAUACCGACUCAAGAACUUUUAUGUGCUUGAGUCAUAUCAAAUCAAGCCGCUCAAAUGGAAAACCAUAAAGGAGGGAGAAGGCCAUGUGAUACAUAUGUCAAGGAAACCAUUGAGAAGAUGGGUAAGCCACCUUCUCUACGCCAGAAGUUCAUAAAGUUCUUCCACUAACUAGAUGGAAGUUACAAAUCAGAACAUGGAAUACUUGUGGUGGUAAUGACUAGUUUCCAUAUAUAUAAUAGAUAUAGCUUUAAACUAGAAGACAAUAGAAUUAAUUGAACAUCUGUUAUGUAGGAGACUAUCAGCAACUAGAGCGGGAAGGAGCACCGACUGAGGUUGGGCCUAAUGACUCAUUGGCUCAAACACUAAACAAGCCAAAGCAUCGAGGCCACGUUCGGAUGAUGAGUUUGGGGUUUACCCCACAAUGGUAAUAAUGUUCAAUUUCAAAUUUGUUCUUUCUUGGGUCGUUAGUGUUUGUACCUUGUUUGGUGAUAUUUGUACUGUUUUUUCUUUAAGGUAUUUGGUGGUGCUAGCACUUGUUCAUCAUCAUCAUCAGCUCCUUCUGCCUCUGGGAAUGCAAGUGUGUCCUCAAAUGCUGCUCCUAGUGCUCCCCCUCCCUUACGAGAAGAGUUUGAUUGGAUGUCGUAGCAGAUGGCAUUGAUGUUGCAACAGUUGGCUACAAUGUAUUACAUGAUGUCGUCGGAGCUCGCCGGUGCUUUUACCUAAGUUUUGACUCCUGGGAUAGUUCCUGGUACUCCAUUCAAUCCAAGUCCUCUAUAUCUGUAUUAGGAGCCUAUGCAGCAGCAACAACCAUCUCAACAAUAGCAACAAGCUCAUGAGACCAAUCUUAUGGGUUACUUCCCAUUCUCUCAAGAAGCCAAAAAUCAGUUUCGCCUUCAUGGGAUGAUGGCGAAGCCUUUUCUUCCCUUCUUCAUACAUUAGAAAGAGUGAGUUUUAUAAUUAGUUUCUUGAAAUUUCAAUUAGAAUUCAUGUUUGUACUUACUUGUGUUUUUUAUGUUUAUAUAUAGGUCCCCAUUCCAGACACGAGGGAGCAACGAGAUGAUGAUGAUUGUUCGUAGUUGUAUUUCUAGUUAGUUCUAGCUCUCUCCCCAUCCCUAUUCCCAUAUAUUAUGUAGUAUUUGAAACUUCUAAGAUAGUUUCUUAAGAUAAUUUCUUAACGUUUGCAUAUUAAUGUUUGUUAUUGUAGUUUGGAAUUAUUACAUGAGAUGGUAAUUAUGGAAUUAUUAUGUGUUAUUAUGGAAACCUAAAAACUGCUCUAAAUUCUAAAAUUCUGCUCUAAAUUCUAGAACAUUGAAAAAGCUCUAUAACUGCAAAGGUAGAUCAAUUUGAAAGUGAUAGGUGGCACCAUACCAGAAUAGACACAUCUCCAGCAUUAUUGUAAUAGGCUAGUCGCAGGCCCUUUCUCGCAAGUGUUGACUACGAUUGGCCGGUCACUGGUAGCGCCUGUGAUAAAGCGCCUACAACCAGCCAAUCGCAGCCAACGGCUACGACAAGGCGAGCUUUGUCACAUCAAUAAUUGUCGCAUGCCUAUUUCUAUUUGUCGCAUGCACUGUAUGUAACCAUCCUUCUAUUUUAUGGCAGGCUGGCCUGCGACAUUGUUUUGUUUUUGCUUGUGACUGUUUUCCCUUUUUAUUGCAGUGUAAGUUAUACACUUUCAUGCAUUAUUACGUGUUGAAGAUGGAUUCUAACGUGAUUUUGAAAGCUCCUAGACCGAAACGAGUGACCAUUUAGUUUGAUUCUUUUAGUAAUGUGUAAAUGAAAAGUCUACAUGCUAAAUAUAAAUUCAUAAAUUUGUUCUCAAUAAUAAAAAGUUUACUAGUUAAGAAUAGUUGAAAUAUUGAUGGACGAUGUUAAGUUCAUCCUUCCAUAAAUUUAAUUCACAAACUUAAAAUGAUUCGUAAGUGAAAUGUUAGUAUUAAGACGUUCACAGAUGAAAACAACAAAGAUUGAACAUCAAACUGUAAAGAUAAAAAUAAACUGUAUCUCAUAUUAUUUGGAAUUAAGNNNNNNNNNNNNNNNNNNNNNNNNNNNNNNNNNNNNNNNNNNNNNNNNNNNNNNNNNNNNNNNNNNNNNNNNNNNNNNNNNNNNNNNNNNNNNNNNNNNNNNNNNNNNNNNNNNNNNNNNNNNNNNNNNNNNNNNNNNNNNNNNNNNNNNNNNNNNNNNNNNNNNNUAAUAUAAUACUCAUAAGUGGACAUAACAUAGACAUAAUCCACCUAUAAAGUGGACACAAUGAUUAUAUAUAUAAUUUUAUCAUAAUAUGAACAUAACAGUGACAUAAUUUACUUAUAAAUGUAACAUAAUAGUGAAUUAACAUACUCAUAAGGUGAAUAUAAUAGGGACAUAAAAUGUUCGUAAACCAAGCCUAAAAGAUGCCUAAUAAACUUAUAACUUAGACAUAACAUAGGCAUAAAAGAAUUGCAGUAGUACUGAUAUUUAGGUUAUGUAGCAUAAUAGCCUAAAACAAGUGGUCUACUCAAAACACUAAAAAUUGAUAUAUAAUCGUAAUAUAAUUGUUCUAUGACAGUUAUCCGUUAUUAACAUAGAAGUUGUACAAACAUAUUGUGACACCUUGAUUUUGGGUUGAGUAUGAUUCUAGGAUAGUAUUGGUUUUUGUGAGUCGGUGAGAAUCACUGUCAGACGGUCCGUCACGGGCGUAUCGGACAGUCUCUCAUAGGCGUGAUCAUCAGGUAGAUCAUGAUCGUGGUCAAUGAUAGUCACGAACGUGGCAGCCGGAGGAUGACGGCCGUGACCAUCAGUAGGUCAUGGACGUGGUUUCCAUGUCACAACGGGUGAGGUAAGCAGUACGCCAUGGGUGUGGUGGACAACUUAUGAAACCUAAUUUUCUUCUUCCUUGCAAACUUCUGACGAGCGACGAUUGUUCCAGGCACAGGGGAAAGUCUUGUUGAUCGAUCCAGACCAGUAGGAGAGGCCUAGAGAUCAUCGAGGAAGCUUUAGGAGGUAAUCUACCUUCUUCCUCGUUCGUCAAUCCUUUUCUUUGAAUCCCAUGUAGGAAAAUCCUGACAGGUUUGGAUUUGGAGUUUUGGGAUUUCAAUUUUAUGAUUGUUCCCUUCAGGUUAUAUGGAUUAGGCAAGCAAACUCUAGGUUUCAGAUCAUACUCUUCAGAGGAAAGCUUUCAGAGGUAGGGGUUAGGAUUACUUUUCUGCUUUAUGCGAAGAAUUGUAAUUAGUUGUCAGGAAUCCUUGUUUGGAUUUUCAGAAUUGUACAAUAGUGUGCGAUCUACUGUAUAGAAAGAUUUGUUAUGCAGUUUAGAGUUUCGGGUUGUACAAUAGCGUGUGAUCUACUGCAUAGGCAGAUGGUUAUGAUUCGAGCAUAAGCUCACAACGAGAAACUAUGCAUUUAUACAGUUCAUGUUAGGAUUAAGAAUCAGAACUAGAAUAUACUAGCUCACGAUAUACGUUGGUCACCCACCCUAUAGAUUGUGCGAUCCCCGAGGCUACAUUUACUUUCAGGUAGGACUUGACGAUAAUGCCUUCAGUUGCUGCUCUCACGGUCUGAUCCACCAUGAGGUCAUCCGCUCAUAGCUAGGGGUGGCUAAUGUUAGGAUAAUACCUAGAGGACCACAUGGUCACAUUACUAGAUACUAGUUCAGUUUUUCAUGUUCAGGGUCAGCUGCUCAGUGCUUAUCACUGACCUUGUUACAUUUCAUUAUACAUGAUCAACCUUGGGACUUCAGGAGCCAAUGCCGCUUAAGAAAGGAGCAUGAGUAGUGACACCACCUCGCAGUGAGUCUGGGAGUCACACAGAGAGGUACCAUCGAGUACCUCAGCUGUCUCUUUCAGUGUUUUCAUAGUUUUAAGACAGUCUUUCAUGUUUUUUCAGUUGUUUGUGAGACUUAUUUUACAGUGGUUGUUUUCCCAGGUUUGGGAUGUCUUUUAGUGAUGUUCAUUUUUGAAUUCGAGCCAUGAUGCUCUGUUUAUUUUUUGCUGUCGUUUUACUUAAGUAUUGAGGAUUUUCAGUUCAGUUAAUGUAUGUCAGUUGUUAUGAUAUAAGUUUGAGUGAACCCAUGAGCAAUGCAUGGAUAGAACCGUGUGGUUUGAUCGAGUCAUCUAGGGGUGGGUUUCACACAUAUUAGUUAUAUUAUGUGACAUUAUAAUAAAUAAUAAAGGGAAUAUUGUCAUUUACCCUCUUUUACUUCACCCAACUCGCAUUAAGCCCUCUAUACAAUUCAAUGUUCCAUUAACCCCUACACAUUGCCCACUUUACCAUUCGUCUCCUUCCGUUACGCUUUCCAUAUGUACACCGUUAAAACCAUACAACUCAACAUGCCAUGUAAGUUUUUCGGCACCACAUCAGCGUUUAAUUCCUUUAACAAUUCAUGAAAUAUAAAAAAUUCCAGACACCCUUCUUUCUUCACUCUUCUCCACUCGACCCCCAACCUUUCUCACAUCCGAUGCAGCCGAACUUCGCCCCGAGGGUGAACACAAGGAGAGGAGGGUUGCUAGAUUUUGGGUGUUGUUUUUGCACUCAAAUCCGAUUCAAAAGAAAUAUUGGCCACACUGGAAAAAAGUUAUGGUUUGAUCAUCCUCUAAACAUUCGUAGCAGUGUAAUUCAAGGUCUUAAAUUGGCUACCACUACCAAUUGGAAAGUGAGCAAGCCAAUUUGUAGCGAACACCAAGUGUUCAACAAAAUUCUUAGAUGCUAAAAGACUCUUACUGGCAUCACAAACACUUGACAAGGGUGCUAAGUCACUAUUUGACACCCCCUAACAUUCCAAUCACCUAAAUUGUCACUACCUAAGUGAUUACCAAAAUGCACUCAAGGUGUUAGAUAAAAUGCCACUAAGAGAAUCCUCACACUAAUGGUUGAAUUGGGGUGUGUGCUUGGUCCACACACCCUUACCCCAAUCUUGGACUACACACUUACUCAAGUCAAGCACAAUUAAGUAAUUGAAAGAGUACAUUUGACCUAGAACAAGCCAUAGCACAUUCUAAGUUGCAAUAACCAUAGUCCAACCAUUCUCAAAUACCAUAAUCCAUAUCUAACAUGUAUCCAAAUCCUCGUCAUGAGGGGAUCAUCCUAGUACAUAGCAAUACCCUAAUCUAACAACUAAAGAGUCUAGCCACUCAUCAUGACACUAAAACUAAAGAAAAGGGAUACAAUCACCAUCAAUCAACUAGUAUGAAGAAGAUGAUGAGGGUAGGAUCCUUCCUCAAAGCUCUACUAUUCCAAUUCCUUCAAUCCUUGGUCUUCUCUAGCUCCGAAGCUUCUUCAAGGUCUUCAAUUGAUCUUCUAAGGCUUCAAAUUGGGUGAAAAUCGAGAGAGGAGUCGGGUCUCAACAAUUGUUAUGACUGUAGUGUGAAUUGUUCGUCCAAUCUCCAUGGACCAUAUGCCAUGUGGACCAACACGGGCUCCAGAUGCCAUGUGGCCUAAUUUCCAGCUUAGGACUUUGUUCUUUGAUCGCACAUAUCUCCCUCGUCCGACCUCCGUUUGAGCUCUGGUUGGUCUCAUUGGAAUUUUCUCGUUGUUCUUUAUGCAUCGGAUACCUACAGCCUCAUAUAUACAAUGAGAAACGAGGUCGAACGGACCAAAAUGAUCCAUUUGACAAAAUGAAACAAGAACCCCUUUUUUUCUUCCAACCAAUCACAAAGGAGGGUCAAAACUAGGUCAAACAAGGUAAAAAACAGUCAAGAUGUGGUCAAAUUGGCAACAAAUAAUCGUGCUAUCACAUCCCCCCACACUUGAACGUUGCUUUUCCUCAAGCAAAUCUACUAAUCACACUCAAAGAGAACUCGAAACAGGGUGAAAAGAAAAUAUUUCCUAGCAUUUCAAGCCUAUUUCACGAUGCCAAGAUUGCAAGUCAAUCACCAAACCACUCAAUUAUGUAUAAGACAUUGAAUCCCUUAAAAAAUUUCACACCAAACUCUAAUAUAUAGAUAUUAUGAUUAGAUACCUAAACAAGCGAAUGUACUAAAGUUUCUCCAAUGCACUUAUGUCAUAUGGUACUAGCGGAAGAAAUGGACAGACAGACGGUCCUGGCUGGGUAUUUUUCCCGUCUUGAGGGAGGGGAUGCCUGAUCUAACAUAAACAUAACUAUCACCAAGUAUACUAGCAUCUCCCUCUUCUUUUACUCUACUUUGCUUUCUUUUGUAUUUAGUUUUCAACUAUCUUUUCUCCCUCUUUUUUUUCACAUGGAUGCUUUUUCCAAAUGAGGUGGUUGUGAUUCCAAUUAGGCUCAGAUCCGGUGAAUACCGGGCACCAGUACCGCAAUCCACACAUCGAAGGGUUGAGAAGAGGAGCCCGAGGUGUUGAGCAUACGAGUGGCAGAUCGAAAUCUACCUUGCGUGUUUGAAUCACAACCUUCCUCCAUAUCAUUCUUAAGCACAUUGGCCUCCUGUCCAUUUUGACUUCAUAAUACCAUAGACAAGUUCAAAAAGGAGAAUCAAUCAUACAUAUCGAGCAAGUAAAGGUGAAAACUCAAAACAUCCAUAUGUGCGAGUUUGAAGCAAACUAAUUUCAGGAAAAUGGGAGGUAGUCCACAAAUGAUUACUCAACAACCUAUUCGUCCUCAAGUAGUAUGAAUAAACUAGGUAUGCAUCCAAAGAGAUUCACAUAUUCAAAUUUGAGAGGGAGUAUCAAAAUUCAAGAGCAAGUCAGAAAAAAUGCUACCAAGAUAUGCACAAAAAUUCUCAAACCCGAAUAGUAUAAAAAAAUCCUCCCCCCCCCCACACUUGUACAACACAUUGUCCUCAAUGUGAAAAGAUAUAAGGGGAAGAGGGGUACCAAACGGGGGUGAGGAGUGAAGCCGGAUGAGAAGAUGAAGGAUCAAGAUCGAGUACCUAGAGUUUCACAAAAGGCAAGAACAAAAAAAAAACAAAAAAAAAACGCAGAAACAAACACGAAUAAUGGUCGAGUCAAGAGAAAAGAAGAUAUCUCAAGGCCGUCGAGGAGCUGUCUCAACAAGAAUCCAAUCCACUUAGGCAAGAGUAUACAAGAAUGUGCACAAGUAGAUAUGGAAGAGGCAAGAUGCAUAAGAUAUGCAUAACCAAUAAAGAAGAUAACUAGUUAUUCUCAACCAAGACUAACUAGCAAUCCUAAACAAGAGCAUCCUAUAAUCCAUAAAUGAGUAAGACAAGGGUGAGAAAAAGCUAUGGAACCAUCUCAACUCAUUUAGAAUCAAUUCCAGAAAGUUAUCAUCACAAACGUGUACCAAGUCCAAUCAACAAGAAUGAGCAUAAAGAGUGUAUGCAAAGCAUCAAGUGAACAAAGUAUGCAUCAUUCAACUAUAAUCAAUUUGAGAGCUCAAUGGACUACUAGUAUGCAUCAUUCUUCUUUGACUCAUUAACCAAAACAAUGAGCACAUAUGGAUAAUCAAAAGUAGUGGCAUGAUCAAAAUUCAAGCAUUAGAAGCAAUGAGCAAAGUCACAAUCAUCAAUUCAAUAAUUGGACGCAUCAAAUUCACCUAGCAACAACCUAGGUUCAACCAUACAAGGGAGCACAAAGAUGCAAUUCCAAAUUCUCAUCGCAAGAAUUCAACAACCCACAUAAUUCUUGUUCAAAAAUAUCAUAUUGGCAAAGCUAGACAUUCAAGUAGGCACAACCAUCUGAAACUGGCAAUUGCAAUGUUCAAAUUAGCACAAAAGCAUCAUUUGACCAAAUUUGACCACAAUUCAAACUUUCCACACACUCCAUCAAUCAAACCAGAGCAAACAGAACACAGACGACACAGAUUCAGGCCACAUCAUCAACCAAAAAGUCGUAGGCAGUCAAACGAGCUUUCCAACGCCGCUGGUCUUGCGAAAAACAAACGCUCGAGCAAGAAGUUAUGCUCAAAAUACCGAACCACAGCAUUUUUUCGCACAAGGCGACCAAUCAACGGAGGGUCAACGUCCGGUGAACCGGUCUGGUCAAACUCAGGUUGGUUCGGUUUGAAAAUCGGUUAAACAAUGCACCCCCUUCUUUGAAUAGUGCAUCUUGGCACAUUUUUAACACAAUCGAGCACGUUUCGGAGCUGGAAAUUCAAGUUUUUUUUUAGAAAACCCAUUGGAACUGUAGAUUUUGCAUAAAAAGUACGCUUUAGCCUUUUGUUUCCAAAAUCAAGCAAAUUUUAGGAUCUGAAAGUUCAAUUUUUUCAGAAAACCCGUAGGAAGUGUAGAUUUUUCAUAAAAGUAAGUCUGAGCAUAUUUUUUAGUAAAACAACCAUUUUUUAGCUCUCGAAAAUAUAAAAAUUUCAAGACUGCUUUUUUUCUUUUUCCUAAUGCAACGAAACUUCCUGCUAGCCUUAGGCACACUAAGAUAAGAUCAAGCAAAUCUCCAAACACUCGUUCUCUCGUCCCGGUCAUCACAAGAACACAAGAAACAAAAACACAAACAAAACACGACAAACACACAAUCAUGCAAGUUUUAUUCAAUUUUCCUACUCCUAAGCUACACUAUUCAUGACGAGACACCUAUGGUAUCACCAACUUGGUAAUGUUCAAGAUGCAUCCCACAAAGUAGAAGAGGGUCAAGAUGAGUAGAGGAGGUUACCUCGAUCUUGGAAGGAACGAACUUUUGUUACCAUAAAGGGGCCGGAGAUGAGGACUCUAUCGCCCUCUUUGAGUGCUUGUUUGGUGGGGAGGUGCAAAUCAUGGAGUUGCUUGAUCGCUUUCUUGCAACUCCCAUCCUUGACCUUGUGGACACUUUUUUGGUGAGAAGAAGGAUUCUUGGGCUCAAGGUCUGGUGGUUCUUCAUGCAUGUUCCUCGCCUUAGCAUGCACUCCCUUGAUCGAGAUAGCUUCGGUUUCCUUAUUAUACUAUUUCACACACUCGCUCAAGGAUGGAUCCAAGGCUUCAUGAUGAAGAGAUACAUUAAUAGCAUAAACUAAAGCCAUUUCAACGGGCUCGCCAAUAUCAUUAUCAUCUUGAGGAUCCGGGUGCUCCAUACCCCCGAUCAAUUGAAAUGUGGCUUCCUUUUGACCCACUCUCAAGGUAAGCUUACCCUCAAACACAUCUAUGAUUUCCUUCGACGUGUUGAGAAAUGGACGACCCAAAAUCAAUGAAACGUCGGUGUCUCCGGUGUCAAUCACAACAAAAUCCACCGGAAACAUGAACCUUCCAACAUGCAUAAUAACAUCUUCAACUACACCACUAAGCAAUUUUGUAGUUUUUUCCGCUAGUUGGAUGCACAUCUUAGUUGUUGUAAGUUGACCUAGGCCUAGUUUCUUGUACAAUGAAUAUGUCAUGACAUAUAUACUAGCACCUAGAUCUGCUAAACCUCUUUCAAUCACAACUUGACUAAUCAUGGAAGGGAGAAAGAAACUACCCAGAUCUUUGCGUUUGCAAGGGAGGUCCCUUGAGAGGAUUGUCGAGCAUUGCUCAUUGAGAUUGAUGUUGGAAGCUUCUAUGAGCCUUCGCUUGUUGGUGAAGAUCUCCCUUAGGAACUUGGCGUAUUGAGGCAUCCUUUCGAUUGCCUCGACGAAAAGAACGGUGAAGUUCAUAUUGCAAAGUCGAAGCACAAGUUGCUUUAAGCUCUUCUCGAGAAGAUCCUUAUCCAAUUGGUUGGGAUAAGGUGGCUUAGGGUUGUAUGGAGCCGACUGGGGCUAGGAGAUAGGAGAAGCCUCAGUUGAACUCUUCGUAGCCUUCUUGGAACCAACUUCAGUUGACACCUUUGGCUUUCCAUUACUCUUUGGAGCUUUCGGAACUAAUGCAUGCGGAACCGGUGCACUUUCUUCGACCAUCACUUCAUUCUCUUAAUCACUAGAUGCUUCAUUUUUCAUUAACAUCUUUCACAAGAAAUUCAUUAUCAUGCACAAGCUUGCUAGGUACAUCGAUAGGAGGAUCGAUUAAAUUUAGGAGUUGUGGACACAUAGUGUCUCAUGCUCCUAGUUGUGAUAGAUCCACAAGUUUCCUUGCUCUUUGGAUUGGUUAUGAUAUUUCUAGGUAGAGUGCACGGUUGCCGACUUGAAAGAGCGUGUGUGAGGUAUCCAACUUGAUUCUUAAGAUCCACCAUUUGAGCUUGAGUUGAGGCAUUGUGGGUGUCUUGAAAUGCUCUUUGCUCUUGAGUCACCUUGUUGUGCUCUUGGAAGAACUUAGCUUGAUUCUCAAUCAUUUGGUUUCCUCCAUUGAAGCUCCCUUGAACAUAAUCAACUUCUUUAAUGAAGUGCUCUUCCUCCGGUGCGAAAUCGGGAGCAAGGGAUUGGCAAGUAGAGGUGGCAUGCCCUUCGUUCCCAUAACAUUCACAAACAAAGAGUUGCACAACCAGUUGAUUCACCUUUGGUUCUUGUACCUCUUUCUUUUGAGGUGGAGUGGCGGUUGGUCUCACCACCGGUUGAGCCAAGGCAAGUGCUUUGAUUUGAGCCGCCAUGCCAUCCAUCCUUGAUAGCAUCAAGUGAACAAGAUGGUUGGGAUCUUCCUCCUUAUGUCCCGGCAUCUCCUUAAGGACCUUUGGAGCUUGAGUGCGAGUACAAACAUAAGGAUCUAUGCUCACCACCUUAGCUUCUAUAGGACCUUGUUGCCUAGACCAACUCUUCAUCUUCACCGCCAUUUCCCGGAAGACUUGAAGCCAUCAUUUGGCGAGGAGUGAUCUCAAGUCUCCUCCCGCCGCUUGAUUGGUCAUCUUGGUGUCCUCAUAAGUGAGUCCUCAUAAGUGAGUCCUCUAGCAAAGGUCUCCGCGAGUUUCCACUCAUUGAAGUUGAAGUUGUGAUGAGGGCAAGAGUAGAGAAGGGCUUGGGACCUCUCCCAAGCUUCAAAGAAUGGCUCUCCAUUAAUUUUCUCAAAGUUGGAGAUUCUACUUUGGAUCUCAUCCGUCUUGUAAGGCAGGAAGAAUUCCUCCAAGAAGGCCUUUGCUAGAUUGUCCCAAGCUUGGAAGGUAUUGUUUCGUUGGUUGUCGAGCCAUUGAUUUGCCUUCCAUUGGAGUGAGAAGGGAAGAGUCGGAGUUGAAUGGCUUCUUGCGACACAUGAUUGAACUUCAUUAGAUCCAUGAUCUCGAGAUAGCUACUUGGACAUUCGUGCUCGUGCCCAUGGUAUACGUUUUGUUGCACCAUUUGAAUGUAGUUGAACUUCAACUCGAAGUUCCGGUUAUCAAUAAGGGGUGGAGCACACUUGAAGAAGUACCUUCAAGAGUUGGCUUAGGUAAUCACCUAGAGUUCUUUGAGGUUCUUGAGCCAUCUCAAAGAUGUUAACAAAUUCAUCAGCCUCUCCUUUGCAAGAUGAAACAAUUGAUGAGUGAUCCAGGGUUGUUAAAGAAGUUGCGAUGUGAGGUGGUGGUGGUGCUUGAGGUGGAGAUGAGAUGAAUCUCUUUGGUAGACGCCUUGUACGCUUCAAUCUUCUCAUGCACUAAUAGUGCAUGAACGGAACCUACACAACAAAGCAAACAACCAAGGGAACACAACAAAGGAAUAAACACACAAGAAGGGGGUAGCAAUAAGUAAAAUGGAUUAGGUAGAAUGCCUAAAUCGGUGUCUAAUCUACUCUUUCAAGGGGGUGAUUACACUCCCCAACAAUGGCGCGAUUUUGAUCCUCUAAAAAAGAACCAAACAAACAUGAUCGGCUAAGAAAAGGGACUAAUCCCAAACCCAAGGUCUCAAGUGACAAUUUUCACGAGGAACAGACCACCAACCCUAUACUCAACUAUUAAAGACACGGUUUAAGCUCACAAAAGUUCAAAAUGCUAGUUCCUUAAAUUAUCCACUAAAGUACAUAUCAUUCACAAGAGUAAUUGGAACUAAAUUAAGCUAACGAACUAAGCAAACAAGAUACUAAAGAGGGUGAACACAAGGAGAGGAGGGUUGCUAGAUUUCGGGUGUUGUUUUUGCACUCAAAUCCGAUUCAAAAGAAAUAUUGGCCACACUGGAAAAAAGUUAUGGUUUGACCAUCCUCUAAACAUUCGUAGCAGUGUAAUUCAAGGUCUUAAAUUGGACUACCACUACCAAUUGGCAAGUGAGCAAGCCAAUUGGUAGUGAACACCAAGUGUUCAACAAAAUUCUUAGAUGCUAAAAGACUUACUGGCAUCACAAACACUUGACAAGGGUGCUAAGUCACUAUUUGACACCCCCUAACAUUCCAAUCGCCUAAAUUGUCACUACCUAAGUGAUUACCAAAAUGCACUCAAGGUGUUCGAUAAAAUGCCACUAAGAGAAUCCUCACACUAAAGGUUGAAUUGGGGUGUGUGCUUGGUCCACACACCCUUAAUCCAAUCUUGGACUACACACUUACUCAAGUCAAGCACAAUUAAGUAAUUGAAAGAGUGCAUUUGACCUAGAACAAGCCAUAGCACAUUCUAAGUUGCAAUAACCAUAGUCCAACCAUUCUCAAAUACCAUAAUCCAUAUCCAACAUGUAUCCAAACUCUCAUCAUGAGGGGAUCAUCCUAGUACAUAGCAAUACCCUAAUCUAACAACUAAAGAGUCUAGCCACUCAUCAUGACACUAAAACUAAAGAAAAGGGAUACAAUCACCAUCAAACAACUAGAAUGAAGAAGAUGAUGAGGGUAGGAUCCUUCCUCCAAGCUCUACUAUUACAAUUCCUUCAAUCCUUGGUCUUCUCUAGCUCCCAAGCUUCUUCAAGGUCUUCAAUUGACCUUUUAAGGCUUCAAAUUGGGGGAAAAUCGAGAGAGGAGUCAUAUCAUCAUACAUCUUAAUAUUAUCUCUAAUUGGGACCACCUCAAUAUUAUCUGCAACAAUCUCAUCCUCAGUGUCAACCUCUAUGGCAAGUAGCUGUUGUAACUCCGUUUCUGAAGAUGAUGCAACCACUCCACUAGAGGAGGCAUCACAAUGAACAGCAAACCUACAUGAACAAACUCUAUACGAUUGAGGUUACCAAACAAAUCACCCCACACUUAUCUUUUGCAUAAACCAAUAUGCAUUAAUCAAGCUGUAGAAAAAGAGAAGAGUGGGCUUAGAAGCAACUAUUGAACAUCUCAUCCAAAUAGGAAAUCUGUCAUAAUAAAGAAUACUCAACAUCAUUAAGGCAAUCCACGUAAGGUUUAGGGCACUUAGAAACUAUCCACAAAGUCACACAAACAAUGUAAGACAUGUAAAAUUUCAUAAAUUCUUAACCCAGAAAAAUACCGAGCAAAACUCAACAUUCCUAUGACACCUAAUCAUAUAAUUUCAAAGUGCAAAGGAUGUCAUUAACAUCCUAUAUCAUACCCAAUUGAAUUCUAGCAUCAUCAAUUUCACAAAACCUCAUAUUUGAAAUUUCAAGUUCUUCAAGCUAAUCAUCAAUCUCAACAAUUUAACCAAUCAGGGCAAAGUGAACAAGGAGAAACUGGGCAAAAUUCAAUGUAAACUAGCUCAAAACUCACUCAAAGUUGAUGAAAAACGAAGGGGGGAGAUUGGGGGAGGGUUCGGCGGUGACCGACAACGGUUCUAUGGUGACAGGAGUGCGGAGUUUUGAAUGACGGCAAAGGGGUAGGAGGGUGGAGUCGGCGUCAGUGGAAUGUUUGAAAAAAAUAUGGUUCAAAAAUCGGCUAAGGCUAGAAUAUUUAGAAACCCGUGUCAACUAUUGCAUUGUAGAAGUGUCAAAAAUGCGGUAUGGACAUAGCGCAAUGUUUGACAAAUCAUAGCGCAAUGAUUGAAAGGAUUUCCAGAACUCAAUGUCAACAUUUUUUCUAUAGAUGGUCAAUUAUUGCGCUAUGGGCAUAGCACAAUGCUUGACACAGAUCCAUAGCACAAAGGUUGACAUCCUAUUAUGUGAACUUCCAUAGUUCAUGAAAGAAUCAACACUCUUUGCAUUGACGACUGGGGACAAGAAUGACACUCAAGUAUCACGUUCUAGACUCGAUCUAACUCCUACACAUGCAAAUUGACUCAAAGAAUAUGAAAAAUACUGACUCCAGACAUGGGCUUCCUUCCAUGAAGCGCUCUUUCUUUAACGUCUUUGAGCUAGAUGAUACAAGGACCUCAAUUUAGCAUCUUCAAAGUAAUGAACUUUUACUCCAUCGGUAGGCUUGGUACUGAGAUAUAGCUUGAGACGUUGACCGCUGAAUUUAAUGUUCCUUGGUCCGGAUGUGUGAUCUCCACAAAUCGGUAGGGAAAUGAUUGUGUGACUUCAUAAGGUCCCGACCAUCUUGAUUGUAAUUUUCCCAAAAAUAGUCAGAGCUGGGAGUUGUAGAGCAGCACCUUAUCUCCCUACUUGAAUUCUUUGACCCCUUGAAUAUUAGCAUCGUCGAUUCGUUUCAUCCUUUCCUUAUAUAUACAUGAGCUCUCGUAAGUAUGAAACAUGUGCUCCUCUAGCUCAAGGAGCUAAUAUUUGCAUUCUGAAGCUACGAGACUAUCAUCCAUGUUUAGCAGCUUCAUGGCCCACCAUGCAUUAUGCUCAAGCUCGACCGGUAAAUGAUAAGCCUUUCCAUAAACGAAUCGAUACGGGAAAGUGUAGAUAGGGAUCUUGAAGGCGGUUCGGUAAGCCCAUAGAGCUUCAUCGAGCCAAAUCGACCUGUCCUUAUGAGACUGAUCGACUGUGCUAUCAAGAAUCUGCUUAAGCUCACGAUUCUUCACCUCCACUUGACCGCUUGCAUGUGGAUGGUAAGCGGUCAUCAAUCAAGGAGCUAUGCUAAAUGUUUGGCAAACUCAAUAGAAUUGACCCUGAAAGUGAGUGACUUUAUCGCUAAUGAUAGCAUGAAGGCCGCUGAAACGCAUGAAAACGCAUGUAAUAAACUUUCCCACUGUCAGAACAUAGUUAGUAGACAGCGGUUGCGCCUCUGCCCACUUUGAGACAUAAUCCACUUUGAAAUGUUACAUGUACGUUGGCAGUUGAUUUUGGGCUUUAAUCUGAAUUCUGUGAAUUUUGGAAAUUGGCUGAUCAAUGGACAGUCACAGGCAUGACAGUCAGUCUAUCACGGGAAAGGUUGUCAGACAGACCACGACCGUUGUCAGCAAACAUUCAUGGGCGUGACCACUGGAAGAUCAAGGGCUUGACCAUCAGGAGGUCAUGGUUGUGACCAUCAGUAGGUCACGGGCAUGGUUUCUAUGUGGCCACGGGUAUGGUGGUAAGUUGGACAUGGGCGUGGUGGACUUAUUAUAUAAGGACAGUUGCAACUUACAACUCAGAAUUACUGAAACCUAAGAACUUUGAAUCCCUCUGCAAAUGGCAAUCAAUUUCAGGAGAUGGAGAAAUCCCAUUUGAUCUAAUCCCAAAUCAUUAGGAAAGGUCUAGAAAUCGUUGAGGAUGCUUCCAAAGCUACUCAAUCUUCUUCCUCCUUUCUCAAUCCUUGAUUGGAAAUCCUACGUAGGAAAUUCCUGACACAUUAGGAUUUGGGGUUUUCAGAUUUCAAUCCUAUGAAUUAAUCUCUACGGGUCAGACAGAACAUGAGGCUUGAUCUUGGGAAGGUAGCUUCAUAUUAGACUCUACUAGGAAAGCUAAUCAGAGGUGGGGGGUUAGGAUUUCUUUUCUGCUUUAAGUGUAGAACUGUAAUUAGGAUUGUCAGGAAUCCGAUUAUUAGAUUCUCAGACUGUGUAGUAGCAUAUGAUUUAUUGUACAUGUGUUGUGAUUUGAAGGGCUCUCAAGACUGUGCAAUAGCGUGUGAUCUACUGUACAUGUAUUACGAUUUUUAGAGCCAAGCUCUUAGUAUUGUGCAGUAACGUGUGAUCUACUGUACAUGGGUUGUGAAACAGAGCCAGGCUCUCAGACUAUGUAGUAGCGUGUAAUCUACUGUACAUGCAGUUGUUUAAUUUCGAGCAUAAGCUCAUGGUGAUUAAACUAUGCUUGUGAUUCACAGUUCAUGUUAGGACAGGAUCAUGUUUAGCUAGAUUAGCUCUCGAUAUGCAUUGGUCACCCGCCCAUGGAUUGCGCAAUCCCUUAGGUCAUGUUCAGGCUCAUGUUGGACGUGUCGAGUAUGCCUAUAGAUGCUGCUCACACGGUUUUCAGGAUGGUUUCAUAGUUUGAUCCACCAUGAGGCUAUCUACCAUAGCUAGGGGUGGUUGUUGUCAAGAUGAUGCCUACAACCUGUGAGUAAUGCAUGGGUCGAACCAUGUAGUUCGAUUGGGUCUUCUAGGGGCGUGUUUCACGGUAAUCUUCUAUAUAUGUCCCGAAAGCAAGGAUGGUGGCUAUCUCGGUAAACCACUAGCGCUUGUAGAGGUGAUGAUCCGAGACUUCCUUUGCUUCUUCCAAGAGAAAUAAUUGAUCAUCCAGAAAGAGCUCAUUUAUCUCUGCUUCAGCGAAUCGACCCAGAGAAGGCCCUUCAAGGUGCGAUAGGUGGUUAGCUGCAACGUUCUCUGAUCUCGCCUUGCCCUUAAUAGUCAUGUCAAACUCUUGAAGGAGUAGCACCUAGUGAAUCAAUCUCAAGUUCCCAUCCUGUUUAGCUAUAAGAUACUUAAGAGCAAAAUGGUCGCCGGAAUCUGGGCAGAGGUCGCCAGCGGUAACGGCCUCACUAGAGAAGAAGGGUGACCUCCCCACAAUCAUGAGGAGUUCAGUGACCAGAUCUGCAAAGUCUGAAAGAUAAGUUGCUGUUGUGCAUUUGAAUAUUCUAAAGUCUAGCUUCCGUAGCUCUGAAGUUUUGGAUGGUUUACAGUUAUGGACCUUGGUCAGAUUUUUUAUCAUUUGGAAGUUCUAGAUCAGUUAGUGUAAUGGAGGUCAUUAGAGGACUAGAGUAACAUUUAUGUCCUUAAAAUUUUCAGAUUAUUGCAAAUAAGUAAAUGGAGAAGAACUCGGUCGUUUGAGCUCCAAAUGACGCACGGUUAGAACUUACGGAUUUAUGGCAACGAGAGAAAUCAUGCCAAGUUAGGAUCAAAGGUGUCAGAUCUUCUUAACAGGUGGGGGUUUAGGAUUACAUUCUGCUUAUAAGCUUAGAACUAUAAUAGGAUGUUAGGGAAUCCGAUUAUUGGAUUCUUCAUGUGAUUCAGAGCAAGGGCUCUCAGGAUUGUACAAUAGCGUGUGAUCUACUGUAUAAAUGUUGUGAUGUGAUUCGGAGCAAGUGCUCUCGGACUAUAUAGUAGCGCAUAAUCUACUCUAUAGAUGUUGUGAUGUGCUUUGGAGUGUGGGCUCUUAGGCUGUACAAUAGCGUGUGAUCUACAGUAGAGGCAAUUAUUAUAAUUCGAGCAUAAGCUCUUGGCGUUUGGACUGUGGCAUGUGAUUCACAGUUCAUGUUAGGAUAGGAUAGGCCUAGAUAGACUAGGUCACAAUUAUGAUACGUCGGGCACCCACCCAUGGAUUGCACAAUCCCCCAUGUUAUAAUCGGGCUCAGGCAGGACGUGUUGAGUAUGCAUACUGAUGCUGCUCAUACGGUAUUCAGAGUGGUUUUAUGGUCUGAUCUACCGUGAGGUCAUCCACAUAGCUAGGGGUGGCUGAUGUUAUGUUGAUGCCUACUGGACCAGAUGGUCACAUUACUAGAGUAGUGACUACAUAGAAUUCCAUGUUCUAUUCUUAGUACAGGUCAGUUUCAAUCUCAGUUCUACGCGAGUCCAGAUAGCCACUUAGUGUUUAUCACUAACUCUAUUAGAUAUUAUUUUCUCUGGUGUAUAUGUGUGUUCGGUCACAAGAACUGGAGCUGAUGGUGGGGAGAGAGCUAGUCGGAGUUUUGAUAUCACAUGAUAUAUGUUUUGAUGUAUUUUCAGUACUAGAGUUGCAUCUCCUUUUAUCAUGUUGUGAUUUGGGAUCCGAGAUCCUUGUUGGUCAAUUUUAUCAAAGUAUUUCGGUUCAACUUUUAAUGCUUGUUUUUGCUCAUUUAUUAGUAGUAGAGAGUAGAGGUUGGUUCAGCUUGGAACCCGAUAAGAUUUCUUGAUUGAACCAGUGGUUCGACCAAAACUCUUAGGGUGGGGUUUCAGAGAAAAUGUGAUAGUGAAAUAUACAUUUCCCAAAAAAAUUCAUCUUCCCACCGAUAAGUUUUGGCUAUUUUCGUAUUUUCAUAAUUACCUUUAUUUUAGAUUGUAUGAUUCAAUUCAUUACCAAUUGUCAGAUUAUGUUGUGACAUCAUCAUUUCUAUCAAACGAACAACAUUGGCUCCAUUUAUAGGAUUUUAUCUAUUGCAUAUAAGACUAUUGGAUCCAUUUUGAUUUGUAAAAGUGGGUCCUACUUCCAUCUCAUUUUGUUUUGAAAUUUUGCAUACUUCACUUUGAAAGGCUUCUCAUUAAUGCAAUUCAAAAACAUUUGCAAAAGUGGACUUACAUGAAUAAAAUGAUCAUUUCUUAUAUAUUAUUUUAUUAGCAAAUAAUGAUAUGAGAAGGCCCAAUCCAUUGGGUCUUGAUCAGAAUGGCACAACCUAUUAAAAAUACCUAUUUUGGCAUAACAUAAUUAUAAUUUUACAAAAUAAAAUAUUUAAUUGACUUUUUAAAACUCAAUACAAAAAACUAAAAAAAUAUCAAAGUUCAUCAUAUUCUUCUCCCACCACCAUCCUAUCUCCACUAUCUUCUUAUCAUCCCCAUCAUCCAUUGCUAAACCCAACAAUUACUUUCUCUAAAUCUAUCACUUACCAAAUCCAAAAUCAUAUUCAUUUGUACACACAACCAAGUAUGCAAAUUUUAGAUAUGAUUUGUGUUGGUUUUUUAGAUCUGAUUUUGUCGAUCUCGAAGGUGAAGAUGAUUGACGACGGGGAAGGGGACUCUAAUACCCAAAUAUGCUACUGGAGAAUAAUCCAUCUUUCCAGACUAUUGCAAUUCAUACCGCUCCUUGAAUACUUACAGAGAAAGACGGCGCAUCGAGCUCAAAAGGAGAGGGUAGCGAGCAAUCGAAGGAGAGUAGAAAAAGCCGUUGCAAGCAAAAGAGAAAUCGACCACCAGAUCUCCUAGGAUUCCUCAUCUGAGGAAGCCAUCAAGAGAUUUUUUCCUAUAAGUCAGUUCAGCUACUAAAGCUACAAGUGGUGAUGAUGAAUAAGCUUCCAUAAGUGGUUCGCUGGGUAUCUCUACUUUGACCUCCUUCAUGGGAGCUCCGUCGUCGCCGCUGGCGACCCUAAAAAAGAACAUGCAUUUAAACGCGUUUACACACUAAACUAAAAAGGAGAAUGAAAGACUAUAAUUGGAAUUUCAACAACAAGAGAAAGUUAACUUCUUUUUUCUAAUCCACCGUCGGGAGGAGCAGCAGCAAGCUUCGCCCGUCUUCUUCCCUUUUGGGAUUUUUUUGAAUUAAUUAAGAAUUUUAUUAAUUAGAAGUUUAAAAUUAUAUGAUGUGGAGCCUAUAUUGAAGUCAAGUGGGAGGUACGUCAGGGGUGUUAAGUUUGACUGUUAAGUUGAUGGUCAAAUUUCAAAUAUGUGCCACAAUAAGUAUUUCUAAUAGGUUAUGCCAUUCUGGGUUUAGACCCAAUAGGUUGGGCCUCCUUAGAUCAUUAUUCAUUUUAUUAACUACAUAUAUGUUAUAAAAAUGUAUAAGUGACAAGUGGGUCUCAAAUGAUUAAAAAAUAUAAAUGAAAAAAUGGGCCACAAGUGAGAUUAUCACUUUGACUUGGAACGAGUACAAAUUUGCACUUAAAAUGAUCCUUUCCCAUCAAUAAUAUUCUCAUUUAAAUUUAAAAAUUGCCACAUAGGCUCCAUGUUACUUAACAAGUAGGGAAAAUCUCAGUGAUAAGAUGCUAUAAUAACAAAUAAUCUUGAGGCCAAAUCCAAUAACUGAGCAUGCCUUCUACAUGUCGGACUCCACCAUAUAAACACGGCCCACGUUAUAAUUGAUUCAUUAAAAAAAAGAAACAAUUUGAUGAAUUGAUGAAAGAAGCGAAAGGCAAAAGAUGGAAAUUGUCGUUUCUCUUCCUAAAACUAGGGUUUUGUUUCUCUCACUAAAAUUAGGGUAUCUCUUCGUCAUGAAGACUUCCUACACCCCCAUCGCCAUCAUGCUCAAGCACAAACCUACUCCUAUCAUCAACAAACCCAUCCCACCUACCGAUGUUGUCAUCAAAACAAGACCGACCCUUACUGCACCCAUGGCCUCCCUAUCGUUGAAGGAGAGUCAUGGCUCGGAGGACCUGACCGGAAUGACAUGGCUGACGAUUGGAUACCAGAGCUGCAGCAAUCUGGAAAGCCCCACAAAGAUUCUCCGCCGACAAAGACCAGCAGGUCAACACUAAGGAGAGGCGGUGUUCCUCCGAUCUUCGAGCUACAGGGGAGCGAGACGACUCUACCCCAUACACCAUAGUGACAUCGCCGGUGUGGACAUCCGAUCAUUCCAUUCAAAGCUCAUGAAGAUCGGCUACACUUGUGUUUGGCUUUCUUUAUUUUUGUUUAGUACUCUCUUUUUAGACAUUUGGUUGAUUUUCAGUCGUACGUUGCACUUCAUUUGUUUCCUUCCUUGAGUCGGGGUAUAGUUUUGUUAAUUUUUUUGUUUAUUUCGUUGCAUCUAAAACCGUUGAUGGUCGAAGAGAUUAAAACUGUAAAUAAAAUAUUCAAUUACCUACUUUCCCCUUACAUCUUUUCUAAAAAACAACUCUCAAUUGCAUUUCUCAUGGUCAAUGUUAUAUCACGCCUCCCUCUAUAAAGAAAUUAUAUUUUGUAAAAAAAAAAAGCGAAAGGCAAAAGAUAUCGCGAGACCUAGUUCUAUAUAAACCCAUUCCAUUCGCAGGUUACGAGCGGCCGUCAUCGCUGUCACAGGGCCAGAUAUGGGAAGCGCUAAAGCUGGCAAACCCUCAAAGAAGUCUCUCAGAAACCCUAAUCCGCUUCGCAUUACCCAUAGGAAGAUUACGAAGCACAAACGGCAAGACAUUGCUGUUGAUACAGUUCCCACCGCCCUGAAGUAGAAACACAACCUCAUAUCGGAGAAGAGGAGCCCCUUCCUUCAGCUUCCCAGCAACUCAGCUUUUUCCUCAGCAAGUUCCAGUCAGCUAAUGGUCUUCAAGGUUAGUCUCUACCGCUGGAGCUCCACAAUAUUGUAUCCCAUGACAUCUCUAUUUGGUUGCUGGACAGAGGGAUUAUUAACAAUUUGUGUAUUGUAUUUGCAGAAACAUCCUUUAUUCAGUUAUUUUGAGAGCUGCCUCAGGAUGUUGAGGGCCUAGGCCAGCAUUUGAAGACUGCUUUCGGAAAGUCAUGGAAAGAAGAACGCUGUGAUCGAAAGCUCGUGGAUAGGUAAACUGAACCAGAGAGUCCUGCUGCUCUUUUCAUUUCUACAUCUGCAUUGAGAGCAAUAGAACUUUUAAGGUAUAGAUUCUCUCAGUUCUUGUUAAUGAUCUUUGUUUUGCUCGAUUUAAUCAGGGUUUGGGCUUGAUUCAAUCUUCUUCUUUUAGGGGUGUGCGUUCACUGAGCGUUCACUGACGAAAGAAUGCCAUGCUGCAAAGCUCUUCUCUAAGCACAUGAAGGUUGAAGAACAUGUGAUAUCCUUUCCCUUUUGUCACUUGUUGUUCCUAUUACAUCGUUAAACAAAAUACUAUCUCUUUAUGUUUCGAGGUGUUGUCAUUUGUUUUGGAUAUCAUUCAGUUCCUUUUAUUAUUACUGCUGCUCGAGUUACGAACAUCUGAGGAAAUAGCAAUGCUUAGGAUGUUAUUGUCCACUUCACUGUCUCGAGACACCGACAUUGUCUUUAGUUAUUAUUUAUGGGUCCAACAAGUUAUGACUUGAACCAUGGUCACAUGGAACAAAAUUAAUUUAUAAAUUCGGACUUCUGUUUCAUCAGUGACAUUUUCACUCUUCGUCAUCAUAUACAUUUGGUGUUUGUUUGUUUUUGGUAAAAGGAUUUGAUAUUACCAGUUAUAAAGAUCAAAGGGCAGUAGCAGUGCAGGAUAAGCUUUUUUCACAUCAGUCUGCUUCUAGUUCAGUAUCUUAGUUUCAAUGAUUUAUGGCUGGAAGCAUGGAGCAGUAUGGAAUUUUUGCAAACAAUUGUUGGAUUAGGAAUUUCAUACUUCUUUUCACUGCAUUUUGAUGUUGGGAUAUGAUGAGUUACACGGAUCAAAUGCUCUAGCAGUGCUGAAUAUGUUUUUUGCACGUCAGUCUGAUCCCAACUUACCGUAUUUUUACUGCCCCUACCUUUAAAUGCAUGUCCGAGUUCUAACAAUAGAUGACUUGAGACAUGGAGCCUAUGAAUGGGGGUUCUCUGUUUGAUUUUAUGACAUUUUACAAUAAUUGUCACAAAUUUUUUUGACAUUGGAUAUGAUGAUGAGUUAGAAUCAAAGGCACUAGAGAUGCUGAAUAUGAUUUUUUGCACGUCAGUCUGAUCCCAGCCUUUCGAUUUCUGAUUACUGGAAUUUAAAAUUUUACUUUGUUUUCGUCAUUUUGACAUUGGGAUAUGAUGAUGAGAUGUAGAUCAAAGGCAUUAGCGGUGCUGAAUGUUUAUUUUGCACGUCAGUCUGAUCCCAGCUCACUGUUCCGAGAUUGUGCUGCCUUCUUGCAUUUCCUAGUUAAAAAAAUGUACUCCUUGGACAUGGAUCUAAACGAACUUCAAAAUAUGAAUGAUUAAGAUUUCGUGAUCAGUGUCAUUCAUAGUUUAUGAUCACUAAUUUAAAUCUCGUGGCAUAUCUUGCAGGGUGUUUAUAGCCAAUUAGAUGCCACACUCACUGAAAGCUUAACUUACGAUUUAGGUUCUGGUUGUGUAUCCCCCCCCCUGUCCACCGCCUUUAACCUUGUACUUCUAAGCAAUUGAUUGUAUUUCCUGAAUAAUGGCUACAUAUUUCGUAAUUGUUCAUGCUCUGCUGAUUAUAUUUUUGCACGUCUCUGUUCCUAAUAAAACUGCACACUAUUUUACGAAAAAAGACGUGCACGCUAAUAUCGUACACCAAUGUAAUAUAACACUAUUAACAACAAAAAGUUCUUAGUACGGGUUCAAUGUCAUCAUGCAACAUCCAUGAUGCCGUUCCUUAGUCUCUCUACGUGACUCUGUGUUGCAUUUGGUAAACUAUUUCUUAAACUUCUGGCUCCGUUUACUGCAGGUCACUUUCUUCAAGAAUCGUGUCAAUAUUGCCAGCGGCACACCAAACAGGUUAGUCACCAGUCAUUUCAUCUCGAUAUUGAUGUUACAAUGGGUCGUUUGGAUGAGGUAUUUGAAAGUGGUAUUUUGGCUCAAGUAACUCAAACUAAAGUUAUAACUGAGUUAUUUGGGCCAAAACACUUCGUUUUCCAUCCGAAAUAAAAGUCGUUAUAUUUCAUAACUGUGAUAUUUGAAAUAAUUAUGGAUGUGAUAUUUGAAAUAACUCAAUUUAAAACCAUAACUCAAAAUGAUAGCUAAACGAAUAAUUCUUAUCCCCCAAAUUCUUACAACUGAUCCAAACGAUUAAUGUUUACUUGCUCAUCCUUUUCGUUCUAGCUGAAUAUUUGCAUUUCCGAAAUAAUGCGCCCCACAUGAGUUCGGUAUACAUUGGUGAUUGCUUUUGCAAGUUUUCCGUGCAUGAAUUGUUGUGGUAUUCAUCAGAAAAUUACCAAUAGGAAAUAGUUAAGAGGUCGUAGAAAAUGCAUCGGGAGUGUCAUUUUAUAUUGUAGGGGCAAAAAUUGAUUUUGAUGAAUUUGAACUUUCUUGACUAGAUUCUUGAUAAAAAAAACUAUCUUGACUAGGUUGAAGAAGUUGAUAGAUAUAAAAGCAAUGGGGCUCUCGCGGUUUUAAAGUUAUCGUGCUAGAUGUCCACCAUGAUGUAAAGGGUUAUUCCUUGCUCACACUUCCACAAGGGGGAGAUAUAGAGAGAAUGUCCGGUCUCUUUUCAACACAGCGAGGAGCAUAGUCGAUUUUGUCAUGUGAAGAGUUGCUGUUGUACAAGUGUUAGUUUGUUAUUUUGACAGGACACUUUUUCAAUUAUUCAAAACUUAUAUUCUAGCUAAGCUAAGGGUAAAUAUCCAUUUUGUAAUUUCACUUGUUGCUGCUUCUACCAAGAGACAGCACACAAGGAAUUAUACUCAUCGGCUUCCUGGCCGCAAUUGAGUUAAAUCUUCUUUUCGGCCCCUAGCGUUUAAAAUAAAAUAAAUCUUUCACCGGCUACCUUCAAAAUCCUCUGUUUAUCUUUCCUUUGAUCUUAUCAAAUUUUUAUAGUGACAAAGUUUGUGAAAUUACUUAAUAAAAAAAAGAAAAAAUUAUUAAACAAUUGCUAAUAUUUAGGCCCGACAUUCGAUAUAGCACAUGUUUUUUAUAAUAUUUUUUUUUGCCCAAAUUUCAAAUUAUGUUAAUUCCUUUAAGUUAAAAUUAACGGAUUGGUGACAAAUGCUGACAAGGCAAACAAUGUGUCUGAUGUGGAUGGAUGAAAAGAAGUCAAUCGGAAAUAAAUACACAGUCAACAUACAGUUAAAAAAUUUUAUAACAAAAACCACCCACAUUCCUUAUCCUCUUCGUCGACCAGCCUUUUAUCACCCACCUGUCACCUCCCUUCUAAAUUAAUUUUCAUCAGAUGGGGAGAAAGAGUGGAAGAAGAAGAAGAAGAAAGAAAGAUGGAGCAAGGUGCAUUUGAUUUGAAUCCCGACAAUGUCGACAACAAUCUUGUAUCUAAAUUCUUUGUCGAUUUGAAUUUCGAUGAUGCCAACAACAACCUCAUUCUUGAACUCUCCGUCGAUUUGAAUCCCGACGAUCCCAUCAACAACACCAUUCCUGAACUCUUCGACAAUUUGAAUCCCGACGAUGCUGAUAACAACCUCAUACCUGAAUUCUCCGUUGAUUGAAUCUCAAUGAUGCCAACAACGACUCUCUAUCGUUGUCGAUGAAAUGCCCAAGCUUGUGGAGAGAUGGAUACAGGGAGUAGUAGCAGGUACAUGUCCAAAUAUGGAUGUUGAGAAAUCCUCCUCGGCUGUCGAUUUCGAAUGGUCCCCACGUUUCAAAUUGAUUUUAGUGUUCUUGCUGGGAGUAGGUUUGCACGCGGCUGAGAUUGGGUUUAUCUGUUUGUUGCAAAUGAAUGAAUUGAAUUGGUUGGUUUUUUAUUGGGGGUGGGUUUUGCAAGCAAGUUGAGUUGUUUGAUUGGUUUGAAGUUUUUUUUGUCUUGAUUGGGUUUUGUAAAAAAUGCUAGCAGAAUACUGACAAUGGAGGAGAAGGUGGAGGAAGGAAAAAGAAGGUGGAGGAGAUGAAUGAUUUUUUUGGUAGCUGAGUUAUUAUUAUUUAAUGAAAGGAGGUAAAUAAAAUUUACCUAACUAAGCUGACGUGACCAGUGAUUGUUAUGUGGCGUCGGACAUGGUAUCUUGAUGAUUUUCUUCUUACGGCGUUUCGUGUUUGGUUAACUAUAACGGUCAACGACAAAGUCAACUGAUUUUCGUUAGUGUGAUUUGAAUUUUGUCAGAAAAAAAUGUAUUUCGGAAAACAUGUGCCAGAUCAUUUGUCGGGUUAAAACAUUGCCAAUUGUGUUAGCUAAUUUUUCCUAAAAUAAGUUAGUGACAUUUUAUCAAGUCGAUCUACACUACAGGAAACUAGAUGUUUAACAACAUCAUUUUUUCUUGUUGACGACAACCAUUUCCUGUUGUUAUGUAUCAUAACGGCGGCUUUGAUUGCGCUAUUAAGAUUGCCAAUGCAAAGAGAUCCUACCAGCGAAAUAUUGGCCGCGGUUAAGUGGGGAAGCGUAACAGCGAAUAGCUGGCCGCUGUUAGGUUGCAUCCUAAUAGCGAAAUAUGACCGAUGUUAGACGAAAUUCUAAUAGUGGCAUUGUGUCCGUUGUAAGGAUUUCGCCUAACAGCAACUACAUAUCCUCAUAGUUUUCUUAUUAUUUUAUUUUUUUCGUUUGGCUAUUUUCCAUAUAUAUCCAACUUGUUCAAGUAAUUUUUUCGAUAGGUAGAUAGAAAUACAAAUUUGGGAAACACUUUGCUAAAUAUAAAACUAGUCAUUUUGAUUAAAUAUUUGAUUGUUAGGACACAUACUAAUUCCUUGGCUUAAACUACACCAUCCUUCUAAAGUAACUACUUGAUUCAUAGUUGUUCAUCCAACAUGUACAAUCCACUAAACAUAGACUACUCCUCUUGGUCGUAAUCAAGCUCAUCGUCCCUCUCAUUUGUUUCCAUCAUAGUGCUCGUUCACAUUUGUUUGCAUCAAAUGGCUGCCAUCAUACAUUUGGAUUUAGAACAUCUGCCUCAUCUCCUCCAAAUCAUGAGAUAAGCCAACUUGAGAGUUGGCAAGAUGAGCUAUACACCUACAAUACACCAAAUAAAAGUUAGUUUUUUUAUCCAAAAAAAUUUGCAUGACCAAUUCGAAUUCACGGUUUAACUUAUACUCUUUGAUCUACAAAAUGAACAAACGAUACUAGAUUUGGAAGGACAAGUUUCGACAGCUACAAUGAAUCAAGGAAACCUUUUACAUCUACAUUAUCAAAACAUAAUUGCAGAAUUAAAAGUAUAAACCAUGAGUAAGGUUGAAUGAUAAAAUUUUCACUAUUUAGAGGUGUCGGUUAAAAUGUGCAAAUUGGAUAAUAAAUUUGCAUGGGAAGGAUGAUUAUGUAGAUUACGUAAUAAACUAACAAAUACAUAUAUACUUAUGAUUUGAAUGGGACUUGUAAGUUAAAAUUGGAGGCGCCCCUCUUAAUUUGUACCUAUUGUAUGUUCACUAACCACCCAUAAUAAAAACAAGCAAGAAAAAUUGGAUUUGGUGGAUCACUCGAUGAAGAAACAAGAUUCGAAACUAGCCCUCAUAACUUGAUUAGGUGAAGUUUCUACCUAUAACAGUCCAACUUAGUGGUAGAAUUAAUUUAGGAUUAAUGCUGAAAAAUACAAAUACUUAUUCAUUUUGCUUUCACUCUAAAUCCUAAAUGGCGCACCACUGUUCCUGACUUCUCUUUUUUGUUCUUCGAACGUAUACGAUAUGCCCUCGCCAUAGCAUCCUCCUUGCUAACCCCAUGUUAGUAUUUGGUUCCUUCAUAAACUGUUUGACUUCAACCUAUAUUCAAUCUCAAAAUCUUAAAUAUAUUAGAAUUGCAUCUUAUCAACAAAAGGUCAAAACACAAUAAAAUUAUAUGCAACUUACAUAAAAGUCUCAAGUAACAUAUGUUUCAUCUUCUCUUUCAUAACACUUGAAAAAGAACUCAGAUCUUCUUACUUCUUUUCCUUUCGCUUUCUUCUACAUUAUACGUUCUACAAUCAAUACAAAUUAACUUCUCAUGACUUUUGGAACAUAAUAUAAAGACGAUUGAUGAGAUGCUUACUUACCAUCUCUUCACGAAUUAUAUUGAAAGGUUUUGACCCUUUCGUAUGAUAGAUGUCUUGAUUAGAACGAUACCUUGUUUCUUUGCAGAUGCAGUCUAUAAAACUGCUAGUAAUUGACAAAUGACAAUAAUAAAUAUCAUUAUAUCAAAUAUAAGUACAAAUGUAAAACUUACUAGAGUUGGCUUCCCCUCCUAUAUCUGCAAAACAUAUCCCACUCACGUUCAUCAAUAUUUGGUGGUUUCCUGUCUAAGUUGAGCUGAAGACCUUGAGUAGCAUCGAUAUUUGGUGGUUUCCUAUCACGUUCAUCGAUACUAAUCAAUUUUCUUUGGAUAUGACUAAUGUAAUGAAGAAGAUAGAAGAGAUUAAAUCUAAAACCCUUAUGAUUACCCUGCAUUCAUAAAGACUGCAAUGCAAUAUGUACAGAGAGGCGUGGACACAUAGCAAAGUCCUUACAAUUUUGACAAUUACCAUCCAAUACAAUUUUGUAAGCUACAGCUAACAUUCAUGAGCUAAUAAGUUUUGUCAGGUCGGUUACGAAAGAAAACACACUUAACUUCAUAAACAAUAAUAAAUUAUGAAAACCCCCAAAUCAAAGUUAGGGCUCAUCUAAAUCAUUAACAAAUCAUACAAACUGAUUUCAAUCUCAAAAUUAAACUUAGACCCAGCACUAUAAAUAAGAUGUCUAACCUAAAGCUAGAACAAAACACUUCCAAUUCACUAAACGGAAAACAUUUCAAAGAUCUAGAUUUUACUAACCUUUCAAUUUUCUUGCUAACACAAGAUGACUGAUUGAGAUGAUGGACAGGAACCAAAAUGAGCCGCAGCUGGAAGGCCGGAGCAAGCGACGCCGGCACGAAGAAGAAAAACGCCAGCGAACGGCCGUUGGUGAAGAUACUAUCUGGCUGUGUCCUUUGUUCAAUUUGGGGAAAGUUGGGUUUUUACGUGGUGUUGGGGGGUUAUAUGUAUUUGGAGUUUCGUUUAUAUUAAUAUAAUGAAGAAUUAAGUCUCAUUUUGUUUGGGGCUUUAAAUUAAUAACCCAACGUCGGCUUGAUUCUCUACAUAGCCGCUGAUAGGAUUACUCUUAGCAGCUGCCAUCUAAAUAAGAGCCACUGUUAAGUUGUUGUAUUCCAUCAUAUUUUUUAAUUAUUAUCCUAACAUCGGCCAAUAUUAAUCAGGGCCGAUGUUAGGUAGUAAUAACGUAUCAGUAGCCUUCCAUUUAUUGUUAGGAUAUUGACCUAACAUUGAGACCAUGUCCGUUGUUAAAUUUUGUAUGUUAAAAUAUCCUAACUGCAGGUCUAUGUGGCUACAGUUAAAUUGGCAAUAUUAGGUAGUCAGUUUCUUGUAAUGCUACCUUGUUUAUCAUAGAAAAUUUGUUAUGACAAACGUGAUUGUUGUUGUUACAUAACAACACUCUAAUUUUCCAUCUAUUUUUAAUUUUAAAAAUUUGACAGUCUUAAUUUGUUGAAUAUUUUUAAUCUUUUUUACAUUUUUAUCUCUCAUAAAUAUGUCCUAAUUUUUAGUUAAAGAAUCCUCAUUCAAUUUCUAUUUCUAUUUCUAUUUUUUUACCUAUAUUUAAUUAAGUUAAUAACUUAAUAUUUCCUUAAUUGCUUUUUACAGGUUGUCAACGGAGUUCUGGUACUCCCAACAAGUGAGAAGAACGAUCAGAUUAGUAACAGAGCACAAACAAAGGUACAAAAUAAAUUACCAUAUCACAGUCUCAGGUAUAUAACUCCAUACAAUAGCACAUUCAUGGGUACAUAACUAGACAAAAAUUAAUCAAAAAUUGAUACUUCAAUACACGAGGUAUAAAAUGCAGUACCAUAUCACAAACCCCUUUUUUUUUUUUUUUUUUUUUUUUUUUUUUUUUUUUUUUUUUUUUUUUUUUUUUUUUUUUUUUUUUUUUUUUUUUUUUUUUUUUUUUUUUUUUUUUUUUUUUUUUUUUUUUUUUUUUUUUUUUUUUUUUUUUUUUUUUUUUUUUUUUUUUUUUUUUUUUUUUUUUUUUUUUUUUUUUUUUUAUUUUUUUUCUUUUUUUUUUAUUGUCUGUUUUUUUCUUUUAUCCUGUUUUUCUUCCUUUUCAAGAUCUUGAAAAGAGAGAGAAAAUGAGAGAGAGAGAAUGAGAAAGAGAAAACGAGGGAAAGAGAAUGAGAGCAAGAGAGAGAGAGAGGAGGAGAAAUUUUUGGAGUUUUUUUAUUUUUAGUGGCUUUGAUAUUGAAAAUACUAUAUAAAGAAUUUUAGAUGAAAUCAGUCAGUUGAUACAAUUAUUGUUGUUAUGUGCUAUUAUCGUAUGAUAAGCGGGUGGGGCUUUUCUUGUUUUCGUAAACAUCAAGAUUUUAUUGGUUGGGUCUAUGAUUCCAGCCUACAUGAUACUCAAAAGGGCCCUGGUUCAUCUGGAAAUGAAAAGUGCUUUAUGAACGUUUGGAUUGGUGCUUCCUUGACUCGGUUUGGUAACUUCAAUUUCUACCCACCUAUAUCGUGUUAAGUCGGAUCACCGACCUAUUUUCAUGGUUGCGACCAAGCUCAAGAAGUCAAAUCUUCCUCAUACCUUUCGCUUUAUGGCUUCAUGGUUGUCACAUGUUGAGUUUAAGCCUUUUUUUGUCGGAAUGGAAUCGGUCUUUUACCUUUAUUCAUCAGAUGUCCAUUCGAGCUACCAAACUGAAAAAAUGAAAUAAGGAAAUUUUUGGCAACAUCCAAACGAAUAGAAGGAGCUUAUCUUUAAACUUGCUGAUGUUUAAGCUCUCGCAGCUCCUCUACUCAUUCAAGACACCACAAUGGACAUUGCAAGUGACCGGAAUACUCAUUUUUUUCACGUAUCCACCUUCCGUAGGCGUGCUCGGAACCACAUUAUUAAGUGAAGGAUGACUGUGGGGUGUGUAUUCAUUAGGUUUGGGAGUCGGUUAAUUUGGUUAAUAACCAUCGGUUAAUGGUCGGGAAGCGCUUUGAUGAUUGAAAUUAAUUAACCAAAUUAACCGACCGAGCAAAAGCCACGGUUAAUCUUACCGACCGAUAACCGACCAAUCAGUUAAAUGAUCGAUUAUUAACAGACUGACUCUCGGUUAACCGUUGUAACCGGCUCUGACCAAUUUAACUCUCUUCUCAUAUUGCAACAAGAUUCUAGGCUCUGGCUCUAGAUCCGUCGUCGAUUCAAGCCUUGGAGACCAUAGCUUCUCUUCUGGAAACAAUCCGGUGCUCUACAACUUGAUCCUUCGGGACUGGAAGCUUUCCGAGACGGCGUUGUUGCGGAUCAGUAAGGAGAGGAGGAAGCUUCAAGCCUAUGGUGUUGCAGAUCGAAGAAUUGAGAGAGUGGAGGAGGAGAGGAUUGGCCGUGGCGACGAAGGAAGCAUGUGGUGUUGCAGAUCGAAGAAUCGAGAGAGUGGAGGAGGAGAGGAGCGCUUGCGGUGACUCGUCGUGGUCGUCGUCGUGACUGCCGGCGAGAUGCUGAAAUUGAAUCGCUUGGAUUGAUAGAGUUGUCGAGAUGGAUUGAUGGAGUUGUCGAGAUGGAUUGAUGGAGAUGGCUCGGAGUUAACCUAAUUUCAGAAUGAGAGGUUGUGAUGGAGUGGGAGGCUGGGAGGGGAGGGAGCGAUUCUGCGAUUGUGGUGAGCAAAGCUUGAUUUCCUAAUUGGGGACCUUGGUUUUUUUAAUUACCGGUUAACGUUGGUUAACUCGAGUUAACCAACGAUUUUACCCUGCUCCAACAAGUACUCCCAACUGUUCCCCGACCGACCCCUACCUCGGUUAAACCGACACUCUAACCGAGUCGAUCAGUUCAUCUGUUUAACCUAUUAACCGAGACUGAUGGCCCACCCUUAGUAUUCAUCCAGCUUGUUGCUGCAAUUAGUGUCGUAUUGAUAUGGUUGAGAGAGGAUAAAAUAUGCUUGAUUUCAAGUUCUCCAACUUGAAAGGUUUAGCUGUUAAAAAUGUAGAGGUCAUGACUGAGUACUGAUUUCCAGCAAGGAGAAGUUGGAUAUUUGCUUGCGAUAAAAAAGAAUUUGGACAGUCUAUCUUAGGCACAAAAUCUAACGGAUGAGAUGGCAACUUUACUUCAGGGGCCUAUUGGUCAUUUUAAAAUUUUCUUGUUUUUCAGUUUAUUUUUCCAUUCUGUUUAAUAUUGGUUCAAGUAAAAUGAUUUCUUGUAAAUUGGGUCUAUUGAGUAACGUGGGUGGGUAGACUUUAUUGCUCCCAUCGAGCUUGACGUGAUAUUUUCUUCUUCGUUUCUUUAACAUGCAUAAAUUGUAUAUAAUACGAAAGGUUGGAAAUAUAUGUGAAGCUCGAGGUUUAUUAUAUAUGUUUCGAGGUUUAUUAUAUAUGUUGAACCUUUUUGCCAAUUGGUUAUUUUUAUCAUGUAGUGCCUUAUCAAGUAAAGGGAAUGGUUGUUUUUAUCUACUGUCACUAGCCAACUUUCUUUCUCAUGUGAUCAAUUAUUUGAUCACGCAUGAAUGACUACAGUACACAAAAGAUAGAAAUAUUAUAAAAACAAAAAACAAAUAUUAAAAAAAAAUACCUAAAAAGCAGGUACAUAACAACAAAAACAAUAACCGUAAAUAUCAAGUACAUGAAAGCGGAUGCUCAAAAUAAGCACGCACACAUUAAAAACUUUGGUACAUACAAGGCAAGAAAAUCGAGAACAUAUUGGAACUCGAGUACCGGAAUUGGUACGGUAUUAAGUACAACGUGAAGAAAUAUCAAGUACAUUAAAAAGCGAGUAUAUAACAAUAGAAAUAAGUACACGAAAACAACUCAGAGAAAUGAUAAUUUGAUUGCCAAAAUUGAGUAUGAUAAAGUAAAAUGCAAGCACGUAGUACAUGAAACAAAUAUGAGUAAGAGUACAUAAAUUUUUUAGUACAAUACAAGACAAAAACUCAAAUACAUAUAAAAACUGGACACUAAAAAAAAUAAUUAAUUAUUCACAAUUUUAAAUAAUAAUAGUCACGAUUUUUAUCAUGAUUAACAGAAGCUAGUCACGAAAAUAAAUCCGUAACUAACCUAACCGAUGCUAGAUGAACUUGUCACGAAUCUGAAUAACCUGUAACUAAGUUGUCACCGAAAUUUUCCGUGACCAACUCAUCACGGAAGAAACCGUGAACAUAUGUGUUUUUGUUUUUGUUUUUUAAAUUAGUGGCACGGAGCCAUAUGCUGUGAUAAUUGAUUUAUUAAUAAAUUAAUCCCACAUCUCCGUGGCUACUAUAUCACCAGAAUUUCCAGAUUCCGGCAACCACAAUUUCCAGAAUCCGGCAAUAAGAUAGAGUUGAUAAUUGCUUUUUUAUUAGAGUAAAAUGUUCUACAUCUAUACAUUAUGAUACCCAUAUCAAAAUUCCAGAAUCCCAAAAUUGAACAUAACGUCAACGAAAGGCACCAUGCAACAAUGGUGACACUAAGGGUUACAACAACCAGCAAAACCGAAACACAGACUGGAAAUGCUACCAAGAGAAGGAUGAGACUAGAUGAUGAGAUUGAGAUUGAGAGAAGAAAAAUGAUAGUAAGAAAUUUUGUUUUCGAGAGAGAUCAAAUGAAGAUGAGAUCUACUUCUAAUUUAAUAUAAUGGAAAUGGAGAUAUGGUUGUUUAAUGGCAAAGAGAGAAGAAAGGAAUAGCCCAUUAAACGAGGAUAGAGUCUGCAUCAUUUCUUUUUUCGACCUUUUCCCACUAAAAUGCUAAUUUUAAAAUUAUAAAUAAAAGUUGGUCACGGUUCCAACAUUUACCGUGAGUAGUUGGUCGCGGUAUUCAACAAUCCAUGACUAGUUAUGGAUUUUUUUUUAUCUAUAAGUAGUUAGUCAUGGUUUUUAAAGCCGUGAUUAAUAAAUCGUGAUUAAUCGUUGAUUUUUUUUGUAGUGCGAGUAUGAGUAUUGAGUAAAACGUCAUGUACAAAAACAAGUACAUCAAAAGCGAGUACAUAAUUAUCAAAACAAGUACUAAAACGAGAGGAAAAGUACAUAAAAAGCGAGUAUAUAAUAAUAGAAACAAGUGCAGUAAAAAUCAAGUGCAUGAAAGGAAAACGAAACUCAAACUAAACACUAAUACAAAAAAAACUUUAGUACGCAAAUAAGUAAAUACAAGAAAAUUAACAUACACAAACGAAUACAUAAGAGUAUAGUGUUUAAACAAAGCGAUUAUACGGAUCAAUACGAUGUUGAGUACAAAACAACAACUUGAGGCUUUAUCCCUCAUUUUUAGAUGAUUUUGUACUAAGUUCUUAUAUGUAUUAGUUUUUAUUAAUGUAAUCCCUCGUGUACUUUGUCUUUGGAUUUAUUUUUAUGCCAUAUCUAUUUAUUUACGCAUUUGUGUAUACUUAUAUUUUUAGAACUUUAUACUCAAAUCAAUUAAUCAAACAAUAAAACUAUUUUCUCUUUACACGAACCAACAUAAUAACCCAUCACCCCAUACAGGGUUGUGAAGGAGGUGCAGUGACCAGAAUUUUCUAGUUGUUGCUUUUCUAUAGUUUGAUAAGGGUAAGCAUCUUGUUCUAGAAUAUAUGUUGUUAGGUUAUAACAAUGCAUCUAGUUGAGCAUGAUUCUUUGGUCAAGUGUUACUGGGAUUCUUUUUGUUCCACAUCAAUGCUCGGAGGUCGAAGAGGCAACGAGGGUGACGAAGAAAUCGGCAUCACCACGUGAGAGAAGAUGAAGAAGAGGUCAGAGAGUGGAGCCGGUGGAAAAGAUAUACUAGAAGAGGUACUUAAAGUUACUUGUACGACAAAACUGCCCUUAUUCAAUUGGACAACCCCUAGAUUAAAAUUUAAAAAUGAACGGACGCGAUUCGUUUGCGGCCAGCAAACACAUAAUAUCAUGGCUGCCUAUCCGGACUCGUCAUAACUGGCGUCAACAUUACGUAGUGUUGUCAAAAAUUAAAAAGGGGAAUAUAUAAUAAUAAUAAUAACAGACGUAAUCUUGUGUAUAUAAUGAUAUUAAAACGUUUUUCAAUCGACAAAGCCAAGUCUGCGGGAGGAACAGCUAAUGGACGAACAGCCUAAGCAUAAGCCGCCUUCUUCGUAUUCUUCAGAUUCUCUGAAUCUCUACCCUUUUUUUUUGUUACGCGGAUUCCCUUCCCUCGUCUGCAAACAAAAAGCUCUUCGUUGACUUUUUAGCAGGCUUUUUUAAAAAACCUUAAUUGAAAAAAUUUGUACAUGGUUGUUGCCUUUGUUGGCGUCAGCAUGACCCAAUGCUGUUGUCAUGUUCAUGAUUGCUCCAACUCACCUGGCUGCGCAUCUGCCUUCUGACCUGACCUGCCCUCCUCCUUUUUUUUAAAUUAUGUUUCCCCAAAAUUAAAUUUAAAUCGUUACAAAAUUGGUCUCUCCUUCUCCUAUAUAUAACGUGGAAGAGCUCCUGCCAAAAAAGUCAUUCAAACUCAAAGCAGAUAAAUUAUCAAAAUAAAAAAGAAAACCCCAGUGCUCUGCCUGCCGUUAAGAAAUUAGUUUAUUGGGUUUGUUGUGUUUAUGAAAGCUGUGUUCCAGAGACUGAUAUCGUCAAGCACCCAGAUUGGCUGUAGGAAGAAAGUUGCAUCUUUUCCAUUAAUCAGAAGCGCUAAUAUGUCUGAAUCCUCUGCCUUUGAUUCUCCGAGAUUGGUGACCAAGAAGGUCCUUGCUAAGCUUCAGCGUGAAGGGGAUGGUGCUUCUGUCAGGAGAAGCAUUGGAAGGUAUAAUAUAAUAUAUCAUGGAUGGAUGGAUGGAUAUACAAUUUUCUUCUUGUCAAAAUUGAAUUAACUGUUUUCGUUUCUGUGGUGAAAUUGAAUGAUUGAAUGUUGAAUUAUUUUGGUUCAGGAGUGAGCUCAGGUCUCUGGACCCUUUCCUCAUGUUGGAUGAGUUUUCAGGUCUGCUUUGCUUAAUUACUUGAAACCAAAUUCCUUGAUAUUUUCUAGAAUUAGGAUGAUGAUGGAUGAUGGAUGGUAUUUAAUUUGUUGUUGCAAAUUGCAAUGCAUGAAGUCUCAGCUCCUGCUGGAUUUCCUGAUCAUCCACACAGAGGUUUUGAGACUGUUACAUACAUGCUGGAGGUACAGACAGUACUGGAGUUAAUUAUUUAUUAUGAAUUGAAGGCUGUUUUUUGUCCUUGGUAGUCUAUUUAUUGAUGUCUGUGAAAUUCGUGGGUGGCACUGGCAGGGAUCAUUCACUCAUCAAGAUUUUUCUGGGCAUAGAGGGACUAUUCAUGCCGGGGAUGUUCAAGUAAAAUAAUUCACUCAAUUACAAUACUACGACGUUUACUUAAUUAGCUAGCUUUACUUGAUCAAAGUCAAAAACUCUUUCUUUUUUUAAAGUAAACAACAACAACAACUUGUGUGUUUUCCUGUUGGGCAGUGGAUGACAGCAGGUAGAGGGAUAGUCCAUUCAGAAAUGCCUGCAGGAGAAGGAGUCCAGAGAGGCCUUCAGCUUUGGAUAAACCUCUCUUCUCAACAUAAAAUGUAUGUUUUUAUUUCCUUUUUUGUUUGUACUUUCCAACUUCACCAUUCCAACAGUUUGUAAUAUGGAACCAACAGGAUUGAGCCAAGGUAUCAGGAACUUCUGAGGCAGGACAUCAAAAGAGCAGAGAAAGACGGGGUUGAAGUCCGAAUCAUAGCAGGGGAAUCAAUGGAAAUCGAGUCUCCAGUUUAUACAAGGACCCCAACAAUGUACCUUGAUUUCACACUGCAACCAAGGUCCCAAAUGCACCAGCCCAUUCCAGAAUUAUGGAACGCAUUCAUUUACGUCAUUGAAGGUGAGGGAGUGUUUGGGAUCCCAAACUCCUCACCAGUUGAAGCACAUCAUACACUCGUUCUAGGCCCUGGUGAAGGAAUGAGCGCCUGGAACAACUCCUCUUCCAAACCCUUGAGGUUUGUCUUGAUUGCAGGCCAGCCACUUAACCAACCAGUGGUGCAGCAUGGUCCUUUUGUCAUGAACACAGAAUCUGAAAUCCACCAAGCAAUUGAAGAUUACCACUACUCCAAAAAUGGGUUUGAAAUGGCGCAGUAUUGGAGUUCCCAAUAGGGAACAAGUAAGUGCUUGGAUCACUCAAAACCAAAUCUCCACAUUCCCUCUCAACUUUGAAGAAGAAAAGAGUAAAGAAUAAAAAUACACAUCCACAAACACUAAAGGCCACACGCAUAUGUGAGUGAUACUCAUUUGUGUUCCAUCAUGUAUUAAUUUAGCUUUUAUCCUCUUCCAACCUUUUACUAUUCCAAAUCAAAAGGUUGAUUAUUGCAUUGUCACACAAAACAAUGAUAAUAAAAAUACUCAAUUCAUAUAAUCCUUAGAAUUAAUUCUUUUCAUAACUAUAGUAGAUGUUUGAACAAGUGAGAACAAAAUAUAAGCUUAAUCUUAAUAGUAAUAUCAACGGAUAAUAGCACUGUGUGUCACUUAAUUAUUACCCAUGUCGCACAUAAACUACUUAACUUUCUACAUUGCACAUAAAGCCACUUAACUUUGCUUAUGCUUGCAACAUCCAAAUUUUCAUUCAAUUUAUGGAUAGACUGAUCGAAUUGAUGAGUUCUUAUUCGAGAUCUUCUGUAUGAAUAACCUCCAACACAUUAAAGAGAACAAUAAUUUAUAAGAACUGACAGAAUAACUUAUUACUUGUUUACAGAAAAGAAUGAUAAAAUAAAAAGGCAAGAAUAGAUUAUAAUCAUGCCUUGGACACUGCUUUCGAAAAAAUAUUUCCCGAAUUUAGAACACCAAUACAACUAAAGGUUAAUCACAAUAUUCACUCAAACUCUAGUGUAGGGCUUGAAUGUUGGAACUUGGAAACUUAUGCUAUUUUGAUUCCGAUUUUGAGAGUGAAAACAAAGUUUUCUGCCCAUAUUAAUCAACUAGGAUUUCCCUUUUUAAAGAGAACGCAUCCACUAACCAACAUCAAAUCCAGAUUCUCCUUUCUGAUGAUCAUCAAUGAUAAGCAGAUAUGGGGAAGGUGGAGUUGAGCUCCCGAUUUCUAGGAAGCCAACCAAAUACUUCUGUUAAGCAUAAGUCUUGAGUAUAUGCGGUAUGUAACUGAUCAUUACUGUUACUUCAAGUGGUUAGAUAAUGGUUACAUCAUCUUGCUGUUGUCCGUUGAUGACAUGUUGAUAGCAAGUUCUAUUGUAAAAGAAGUAAACAAGUUGAAGAAACAGUUAUCUAACAGUUUACUAUUAAGAAUAUAGGAGACGCUAAACAGAUUUUGAGUAUGUGCAUUGAUCAUGAUAGGCAAGUAGGAAAGUUUUAUCUUUCGCAAGUUGAAUAUAUCAAGAAAGUCUUGAAGAGGUUCAAAAUGCAGGAUGCAAAACUAGUAAAGAUUCCUUUGGGUGGCUAUUUCAAGCUAUUUGAGAAGGAUAUGCCUAAUAAUGAUCCAGAACGUGCCCAAAUGCACGAAACACCAUACAUUUUUGUAAUUGAUAGCUUGAUGUAUGGAAUGGUGUGCACAAUACCAGAAAUUGCACAUGUAGUGGGAGUUGUCAAUAGAUUCAUGGGAAAUCGGGGGGAAGCGAUUAAGUACUCCUGAGAUAGUUGAAGAUUACUACUAAAAGGGUCUUGGGCUUUGAGGGCAAAGUAAUGUAGUUAGAAGGAUUUGUCAUCAAGUGACCUUGAUAGAAGAAGAUGUACAACAUGGUAUAUUUUUACUCUUUGAGGUACCAUGGUUUCUUGGGCUUUUAAGUUGCACUGUCUAACACUCAAGCUAAAUAUGUUGCGGUAACGAAGGCCAGCAAAGAGAUGGUAUGGUUUUAGAAUUUCUUUGGUGAAUUGGGGAAGAAGAAAGAGGAUAGCAUAUUGUACAUUAGUCUUAUACACUUGCAAAAAAUUCAGCAUUUCAUUCAAAAUCGAAGCUCAUAUUGAGUUGAUGUAUCACUUUAUGGGUUGAUCUCUUGGAAAGGAAGAUCUUACGGCUUAUGAAGAUUCUAGGAAGUGAGAAUCCUAUGGAUAUGCCGACUAAGGUUGUAAAGUUGGAGAAGUUGACACUGUGUAUGACUUUAACUGGUUUUGUAACUGAAGUUGAAGGUCAGAUGCUGCUUGUAGUAGGAAGACGUUGAACAUGGAGAACCAAUGAGAGGAGUAUGUCUUCAGGUGGGAGAUUGUUGGGUUAUGGUGCCUAAGAAACUGAAGGCUUGGUCCAGUUAGUUUGUUUAGUUAGAUAAAAAUUAAGAUUAAUCUUGUCUAUUCUAUAUAGGAUUAGAAUUAAUAUGGUAGCUCCCUAUAAAUAAUCUAUAUUCAUAUCAUUGUAAUCUGUAUCACAACAAUAGUAGUCGAAAUCCUAACUUGGUUUGUAAAAAAAGAAAUUCUAGCGUGGUAGCGCCCUAGACAUACUCUUCUCGUGAAGAGGAACUAGGUUCUUAAUUUUUCAGUUUAUGAUUGCGUUUCAUUUUUUACAGGAACGACCAGAUCCAGCUCAGAAACUUCCUCAAGAUGGCGACGUUGAAGAAGCUCUGUCUCGCUAACGCCUAACAAUGGCUUCUCUAGACUGAUUCAGACUGUCCUCACCGCUGGAAAAGGAGAUUAGAUAGAAAUCCAUCUUUUAUUCCUCUUCAUUGUUUUUAUGACAAUUUCUUCUUUUCUUUUAUAAUAGAGAACUAUUUAUCACUUUUGUUGGACAUUUCUUGUUUGUUUCCCUCAAGAACUAAUAAUUUUGGUCAAUGGGUGACCACUGAUGAUGUUGAUUCUAUAAGCUUUAGUAUUUAGUCAAAUUCUUGAGUUUUUUUCAACUAGAAAAAAAAAGAAGAGAGGUUACAGUUUCAAUUAUUAAGUUUGAAGAAUUAAAGAAAAAAAACUAGACUACAGAUAUGAAAAGGUAAUUCUGAUAAUUUUUAUUGAUGAAUUUUUUUUUUGUAAUGAGUAAGAUAAUUUUUUAGGUUUUAUAAAUGGGUUUUUGGUUAAAAAUCUCAUUUAGAUAGAGUUUUUGAUGGGUAAUUAUGAAAUUUGACAUAAAGGGUACAUGAUUAAAAAGGUGGGAAAGGAAGAUGCGAAAAGAAGGUAAGAAGGAAUCAAUUCAUGGCAAAAAAGAAAAAUAAAUAAGAGGGAAGAAAGAAGACAUAUAUUGAUGGGAGGCGGAGGUGGGAUAGGGAGGUGAGAGAAAGAUGUAACAACAAAGAAGGGUUUAGCGAAAGGUGNNNNNNNNNNNNNNNNNNNNNNNNNNNNNNNNNNNNNNNNNNNNNNNNNNNNNNNNNNNNNNNNNNNNNNNNNNNNNNNNNNNNNNNNNNNNNNNNNNNNNNNNNNNNNNNNNNNNNNNNNNNNNNNNNNNNNNNNNNNNNNNNNNNNNNNNNNNNNNNNNNNNNNNNNNNNNNNNNNNNNNNNNNNNNNNNNNNNNNNNNNNNNNNNNNNNNNNNNNNNNNNNNNNNNNNNNNNNNNNNNNNNNNNNNNNNNNNNNNNNNNNNNNNNNNNNNNNNNNNNNNNNNNNNNNNNNNNNNNNNNNNNNNNNNNNNNNNNNNNNNNNNNNNNNNNNNNNNNNNNNNNNNNNNNNNNNNNNNNNNNNNNNNNNNNNNNNNNNNNNNNNNNNNNNNNNNNNNNNNNNNNNNNNNNNNNNNNNNNNNNNNNNNNNNNNNNNNNNNNNNNNNNNNNNNNNNNNNNNNNNNNNNNNNNNNNNNNNNNNNNNNNNNNNNNNNNNNNNNNNNNNNNNNNNNNNNNNNNNNNNNNNNNNNNNNNNNNNNNNNNNNNNNNNNNNNNNNNNNNNNNNNNNNNNNNNNNNNNNNNNNNNNNNNNNNNNNNNNNNNNNNNNNNNNNNNNNNNNNNNNNNNNNNNNNNNNNNNNNNNNNNNNNNNNNNNNNNNNNNNNNNNNNNNNNNNNNNNNNNNNNNNNNNNNNNNNNNNNNNNNNNNNNNNNNNNNNNNNNNNNNNNNNNNNNNNNNNNNNNNNNNNNNNNNNNNNNNNNNNNNNNNNNNNNNNNNNNNNNNNNNNNNNNNNNNNNNNNNNNNNNNNNNNNNNAUGGGUUUGUGGUUAAAAAUCUCAUUUAGAUAGAGUUUUUGAUGGGUAAUUAUGAAAUUUGACAUAAAGGGUACAUGAUUAAAAAGGUGGGAAAGGAAGAUGCGAAAAGAAGGUAAGAAGGAAUCAAUUCAUGGCAAAAAAGAAAAAUAAAUAAGAGGGAAGAAAGAAGACAUAUAUUGAUGGGAGGCGGAGGUGGGAUAGGGAGGUGAGAGAAAGAUGUAACAACAAAGAAGGGUUUAGCGAAAGGUGAUAUAAACAAAAUUAAUUUUGUAAGAAAAUAUUUUUUUUAAUGCCAUGUCAACUAGUUUGUAACUUUUAGUGUCCAUGUCAACAAACAAAAUUUUAUAAAGUUACCAAAAUUCAAAAUUUGUGUUACGAAAAGUAUUUCUAAUAGAUUGUGCCAUUUUCGGUAAAGGCUUAAUAGGUUGUGCAUUUAAGAAAAAAAAUAUUAUUGUGUUUCUACAAUUAACAUCAAUUAUCACCAAACCAUUAAAUACUAAAAACCAAUUAAGAUAUAGUCAUGUUACAAAAAAUGACUCUUGUUAUGAUUUUUUUGUUUAUGCAAUGAUAGGAUGAGAUUAAAAGGUUAAUUUCUUUUUCGACAAAACUUGUAAAAUAUUAUUAAACUCAAUUAGAUAUAAUAUCAUCUACAGUUGGUCAAUCAAAAAAAUUGAGGGUCUAUCCACCGAAACAAUCGUGGAGUUCCAAUGAGUCUGAUUAUACGCCAUAACAUGGGUAAGCUUGUUAACUUAUCUCCGGCCAUGACGCCAAUUACCACAAUCAAACUUUGCCAAAAGGCAACGAAUUAUGGACUAAAAUCCAUGUUCGGUAUGAUGAUCUUCCACAUGAUGCAAAGUCUCAACCAUGAUCAAGCUAUCACUUUCAAGAACCACAUUAGGAUACCUAUGUUGCAAGGCCAAUUGUUAGCAAAAUCUUGCCUCGACCGCCUCAGUUAAAGUAGGCUCAUAGCAACCCUACAAUUUCAACAUAUCCGCCAUUAAGUAAUGCCGAACGCCAUCCCAGAUAACCACCCCAAUACCCAUUCUGGAUCCUGUAAUGAUAGUUGCGUUUAAGGUAGUGAAACUGGUGAGUCAACAUGGGAUCGAAAAGGGACCUAGAAUCGUAAUCGUAAAAUCAAAUCGCAAAAUCAUAAAAUUUCACGGUUCUUCAAUAAUACUAAAUAUUCAGAAAUUCACCUUAGCAUAAAGACGUAAGUUCAUUAUCCAAUCUAAAAUUAAAAAUAAAAUCUCAAAUUCACCUUAAUAGGUUCUUCAGUUGCACUACUUUGAGCUGAUUUUCGAGUCUAGGAGACCGGAGACAAAAUCUGUGAACAAAAUUGUACAAUCUUACAACAAAAAACAAAAUACCUUCGAACAAAGAACCUAAACACCAAAAAUCCAAAACUAAUCUAACAAAAACAGAAUUAGAGAAAGGAAUGGGAUGAUGAGCAAAAUCAUGGAAUGGGAUGAUGAAGAAUCAUGGAAUCAAGGAAACAGAGAUACCUUCGAGCCGUAGGAGUGGCUGGAGCGAUGGGGACGACCAAAGAGGCUAUGACGAGGACCAUUGACUCCUGGUUCUGGUCUUCUAGACUUCUGGGGGACGACCGACGGGGGAGACGACAAGAGAGAAGACUGAGGAUCGAGCAGAGAUCGAACGAGCAAUCGACGACUUGCACAAUUUUUUUCAGAAGAUAAAUGAAUUUAAGGUUCGAUUUUUUGCCCAAAAUUGAACUCGGAUUUCCGUUUCGGUUCGAACCGAAGCAUAAAAACCAGCGGUCAGCACAGAGUAGUGGACUCGUGAAUCGUUGUAAACUCGUUCGAUUCCACGAUUUUCACGAUUUUGCGAGCGAUUUCAUGCCAUUAUAAGCCAUUUUGAUUGCGCGUGAAAUCUGACUCGACGGACCUAACAAAACUCGUAAAAUCGUCGAUUCCACUUCCUUCGUUGUGUAUGUACUGAUAUGGGGUUCCUGGUUUAGUGGUUGAACCGGGGUUGGACCGUUUUUAAACCGGGUCGGCCAUUUUAAAUAUUACAUAAAGUUAAAUCGGACCGAAAAAAUAUUGGAUUGAACGAAAUCAAACUGACAGUACAAAUAGUCAAAUUUUGAGAUUUAACCUUUGAAAAUUGAACAAUUUUAAAAAAUUUAUGUACAUUAUGAUGUUAUUCUUUUUUAAGUUUAUGUAAUAUAAUGAUAUUAUCUAUAGUUGAAGUCUUCCACACAUAUAUAUCUAGAAUGCUAAAGAAACCCUAAUGGAUCUUUCAAUCUUUCUUUAAUUGGGCUCCAACUACUCAAUACCCUCUCUCACACUUUUUUUCUCUAUAGAGAAACUCUCUCCCUUUUUCAUCAGAUUUUUUUCUCCUUGUAAUCUAAUCUUAUUUUUCUAAUAUUUUCAUUCUAUUUCUUCCCUAUUUGUCUCUUUUACUUUUUUCUUUUUGGAAGGUUAUUAGAAAAAGAGGACCACUAAAUAAUUCCGUCGACGUCCAGCAAUAGGGUUUUCCAAUUUUUUCACAGAUGGAUCCAUGUUUCCAAAGUUCUUUUGUUUUUUUUUCUGAUCUGAUAGUUGGUUCUUUAACUAGUUGAAUUAUCUGGUUUUCCGGGGAAAUCGGGUCAAUCCUCAGUUUUGUUCAUUCUCCUCAACCGCUAACUCAGUAUUGAUCAAAUGAUCGGUUCACAGUCGGACCGGCCGGGCUGAUAUGGUUUUGCUAACAUUGAUCUUAGUAGAGCCGACUAGAGGCCAUUCCAACCGAGCCACAAUGGCCUCAUACGAAAAACUCCUAGUUACCCUGAGUUCUUGAUAAUAAAUAAGAAUUGGAGUGCUUGUGCUAUGAUAUCACACUCCAAUUAGUGAAACUCAUUAAGCAUACACACAUUCCUUUCUUUCCAUCAGAAUCACAUAAGCAUUACCCAUCUUUCCAACUCCAAAUUCAAAACUUUGCGGUUGCUAAGUGAGAACCAAUCGCAUCAGUCAUUAGAAUCAUCAAAAUCAACCAGUGAUCAUGUUUAGAGUUACCUCAAAUCCGCCAAGUCCAUUGGCAAUCUCGGAAAUAGUGAAUUUGCAGGCAACCUGCAAAAUGGGCAUAUAUCACCAUGUCGAGGAUUAUGCUUAUACAUAUUAUACCUGUAGGUAAAAUUUACGAUGAAAUUUUCAUAAGAACUGCUCACCUUCGACGGAAUCUACAAUGACCAAGAACAAUUCCAAACAUCCGAGUUGCAAUUUGGAUUAAGACCCACUAAAAGAAAACCGUGUCCAUUAUUACGGAUAAAACCGGCCGUUGUCACUGAUAUUUCCAUGUCCCUGCCUCGUUGUCGCGGGAAAAUCAUCCGCGACAACGGGCGCCUUCAUAAUGAGGGGUGNNNNNNNNNNNNNNNNNNNNNNNNNNNNNNNNNNNNNNNNNNNNNNNNNNNNNNNNNNNNNNNNNNNNNNNNACGGCCGCCUUCAUAAUGAGGGUUGUGGGGACUAAACUAUCCGCGAAAAAUAGGGUUGGCGCGAACCCGUUAUGACCGGUUUGGUUCAAAUAGUUAGGUUGAAAGGCAUUUUAACAAGUUUAUCCGCAAAAACGGCAAGAGAUAUCCGCGACAAUGGCUAACAACAUUUGUUUUGCCGUCAUAACGGUUCCCCUAACGACGUUGAGUUUAUCCACGGCCAAGGUUGACAUUGUUAGUUUCUCCAUCCUACCCGUAAUGGUUGUUGUGCCAAAUACUAGGCCAUAAUAUCUGCGACAACAGCUCAAGUACUGCCUAAAAUUUUGUUAUUUUUGCUUGUUUCGUCCACUGUGGGCGCCUAAAAUAAAAGUUUAUAUAUGCACUAUUCUACACAUAACACAAUAUAUACCAAUAUCAUUAGCAUAACGAUAACACAUAUGAUCAUCCAAGAGUUAAUACUAUAACAUAAUCCAUAGAUCUACUCCAACAUAAUUCCUUGAUUUUUUACCUAACUAAAGUCAUUAGUUCACUAGACUACAUCACUAUCAACCUAGAUAUAACUACACUAGAGACUCGUCAUCCUCAUCCUCGUCAUUAUGACCAAGAUCCUUAUUAGCUCAAGUAUACAAAAGAAGAUAUAUAAAAUUGAAAUUAGGUUAAAACACAUAAAAUUAAGUAACAUGAACUUUAUAACAUAUAAAGAUUACUAAUAAUUUACCCGCCACAUCGUAGUCGUAGUUCUGUUGGAUGUGGUUAUAUUAUAUUAACCGCUACAAUCGUCGUUACGGAUCAUUAUCCGUGUCCGACGAUGACCUAACCGUGACACCCGUUAUCGCGGAUAUUAUCCCCCAUAACUAAUCUACGUCAGACAUCAAAUUUUGUUGUAGUGGCCAAGCUAUUCUUUAAAGCUAGUCAGCCAGUUUUAAUACCCCUAUUUUUUCGAAUAAACAGCUUUACUACUUGAAAUCCAAAUAAGCAUUCCGAUUCUUGAACAUCGCAAUGAAUAAUUUGCACGAUAGAAGUUGAUAUAGUUGACCAAAAACAGCUUUCAAUAAGAGCAGUAUUCUACUGAUAAGUCGUUCGAUUAACCAACUCACGAACUGUAGCAUCAACAUCAAACCUCAUCGGCGUAGAGGUCACAAAAUUACCGGGUACUAACGGAAGCCAUCCGUCUCCCCAAAUUCUAACGGACAUACAAUUUCCCACCCACCACCCAAGGCCACUCCAUACAAAACAUUGAGCACCAAAAAGGCUAUGCCAUAUAAAGCUAAACCCAACUCAGCUUUAAAGACAUAAUAGAAUUUUUAAAAUACUUAGCUUUCAUAAUUCUUACAAUAAGGGAAGAUGCUCUUGAGUGUAAGUUCCAAAGAUGUUUAGCAAGUAAAGUAAUGUUAAAGCCUAAAAAAUCACAUAAUCCCAUCCUAGCUUCGGAUUUCAAACUCAAUAGAUAUUCUUGACAAAAUGAGGGAUGAGCACUGGGUCGGGUCACCCAUCAAAACCCACCCGCCUAUAAUCACUCUCUACCACUACUACCCUUUUCCCCAUCACCAUAAAACUUUGCAUGCUUGUUUGUGUGUUUUUGUAGUUUUUUUGUGUGUUUUAUGUCGCUUUUCAUCGUUUGAGUAGAGAGAGAGAGGGAGAGAGAGAGGGAGAGAGAGAGAGGGAGAGAGAGUAUUUCAAGGGUUGCAUGUCAUACCAAUGAUUAAGAAUGCAUGAUAGAAGGUCUCGAUUCAAAUUAGGGUUCGGUCGGUGUCUGAUCGAAGGACGAAUGAUGCUUGCAUUAUUUUAUUUUUACUGAAAAAUUGGGCUUCUGGAGCAGCCUUUAGAUCAAUCUCAAGGUGUGUGGCUUUGCAUAGUGUGUGUCGUUUCCUUAAGUUUCUCUCGAUAGAAAAUCGAGUUUAUGGCGUGUGAUCCCACAUGCCAUGUGACUGAUUUUUGACAAAACGAACCGACCAAAGAACAACCAAAAACCCAACCGGCUCAAACCGUAAUGAACCAGAUUGAUUUUCAAACCGAUUUUCAACCAAAUCAAACUGAGUUUGACCAGACGCAUUGACCCUUCGUUGACCGGCCGUUGCCCCCGUUGACCGGUCACCAUGGAAGAAAAAACAUGGCAGUUUAGUAGUAUUUUGGGCAUAACAUUUUGCUCGGGAGUCUGAUUGACACAAGGUCAGUGACGUUGGAAACUUGUUCAGUUGCCUACAACUUUGAUGUCAUGAUGUGGCCUAAAUCCAUGCAGUUUGUGCUCAUUUUUCUUGGUUUGGAUUGAUGGAAUUUGAGAAAGUUUGAAUUGUGGUCUUGUUUGGUUUGAUGAUUUGGUGCGAUCGUGAUCAAUUUCUUGAUAGUAUUAUAGUGAUAUGUUCAUUGCAAAUGCUAACGUUUGGGAUGGUUGUCCAAAAUGGAUAAUUCUAGCUUUGCAAUGUGAAGAUUGCUGGAUGUUGAGACGUGAUCACUUUGUCACUCUUGUAUCGAUGGCAUGUUGUUGAUUUUCAUGAGAACUUGGAAUGGCAUCAUGAUGCUUCAAAGUGUGGUUGAACGUAGGUUGUUACUAGGCCUGAGAGUCGGUUAAUUUGGUUACUAACCAUCUGCUUAAUGUUCGGGGAAAAUGAUUUGGAGAUUAAAGUUGGUUAAUCGGUUUAACUGACCGACCAUAUGUAAUGGUUAAAAAGCCGACCAAUAACUGAUAAAUCGGUUAAAUAACCAAUUAUUAACCAACAGAUUAGUCGGUUAAUCCUAUGAACUGACUUUGAUUGAUUGACCGACUAUACCGACUUAACCUAACAAGAUCUGAAUCUCCAUGCUCAUCUCUGCCAUCGAGUGAGCCACGUUCUGCUCAUGAUAACCGUUCGUCCAAGCAUUCAUACUCUACUAAGAAAGCUUGCCAUGGCCGCCACUCUGAACACCGGUCAAAGAACUGAAUACUUGUUCCAAGAUCCGAACUUCCAGAACCGUCUCCAAUCCAUCUUCCCAAUUGUAGUUUGGACAAAGUUUCCUCAUCUGAAUUUUUACUCAAUCACACAACUACAACCUACACGACAACCAUAAUCAAUAGAGUGGAGGGGGAUAGGAUGAAACAGAGGACUGGUUGAAAUUAUAUGGGCCUAUGUUGCAUCCUCAAUAGCUCGUCGUCGCCAAGCCUCACUGAGCCGUCCCCGAGAGAGGAAGAGACGUAGAGUCUAGAGAUCGUGCUUUACUAGUGCUCAACACUCAUGGAGCCGUCACUGAGAGAGGAACAUAAUCCCUAAUGAAUCGUGAAAUCGAGAAUGAACGGGGAUAAGUGAAUAUGUUUGUGUGUGUGUGAGUUUGACCUAAAAAUGGGGGGAUUGGGAAUACGACGUAGACAUUUGGGUUCAGACUUGGGGUUCUUUUGACCGAUUAAUGUUGGUUAACACAAGUUAACUGACGGGUUUUAACCGAUUCACCGUUUAACUGAAGUCAGUUUUUCUCUUUGACCGUCCCCCAACCAACCUGUAGCUCGAUUAAACCUUCCUCUAACUUAUUCGGUCGGUUAAUCAAUUUUAAACGAUUAACCGAAACUGAAUUCCUACCCUUAGUUGUUACUAGGUGCUUUUGUUGCUCCCAAUUGAUGAUUUGUGAUUAUUUCCAUGCUCAUUUAAUUUGCUUCCAUUGCUCAUAUUUUGUCCUACCAUUACCCUUGAUGACUCAUUGGUUACUCACUGUUUUGGUAAAUGGUUCAAAGAAGCAUGAGGCAUAUUACUAGUCCAUUUGUUCCUGUAAUGAUAUAUCUUUGACCUCACCUUUUGGUAUAACUUGAAUGAUGCAUACGUUGUCACUUCAUGCUUUGCAUACACUCUUUAUGCUCGUUCUUGUUCAUUGGACUUGGUCAACAUUUGUGAGGAUUUCUUUGUGGCAAUUGAUGAUAAAUGAGUUAAGGUGGUCCCAUAGCUUUUGCUUACCCUUGUCUUACUAAUUUAUGAAUUAUAGGAUGCUCUUGUUUAGGAUUGCUAGUUAGUCUUGCUUGAGAAUAACUAGUUAUCUUCUUCAUUGGUUUUGCCUUUCUUUUACAUCUUGCCUAUGCCAUGUCUACUUAUGAGCUAUUUAUUGCCUAUCGUUGCCUAAUUCGAUUGGAUGCUUAUUGAGGUGGUUCCUUAGUGGCCGUAGGAUUAUGGGUUGACACCUCUACAUGCUUGAUGUGUAUGAUUAUUCUCCAUUUCGAAAUUUUCAAUGAUACUUUAAAGUCAAAUUUGAAUGCUCUUUACAAAUGUGUCAAUUUUGGCACAGUUUUCAAGGAUUCAUCAUUUAGUGUUUAUAAUUCAUUUUCGUUUUAAAUUUUCGUUUCCCACAUUUACUUUUCAUGUUUUGUUGCUUUUAUUGUUUUAAAUUUUAUUAUUUUUAUUUUAAUAGGCUUACUUUCCUUGUAUAUCCCCAAUUGUAACUUGGUAUCCGUAUUCUCAACUAAAUCAACAAAUGACACCAAAUAACUUAAAAUUGAGAACUAUAAGAGCUCAAAAGAAGGAGAUUUAGCAGAGUCUCUUAUAGGUUUCAAAAAAGCGAGGAAGGAUCUUCAAGUGGAGAGGACCCUUUCUCCUCCCUAACUCCAAUGGCGAACAAAACUCUAGCAUUAGACCACCUAAAGUCAGACGAUAAGCCAUGCAUUCAUCUCGUGGACUUUAUCUUCUAUUGCGACACCAUCAAGCUACACGGUGUUUCUGUUGAGGUUCACAUCGUGUUCCCCUUGAGUUUCAGCAACCAUCCACUCCAAGCACCUUAAAUCAUCCGUCUUAGUUUCUGCUUGUCCCCAAACACCGUACAUCGCAUGUACUUCGUGAUUUUUCCAUUCUUUGAGGCAUUUAGCUCCUCCUUGUACAUCAUACAGUUAUGAAUAAUGCCUCGACGUUGUUGUGUGCCUGAAAUUGAUAAAAAACACAACGCAACAACAUCAAAUGGACCCCAAACGGGUAUGAGACACUAAAUCGAGAUAGAAGUUACAAAUGCACAAAACAUCAUGUCGUGAAUGUUUCGAUCCGCGACACCGAUGGCUUGAAAUAUUUCAGAGUCGCCACCAAUCUGUUGAAGCGGAUUGGACGCUGUCGACAUAACCCAGGUCCUUUUGGACGUGAGUUAGAACAGGUCUGCGGAACAGAGAUCCUGGAUUCGAGAGGCGGUUACGUGCAGGGAAGGAUUAGCACCCCCAUAGCGCCCGUCAAACCGGUACUACUAAAUUUGAUAAGUUAUGUUUUAUUUUCUUAGUUUAGUGGUUUAAUUAUGCUUUAGUUUGGACGCAUAAGGUUAUGUAAAUUUUUUAGAGAAUAUUUUUAUUCAAUUGUAAGUCUUUAUGAGUUCCCACUCUUGUGGAAAUUUUUUUUUAUGUUGAUAAAUAUUUUGAGUUGAACAUUCUUAAUUUAAUUGUUUGGAUUUACGAAUUCCCAUUCUUGUGGAAAUUUUGUUUUACGCUGGUGAAUAUUUUUAAGUUGGUUAUUUUUAAUUUAUAUGUUUGGACUCAAGUCUUACGACUGCCUACGUACCUAAUUCUUUGGGAUCAAAGAUCAUGUAGUUCGUUAUGGAAAAGUUGAUUUGAGGAUUUUUUGUAAUUUUUACUAUUAUAAAAACCACGUUAUCAUGCUCAUUUUUUAUUUGAAAGACAUUUAUUUGGUUAUUUCAAAGUUGGAACUUUAUUUGCCCACUUAUGAUUAAAUGAUAAUUCUACAAAAUUCGAAACUCUUGUCACGGAUACGAAAUUCAUAUAACAUUGCUAUAAUAUCUUUAAAGGAUUAUUAUUAAGGAAAUUUCACAUUUUUUGCCAAUCGAAAAAUUAAUUGGUUUAUAUCAGUUAACUUAAUUUGACAUAAUUAAAAAUGCAUUACAAGACGGUUAACGAACUUACAUUUAAAUAAAUAUGUCACAAGUAUUUUUGGUGAUUUGACAAUUCUAUUGUGGUUAUGUUAAUGUUAAUUAAAAUGAUACGUUGAUUUGAAUAAUUGUAAAGUUUUGAGUUUUUAAGUUUACAACUUUAAGGUAUAAAUAUCAAAUAGGAUUAAAGAAGGUAUGACGUUUAUUCUGUUAUUCUUCCACACUUAUUUCACUUUUAUUCCACUCUUAAUAUGGCCUUAAUGAUAUAUGAAUAUAAUUGAAUCGACUAAAGGCUUGGCCUUUCUAAAUUAAUUGUGCCCAAGCUCGAGCUCGGCCCAACCGAACGAUGAGCCGAACCGGCGGGUAAGAGGAGGGCAGCCCGCGUGCCAAACUGGUCGAACCGGUUAUCCACGGUUCGAUCAGAAAACUCAAAAAGAUGAAAUUGCCCCUAGCGUUCCGUGCGCUGAAGAAGGGUGGCAGGGGAAAUUUUGUAACUUCACCUUAAACCUAAUCGGCCUUAUAAAAGGGCCUCUUAAAUCGAGAAAUGACUCAUUUGCAACUUCCCACUCUCUCUUUAUCAUCCCUCUUUCUAAACCGCCGCCCUUCUCCCCCCCCCCCCCCCCCCCCCCCCCACCCACCUUUAUCACGGAGUGUGCUGUUUUUUUCUAGUUCCUUUCUCUUCUUCUCAGCCGCCCUUUUUUGCCUCCUCUUACCUCUCAGGACCCCUCUUUCUACCUCCGUUUUUUCGAUUUUUCCAGAUUUGGACUUGCAUGUCAUCGGAGGAUACUCCGGUGAGUCCUCCGGCAAAAUGCAAGUCUCGAUCUGUAGAUCUAAUGUUUUAUUUUGGUAUUAAACAAUUUUGGUUAUUUGAGGGUGGUACCGACGGGGGUGGCGGGGAGGUAGAGAAAUGGAAAAAAGAGAAAGUUAGGUAAGUAAGAUUUCUUCCCUAUUCCUUUUGAUUAAUGUCUGGUUAAUUGCUAACGAAGCUAACUACCGGUUUCUUUGAUGACUUUUUUUAUGUCUUUGAAAAUGGGCAUAGUCGACAUGUUUUGGAAAAUGAGAGGAAAAGGAGAAGAUUGCUUUUAGGAGGUAAGACAGCUAAUUUUGAACCCAUUCUAAUUUUUCUAGGUAGAAGUAACAAUUCUAUUUGUUGAUAAGUUGCAUAAGAAACUAGGUUUGUUUUGUUACUGAAGUUGUAGUAGUAGUCUAGGUGUUUUAAAAAGUUUUGUUUGAAAAACUUUAUUUUUUUUACUAUUGUUUAAAUUUUUUUAGCAACAUUGUUUAUUCCAAAAAUCCGUAUUUUAACUCGAUUUUACUAUGAGUUUCAUAGUUCUUUAGGUCUUUGGUGCGAAAAUGAUGAAAGAUGGCUAUAGGUUUCGUUGUUAAUACUUUCCAAUAACUUUUAGUUCAUUUUUGAAGCUUAUUUGAUUGAUUUGUUGGUUGUUUAUUAAAAUGAAUCAUUUAUUUGAUUAGUUGCAACGAAUCAUUGGGUUCAAUAGUAGUUUAGAAGGUUGCUAAGUGAUAUAGCAUAACAAUGUAUAUGUAUGAAUGAUGUGUGAAUGCUUCAGAAUAGGGAUGUUUUGAAUGAUUACCUUCAUUCAAAAUUUCUCUUUUAUCGUAUUUCAGGUGGCGGCGCCUAUCGUGAGUGACGUCAAACCGAUUUGGCGGCUUCUAUGUGUAUGGCGACAAAAGAUGUUGUAAAACUUAUUUUUUUACAGUUUUGUAAUUAUUUCCCGGGACUUUGAACGAGUGAUGUUGGUGUAUUAUUUUUGGGGGUUUUGGGAAGAACUGGGGGACGAAUUUUGAAAACUGUAAGCUCCUCUUUUUGCUGAUUUUUGUCAGUCCAUUUAAAUGCAGAAAGGGCUACAGUCACUUCUUUUAACCAACCACAUCUUGCAAAGUUUUCUGACAAAAAUAAAAGGUGGCAGCUCCCCAAAUAAUAACCGUAACGGGCCCGAUAUUGGGCUUGAAAUAAGGCCUGGAAUCGGGCCCGAAAUCAAAUUGGGUCUAACACAUAAAUAGUUUCGAGAUAAGGGAUUUUGCCGAAUUUCGAGAUAGCGGACUUGAGGUCCACUCAUUUCGGCCGUUUCCGUUUAAAAAGAUCUAAAACAAAAUCGGCUUAGAACAGUCUGUAACAUAAUAAUUACAUCUCGAAAAUAUGCUAUUUGGCUACCAAGUUCUCCCCUAACGUGCACUUUGAUUAAUUUAACUGAAUAAACUUCGCAACAAGUAAAAUCUCGACGCUAAAUCCUUCCUAGAGAUGCUACGACUAUUUAGUGAAAUGACACUGGCGUGCAUUCUUCACUCGAACGAAAUUUGGUUACUACAGUUGUCCCUCUUUGUAUUACUUUCGCUUGGAAGUGGAAAGUGGUACAAAGACAGAAACCAAAUUUCGGACGAGCGCCUGAACUUCUCACGUCAAGUCCACUAGGGUCCAAGGAUCUGCCACAACAUCGGGUAGAAAACAAAAUUUGCAACCUGACCACACAAACAACAUGCAAUGCAUUUCCCUAUGGGUGUUAGGGUGAAUGUACUAGGGACUCAGCUUGACUUAUCUCCCGUUCCAUGGGUUGACUAUACUAGGGACUCAACUCGACUUAUCUCCUGUUCCAAGGUGCAAUCCGCUUUCCCCAGGAUGCUAAGGGUUGAUGUACUAGGGAUUCGACUAGACUUAUUUCCCGUUCCAACGUGCGAUCCGUUUGCCUUAGGACGCUAAGGGUUGAUGUACUAGGGAUUCAGCUUGCUUAGUUCCCGUUCCAUGACUACAAAUGUGUUGAUGAUGAAUGGUUUCGAAAGAGUUUGAGUAAGGCUCCCCCUUUUUGAAAAAAACAUGCAUCUGAUGGCAAUGCUUGAUUGAUAUUUUUCAUCAUUUUCACUCCGACGAGAUUCACUGUUUUGUUUUCUUGUCGCUUAGUUCGCACUACGUGCUAGCGCAAUGGUGUCAACCCUGCUGAUAGCUGGGUAACCUUUAAUGUAUGUGCCCAUUUUUCUUUGUUUUUCCCCCGACGUCUUCAUAUUAUUCCCAUGCCUUGGGAUUUUAAGGAUCUCUUUCCUACUUUGUCUCUACUUCUAGAUAUAAUGGUAAGAUAACGACGACCUUUGUAAAUUUCUUUCUUCGGUUAGGAAUAAGUGGAGAAAUCCUGCCAUCCGGGCUUCUUUUCUUUAACCCUUCCCUUUUACUAAUUUUUUCAUUCUUUCAACGGUUUUCAUUAUUAUUACUAUUAUUUUUCUCCCUUUUGUCUUCACUUUACCGCUAAUUUCAUUUGAAAAGACCUCCUAAUGAUUAAUUAGAGCGAAGGUGUUUGCACGAACGCAUUUGCCUCAAGUUCCUGUGGGGUGUUGUACCUCAUCCAUUUUGUUUGGUGAUGCGUGAACAAUGGUUAGGAGAGUAGUAUUUGAGAAUUCAUGAAGUAUCCAAAACUUAAAGUUGACUUAAAUUAUCACUUUAUUGAUGGAAAACCGAUCACGUAGAUCUCCGUCAGGAACUUUAAGCAUAGUACUUGUUUACUGAAUAAGAGUUAAAUAGGUAAGGGAGCUUGUCUCCGUCCAUGUUUGCCAGUAUUAAUGCCCCCCUGAGAAAGCCCUUUCCCCUACAUAGGGCCCUUCAUAGUUCGGCUUCCACAUUCCUCUUGGGUCCCCUUGUCAAAUGGAAAUCUUCUUCGUUACCAACUCUCCUUCGCGAAAUUCCCGUGUUUCACUUUUUUUUAAAAGAUCUGAUAAAUCUGCACUGAUACAGGCGUUAGUGGUGGAUAGCUGCCAACCUUUUCUCAUCAAUUUAAUUUAACUGGUCGUAUGCCGCUUUUACCUACUCAACUUGUUCUAACUUCGCCUCCAUGAUAACCCUUAGUGAAGGCAUUUCUACGUCCAUGGGAAGCACUGCCUCCAUCCCAUAGACCAAUUGGUAAGACGUCGAUCCCGUUUAGGUUCUUACUGAUGUUCAGUAACCGUGCUGGGUAAAUGGUAGAAUUACGUGCCAAUCGCGGUCGGUAACGACCAUUUUCUGUAUGCUUUUCUUGAGGUUUAUUGUUUGUCAGCUCGACCGCUCCGUUCAUCUUUGGUCGGUAUGGUACCGAGUUGUGGUGCUUAAUCUUAAACUUGUUGCAAAGCUCAUGCAUCAUCUUGUUGUUGAGAUUUUUCGCAUUGUCGAUUAUUAUUCUUUCCAGGAGCCCAUACUAGCAAAUGAUUUCCUUUUGUAUGAACUUUUUGACAACGCUCUUGGUAGUGUUUGCAUAUGACACAACCUCGACCCAUUUCGUGAAAUAGUCGAUGGCUACUAGGAUGAAACGGUGCCCAUUAGAUGCUUUUGGUUCAAUCAUGCCUAUGACCUCAUGAUGCAAAAGGCCAAGGCGAUGCCAUAAUGUGCAACGAUGAUGGAGACACGUAUUUCUCACCGGCAUAAACCUGGCACUUAUGGCAUUUUCUCACGUGUUUUACAUAGUCAGAGUUCAUCUUCGUCCAAUAGUAACCCAUCCUUAAUAUCUUCUUAGCUAGCGCAUGACCACCGACAUGUGUGCCGCAGACUCCCUCAUGGACUUCUUUUAUUGUUCUCUGAGAUUCAGGGGCAGCUACACAUCUUUGCAGCACAAAAUCAUGGCUUAGUCUGUAGAGGGUAGUCCUAUGAACAUAGUAACCCAUCUCCAAUCUCCGUAGAGUCCUUUUAUCAUUUUCAGAUGCCCUAGCUGCGUACUCCCUUUUAUGUAGGUAGGUCUUUAUGUGAUGGUGCCAGGGAUUCCUCAUGCUCUUUUUGGACUCUACCUAGGUAGGCAGGUGCAUUUUUCUUUUUGAUUUUGCUUCAUGGGUUAACCUCGGUCUCGUCCAGUUUGUACAUCGAGGACAAUGUGGCGAGAGCAUCCGCUAUUUGAUUGUCGACUCGCGAGAUGUGCUCAAACUGUAUCGACUCAAAUUUUGCGGCCAUUUCCCCUAUGUAUUUAUGGAAUGGGACAAGCUUAUGACCCCUAGUUUCCCAUUUUCCUUCAACUUGUAUAUUACUAGCGCUGAAUUACCAUAUGCCUUCAAAUUCUUAAUAACCAUUUCGAGGGCUCCUCGGAUCCUGAAAGUGCACGAUUGGCACUCUGUUAUGUUGUUGGUGCAAUCGAAGCAAAUUUUGGCAGUAAUAGGGCACACCCUCCCUUCAGAAGAGACAGAAACGACGCCGACGCCCUGUCCCAAUGAGUUUGAGGCCCCGUCAAACUUCAUCACCAAUGUUUUUUGGACGAAGCCUUCCACUAAUUUCUCAGUGUUCAGUAUAGUUUCAUCCGGAAAUUCCAUUAACAUCGGAUUCGUGUCCGAGAUUGCAUGCUCCGCUAGAUGUUCUGCCACUACACUCCCUUCAAUGGCCUUCCUUCGGAUAUAAACGAUGACGUAUUCUGCCAGCAGCACUUGCCAUUAGCCUAUCCAUCUGGAGAGGGCCAACUUUUCGUGGACAUCCUUGAUAGGGUUCAUUUUUUAUAUUAGGAGCUUCGUGUGAUAUAACAUGUACUAUCUCAGCCUUAUGGCUACCCAUACAAGUGCUCCGCAAGUUUUCUCGAGCGAUGUAUAUCGAGAUUCGUAGUCAUGAACUUCUUGCUGGUGUAAUAUAUUGGCGCGCUCUUUCCUUCCCGAUUCAACAUGUUGGGCCAACAUCGCGCUUACCAAAUUUUCAAAUACCGUGAAGUACAAUAUUAGUGACCUUCUAGAAGUUGGUGGGGCCAGAACCGGAGGGUUUAAUAAACACCCUUUGACUUUCCGAAAGGCAUGAUGACAACCUUCAUCCCACUCGACAUUCCGGUUCUUCUUUAAAAGCUUGAGAAUGGGUUCACACGUUAAGCUCAAAUGCGAUAUGAACCGACUAAUGUAGUUCAAGCGUCCUAAGAAUCCUAGCACCUCUUUAUGCAUUUAGGGAGGAGGUAUGUCAACCAUUGCCUUCACUUUGUCAGGGUCCACUUCAAUCCCCUUUUGGCUAACCACGAAACCGAGCAGCUUCUCCGAGGUGACUCCGAACGUACACUUUUCUGGGUUCAGCCAGAGCUGGUACUUCCCGAGUCGCUCGAGCAAUUUUCAUAGCACAGUUACGUAGUCGUCUUCCUUUUAUAACUUUGCUAUAAUGCCAUCCAGAUAUACCUAUAUUUCUUUGUGUAUCAUGUCAUGAAACAGUGUGACCAUGGCCCGCUGGUAAGUUGCCCUAGCGUUCUUCAGCCCAAAAGACAUAACUUUAUAGCAAAAGGUUCCCCAUAAAGUGAUGAUGGUCUUUUUUUCUCGAUCAUCCGAAACAUCCUGAUAUGGUUGUAUCUUGAGAAACUGUCCAUGAAAGAGAACAUAUUAGUUGACGGUAUUAUCAACGAGGACAUUUAUGCGAGGCAAAUGGAAGUUGUCCUUUGGGCUUGCCCUAUUUAAAUCUCUGUAGUCUACGCACAUUCUCAUUUUUCCAUUCUUCUUAGGCAUAGGGACCAUAUUAGAGAUCCAAUCGGUGUAUUACGCCACCUGUAAGAACCCGAUUUCGUAUUGUUUCUGCACUUCUUCCUUAAGUUUGAGUAUCCAUUCCGGUUUCAUCCGCCAUAACUUUUGCUUUACUGGCUUGCACUCCUCCUUUAUUGGCAAGUGAUGUGUUACUAUUGUUCAUCGAGGCCCAACAUAUCUUGAUAAGACCUUGCGAAAACGUCCUAGAAGUUCUGGAGUAGUUUGACGAGCCUGUUCUUUUCUGCUUGGUCUAAACUGUCCCCUACCUUAACCUGUCGCCGAUUGUCCUCUGUUCCCAAAUUCACGACCUCUACUGACUCGUAGAAAGGUUUCAAGGAUCGCUCUUCUUAUCCUGCCAUCCAAUCUGUUUCUAGGUUAGAACCAUCACUGGCUUCCUCGGUUUCCAUCUCAUAAACUGGGUGGUGAAAGUCAACUUUAGUGUUUCGUACCUCUUCAUUGUUUUCAAACACAUCUGUAACCCUGUUACGUGACGGGAAAUAGAAAAGGGAAAAAGAAGAAAAGCGGAAGUGAAUAAUAUAGACGAUGCACGGAUUGAGACUUAUGAAAACAUGCUUUAUCAAACAUGUGAAAAUGUGAUACAUGCAUUCAGGAUCACUUAAAAAACACUAGGAAGCCCUUGCUUAUUUUAUUUAGUAGUCAUAUUUUAGAGUUAUUACAUCUGCAAUGGCGAAAGUAACUCCAAAGCCUCCCAAUUGCUUAGCUCUUCCUUUGGACGGAGCUGCCGCACCCAUUUUAUUCCGGUCAUAAUUCCCGUACCCAGCAUGCUGAUGAAGAGAUCUGCAAAAUCCGACUGUAACUCUUUGGUGGUCGGAUCAGUGUAGUUUUUCCUCACAUUUAUCUUUCCAGCAUUCUUGCUUGUGAUGUGAGGUAUGAAAGUCAGGCCUUCAUCAUCUUCUGUCCCACUUAACCUGGACACCCUCCUCCUUAUCCGUUCCUUUUGGAUCCUCCUUAUAUCAUCAUCGUUUAGAAUGUAUCGCAAUCCCGCACGGUUCUUAUUUUCUUUGACCUGGAUGGGUUCUUUCAGCACCUCCUGCCAUUAGUAUCAUAGAUUCCAUACUCGAUAUUAAUCUAACCGAUGUCUCGAGACUAAUUAGAGUUAAUUACCAAGUGCAUUAAUAUAGUACAAUGAUUAAUCUGAAAAUUAAUUCCAAAGCGGAUCGACAUUCCGCCCCUCUCUCAAGUGUAGCGGAGACGACGAUAGACCUUGGCGUUUGGGGAUUUAGUCUCACUUUCGUAUCUAAACCAAAUCCCAACAAUAAUCUUACAACUGGAAUUCGACAAUUACAAAAUAAAGCAGUAGCUAUAUGCAAGAGAAAGACAAUAACGAAAUUAAUGAUAGUUCCGCUUAACACAAUCGAAAUUAUGUCGUAUUAACACAUAAUCAAGGUUUCAUCAAUUUCGGACAGACAGCUUAGUUACACAUGGUGAUCAAAUUAAAAACACAGAAAUCAAGAUAAUACAUGAACCUGGAGCUCCAUGCUUCAUGAACGCUCUGCCGUCGUAAAAUUCAGCAAUGUAGGCGGUCCGAACGGAAGUUCCGAAAUGGAUUUCUUCACCUUCGGAGCUCGAAAUUGCAUGCGGUUUGAAGUGGCAUGUUCCUGGGUUGAAGAAGGACGUCUUGGGGCAGAGUAGGAAGGCUUGCGGGUCUGAUAUGGUGUGUGUAUGGUGUGAUUUCGAAGUGGACAUGACUUGCCCUUAUAUAGGCUCGAAAAAUGGCGUAUUAAGGCCUCCGACAUGGGCAUACCAACUCCAUCAUCUGUAUGCAAGCUGUAGCUGUCCCUGGACUGAUGAUGGACGGAUCUACAUGUGCUGGACGUCCUCAACCAUGCCCGGUUAUCCUUCCGGCGAUCGGUUGAGCGGUGGAUUGUAAAACGGGUCGUAACUUCUUCGUUGCAAAUCUGAUUUAGCUCCGGUUUGUAUCGUUGGAUUUUUAAUUCAUCCCUUUAUAAUACGUGACCUGAAAUUUUAUUAAACACACUAGAAGAAAUAUAAAAUUGGACCAUAAAGGUCCAAGGGUUGAAUUUACGGAAUUAAGUGCAAUAUAACUGAUAUCCGUCGAAACUUUUGUUUGCAAUUGAUAUUAUGACUUGAAGUGUAGAAAGUUUAGUGCCAAAUAUUACGGUAUGUUAUGAUGUGAUCAAAAUACCCCACACUUAAACUUUUCUUGUCGUCAAGAAAACUGUAACUUAACCCACACGAAAUACCAAAGAUAGUUACCAUCAUUUAUACAAGGUUUAGGAAAUGUAAUUUUACAAUUUACGAUGCAACAGAGGUUAAAUGCUUGGCCACAUCGGUGAGAUAAAUCUCUAGUUAGAAAUUCACGAGACAGUGCACACCAGAUUAAUCAAGAUUCAAAUGCUAAAAAUAAAAGGGUUAAAUGCAUUUGUUGCAACUAUAAGAUUCAUUUUGCGCUUCCUUACGAAAUUAUGAAAUUUUAUUUCUUUUUUAAAGUUUCAAAAUUUUGAAUAACCCGUAGCCGAGCAAGACUAGUGAGUACUAUACUCAACCUUUUAACACAUUUCAUUCUUCCCACACACACCUCAAUUAAGUCCCGUAUGGGAGGCAUCUAAACUGGCUGCCUAAUUGGCAGGGCAGCUAAUGCAGAGGUGCUAGUCCUCUACCACACGCGUUAAGUUAAUCAUUGAAUUAUUGAGACAAAUUAAAGAAGCAUUUUGAUUUAAACAUUUUUUUAUGGCGAAAGUUGAAUCCAGUUUUGAAUUUGCAGAUUUAAACCAAACAUUUUAAGCAUUUGCAUCAAUUAAUCCGAGAUGUACUAAAUACAAAAAUGAAAGUCUAGUAAAAACAAGUGGUCAUUCCGCAACAACUACCAUGUCACCCAUAAUCGUUACAUUCCCAUUGUCUAUUUUAAUGUGAUCCCUAAAUUGGUAGAUGUGUAACCGCUAGUACUGUUUGUGAGGAGAUUAAAGUAAAGUACGGAUGAAAUGUUGAAAAAAAUUUAAAACACCUCUCGUUACACCAUCACCCAACACUUGAAUUAUACAUUGCCCUCAAUGGACUAUGAAUCUGGGAUAAGAGGGAAACAAGUAUACCGAGAUAUCGAGAAUGACAAUGCCAAAGUAAACUGCUCUAUAAUACCUGUCUGUCGGAUGAUAACGGUAACACAGUGAUAACAAAACAAAACAAAACUCAAAACACAUUUGGCAAAUGCCACAACUAAAAAUCAUACUAAAUCACACCACACAAUGAUGCAGAUCCAAGAUAAAUAUAUUCGAAAAUGUUAAUAUUUUGAAAUACAUCAAAAAGAAGAAGAGAAAAAUACACAUCCUAGAUCGAAAAAUCAAUCAUAACUAUCGGAUCAUAUUCAAAAUUUUGGGCAGAGUCAAGAUGAUUUUAAGGGUCUUGGAUGAUUUUAUUGAAUGAAAUAAGAAACUUGGGUUGUCUCCCGAGGACCACUUUUUUAUCGUCUUUAAGUUAGAAGUUUCCAAGAAAAUUAUUUAAUUAGCCAGGUGAAACACCUCAUGGAUGGUGAGAGAGUCGCUCGCAAGGUAGAGUUUCAACCGAUGACCAAUAACUUUAAACAUACCAUGAUCAGGGCUCGAGAUUUCAACAAUUUCGUAAGGAAGAACUUCAGUCACUGUGAAUGGGCCCAACCAAUGGGAUUUAAUUUUCAUGGAAAGAGGCGAAUCCUAGAAUUAUAUAGGACUAUGUCUCCCGGACGAAAGUGUUUUCCAGGUUUUAACCUUGCGUCAUGAAGACGCUUUGUCUGUUGCUUAUACAAAUUGCCAUUUUAAUAGGCAUGAAGAUGGAAUUCCUCCAGUUCAUGUAUGUGGAACUGAUGGCGAGGUCCAGCGACACUCAUAACAAGGUUUAGAGAUUUAAAGGCCCAUAAUGCCUUAUUCUCUAACUCAACAAGCAGAUGUCAUGCCUUUUCGUAGAAGAGACGGUAAGGGGUAGUGCCGAUAAGAGUUUUAAAAGUGAUAUGCCCAAAGUGCAUCGUCCAACUUUUUUUACCAAUCCUUGCGAGUCCAGGUGACAGUUUUCUCCAAAAUCUACUUAAGUUCUCGGUUCGUUACUUUCGCUUGACCACUAUUAUGUAGGUAGUAACCAGUGGACAGACGAUGAGUGAAACCAAAGCGGCGACACACAUGAUCAAACUGUCCCUGACAGCGGGUUCCUCGAUCGCUGAUGAUAGUGCGAGGUGCUCCAAACCGAGUGAAAAGUAGUUGCACAACUGGCUUAUAAGCUAGCCUCUUCCAUAAGAACUUUGUGGGUAAAAAAAGAGGGAGAGAUGCUUCGAAUAUCAUAGAUUUUCCAAGAAAUGGCCUUAAUAUGCUCUUUUAAAAGGGUGAUGAGACGUCCCUUUUAUUCCGGAAUGAGGGAGGCAAUGAUACUGACUAGAAGCUUCGAGUAAUCCAUCAGAAAAGCAUACUUGAGGUGCUCCGGUAGUGCUUUCAUCUUCAAUAUUGGAGGCUCCUCAUAUGAGGGUUUGACGGGCUCAAUCCUUGAGAGCUUGACAGGAGGUUCAGGAGCAGAGUCUUAGCAAUCUGCUCAAGUUGUUGUACCUCAUCAGAAGCAUCCCAAACACCAAAAUAAAAGGCACAACUCGAGAGGGUCUUAGCAAAUGCCCUCAGAUAAGAAGAAUACUGAUCCAACCUCAAUGGAGUCAGCAGGAUAGUUUCAGUCAUCCUGGACAUGGGCAUAUUUCAUCCUGUCAGCAUGGCGAAAUGUGGCCUUUCCUUGACCUACUUGAAGAGUAAGCUCGCCUUCAUGGACAUCAAUGAUGGUGCGAGCCGUAUUUAAGAAUGGGUGGCCAAGAAUGAGGGAGGCAUCUGAUUCAUUGGUGUCAAUGAUAACAAAGUCCACCGAAAAGACAUAAGGUCCCAUCUGCAUAAGUACAUCUCUCAGGAUUCCACGACAAAUUCGAGUGGACUUGUUAGCCAACAGGAUGGUCAAUUGAGUCGGUGUUGGUUCUCCUAAAUCGAGCUGUUGGGAUAUCUUGCAUGGCAUUAGAUUGAUACUUACCCCAGAGUCAGCCAAAGUCUUAUCCAUGCAGGUGUUGGUGAUAUAGUAACAUAAGGUGAAAGAAUCGUGAUCCUUAUGUUUCUUAGGUAGCUGGUUCAGAAUGGCAGCAUAACAUUCAACAUCAAGAGUAACAGACUGAAUCUCAUCCAAUUUUCUCUUAUUGGUCAGAAUCUCCUUUAGAAAUUUCGAGUACUAGGGCAUUUUGGUAAUUUCCUCAAUAAACAGGAUAAUGCCAUUUGCCGUAAUCAUAAGUUCAAUGAACCUUUUGUAACUGGCACCCAUCAUAUCACUCCUUAGACGAGAAGGAUAAGGAGGUUUUGGUUUGUAGGGUGGUAACUCUGGCUUAGGGGGAGAUGGUUACAGUAGCCUUUGGAUAGGUGGCCGAGGUGGCUUUCUCAUCCUUCUUCUCGACGCUAAAGUCAAUGAUCAGCGUUGGAGGAAUGAUGACAGGUGUGGACUAUGGAAUGGGAGGAUCCUUACUGGUGGUUCCACUCUUGAGGGUGACACCUUCACAAGAUUCCGAAGUGUCAAAUCCUUCAUUAGUAACAAAGAUUGCUUUUGAUUCUUCUUGCAUAGAAUUGUUUUCUGUGUUGCUAGGGAGAGAGCCUUGUGGUCUCUCACUAAGAAUUUUGGAAAGAUUUUUCAAUUUCAAUUCAAUGUUAUGGAAAGUGGUUUGUUGCCCACGGAUAAUCUUUUCCAACCUCUCGAGUCUGGAAACUUCAUCAGACUUGGAUGUAGAAGAGGCUUGAAUAGGCGGUUAUUCAGGCUUUUGCCCAAAACCAGGAGGUCAUUGGUUAUUAGUAUAGUUCCUCGAUUGAUAGCCUUGAUUAAGACGAGAGGCAGAGUUUCCUUGGUUGAAGGUUGAUCUGUAAUAGGCAUGUUCAUCUAAUUUGUGAAUGUUUUGCUGUUGUGACGGUCCUGAGCAUUGGGUAUCAUGGUUGGUUUGGUAAGAGUUUUGGAAAGACUUGGAUUUAACUUGAUUUCAAAAGUUUGAGUUUUAAUUUUGACCAAAAAUUUAUCAAUCUUGUGGGUAACCACCACCCAAAAAGUCAACUUCUUCUGUCUGGUUAAAAACGGUAUCCCCAGAGUAACAGUCAGUAGAAUCACAUCCUUGAUCCCCUCAAGCAACAUAGACAAAGAUUAUUGCCGUCGAAUUCUAUAGGGUCCUGACGUUCAGCUUGCUCACUUUUUGAGAAAGCGCAUGCAGCUGAGAGAGAACGGGAGAAAUAACCGUCCCAAGGGUUUCAUGACGAAUCACAAAGGAUGAAGUGGUAGGCGGGGUGCUAUGAUGCUUCCCAUGUUGCCUAGUCAAAGUAUGACUACACAUAUCACAUCCAGCAGCCAGGUUGAUCAUUUGUGUGCUUUCCCGAUUGAGCCUUCAAUUGAAAAUAUCGGCUUGGUUUCGGUCAUCGAAGCUGUGAUGAGCGCAAGAGCGGAGGAGGGCUUGGAAUCGAUUGCAUGCUUCAUAUAAUUGUUCAUUAUCUCAUUGCAUGCAAUGGAUAAUUCUCUCUUUUAUCUCACCGCGCUUCUAUGGAGGAAAAAAUACCUUGAGAAAGGCUUUAGCGGGACCGUCCCACAUGGUAAAACUCCCUACUGGUUGAGAAACAAGCCAGAUUUUUGCAGCUCCCUUGAGAGAGAAAGGGAAACGCUAGAGGCGAAUGGCAUCAUGGUGCACCUGUUGGAGUUGUAAGGUGUCGCAUAUUUUGAGUAAGUAUUUGAUAUGUUGGGUGGAGUUAUCGUCCUCUUUCCCCAAGAAUUGGACUGUUUGUUGGACCAUGUAGAUCAUAGCGGGUCGCAAUUAAAAAUUGUUGUCUUCGACGUGGGGUCGGGCGAUGGAGGACCCCAGGUUCUAGAGACUUGGUUUGGCAUAAUCGCCAAGUGUCUUCUCUUCAGCCAUGGUGAAGGAUCCUUUGGGGGAAAUGCUUACGUGAUCUUCGCCAGAGUACUCAUCCUUGGAAUCCGUUCUACCGAGAGCCGGAGGUGCAAUUGUAAUUCCUUCAAGGACAUGUUUAGAAAAUUACCAAGUAAUCCGUCGAGUCAUUCAUUUGACCGAAUAGGAGUUUGGAAGAUGGGAGGAGAGAGGGAAGCAGAAUGAAUGAAUUCGUUGAGUUUUAGGUUUUGGAGGUUUGAAGAAGAAGUUUCGAGAGAGUGUUAAAGAAGGUGAGUGGGAAGAUUAUGGAGUACUUUACUUAGAAACGCCGCCUUGUUGCCAAAACCAAAACUUUCAUUUCAGUUCCAAGGAAAGUAGGGGAGUCACUCAGACUACUUAAAUCCCUUUAAACUUUAGGUAGCAUCUCUUUACGAAAGCCAAAAUAAUCCUCUCAUCUUUUUUAAUUCUCCUUUCUUAUGAUUUUAAAUUUUUUCUAUUUUUCUAUUUUUAGUGUUUAAAUUCAUAUAAAUGAUUGGUAGCAGAUUUUUUUAUUUUUUAAUUAUUUAUUUGGAUUUUUUUGUGGAAUAGGAAAGAUUCGGAGAUGAGUGGAAGAUAUGGAAAAGAUUGAGAGUUCAGUUGAGCAAGAUAAAAUAUUGAAUGGCUGAAAUGUAGAGAGAGAAAAGUUGAGUGACCAAGAGGGGAGCAUGGGAAAUAGUAUCUAGAAAAUAAAUAUAAAAUAAUUUAAGAAAAAGUAUUAUUAUUAAAAGUGAAAAUUUAGUAACUGUUUCGUACAAAAGGAACGAGGUCCACGACAACGACGCCAAAAUUUGAUCACCCCCGUAGGCAAGUUUAAAGAUAAACUCGGAAAAACCGAGGUCGUAUUCACGCGGAUUCAUUCCGAGUAUUACUCCUGAAAGUGCGAAGAUGAAAGUCUAAUCGUUGGAAUAGCGGGUAUGAAAGCACACAAAUCGCAAUCGAGUAUAAUGGAUGAGUGAAACCUGUCCGGAAAUGAAUUCACCAAGAAUCAGAGCAAGGAUGGUCAUUGUAACCCUUCUUCCUUGUUGCAGUUUCAUCAUGAUAGGCUACACCUUUUGUUGUUAGAUUAGGGAUGAUGUGGAUGCAAGGAGAAUCCCCUCAUAAUGAGGGAUUGGACAAGAUUUGGAUGAUUUGUGGGCUUGCUUUGGAUGAAUGUAGGGAGAUUGAUGCAUGUACACACUUGAUUAAACUAGGAGUGUAUCAUUGAAUGAGAAAUUGGUAGUAUACGAGGACCUUCCAUACCCAAUUCAUCCAUCUUUUUUUGUAAAUUGCAUUGACGCAUUUAAUCAAACAUUUGGCGUGCAUUUUGGUUCUUUCUUAGUGGACCAAACUAGGUUUAGAUAGAGUCAUUGGGUGUUGAUGUGACCACAUUAGCAUCCUUCAUAGGUGUUUGGGGUGCCUUAUUUCCUUGUGCAUCAUCAUAUUAUUCCGAUUGAACAUCAUUGAAUGCACUUUUGGCUUAUAAGUUGUUUGUGACCACAACAAGUUAUAAGGUCCAUUGGUACUGUUAGAUAUGACCAUGCAUAUAGACUUUAACGAAUAGGAAUGCAUGGAAGCUUGUAUAGUUUGGUACCUAACAUUACACUUUGGUCAUAAAAUACCCAUCACAUAAUCAUAAAAUAUUCAUAACAUUUGGUUUAUGUUUUUCUCGCAACUCUUUUUGUUGGAUUUAAUAAUCACCACCAGGAUGCCGUUUUUAGAGUCUGUUUAAUGUAUGAUGAUAGAAUUAAAUCAUUUGAUUGGUUAUUCCGUACAUUUUUACAGUGCCUGUGAGGGAAGGCACCCAAACCAUUUUCUCAAAUCAGGACCCGACCAUGGAUGCGGCAUUGAAGAGUGCCAUGCCAAAUACAUACCACGCGACGGCGGUGGGGUAUGAUAGGAAUCCUCUGUCGACACACCCUAACUGUGAUGCAUGUCAUCGGGAGGUUUGAAAGCGAGAAGUUCAACACACUUCCCGCAUAUACAUGUUGAGGAGAUGGACUAGAGGAGCCAAAAUUCGGUUUCAUGACAUAGUUAUUACGCGGCUCCUCUCUCAGGAUGGUGAGGAUGGUGAAAGACUUGCUGAAGUUUGUUUCUAUGAUUAGGGUUGUUUAUAGGGUCGAUCAGUUUCAUAAUAUGUUGGAUGUUGUGGUAGAUGGGUUGGCCAUUCAGGUAUGCAGUAAUCAAAGUAUACUUAUUUGUUAUAUUCACCGUACAUGACUUGUAUAUGGUCAUAAUAUACCUAUUAUGAUAGUGGUAUUUCUGUAGGUUGAACAAGCAUUGACCUUGUAUGAUGGACAACAGCCAAGGGAAACUGUGGUGGCAGAUAGAGAUACCACCAGCGUUGCAGUCGCUACGUGUUGUAGUAGUGUGAUCAGGAGAGAGAUUGCAACGAAGUACACCCCGCAGAGCAGACCAAGUAAGAACAACCAGCGUGGGAAACAUAUCACAGAUACGGUCGCAUGAGGCAGUGUAACAAGUUUAGGAAGAUUCGUGCAAAGGAAGUUCAAUCCGAACAAGCAGUCGCAAUGGACGUGGAAAUGGAGGACUUACUCAAUAAUGAUGUUAUACAUCAGUGCAUCGCAUUUUUGCAGGCACAGGAGAGCACCACUGCUACUGGCAACCCCCCUCGAUUGAGAGUGGCCCUUGAUAGGGUAAUCGUUAAUUAUUUAAUGGUCAUUAUGGAGAAAAGCCUACCUGUAACGCUAGCAGAACUGUAGCAUUAUAUAUGUACACUAGUCACGUAGUUAUGUAAGAACAUUGCCAUAUUAUGGGUAGAUCAGUGACAUAUUUUUGGUAAAACAGUACCAUAUUUUGGUAGCACAGUCUUGUAGUGUUGGAAGAAUAGUGGCAUAUUUUGGGAUGUAGAAGAAGACACAUUGUUCGGAAUUAUAAUAUUAUAUGUGGUGCUAGUAUUGACAUAUUCUGCUACAAGGAUUACACCAUGUGGUAGGUCCACUUCAAGGAAUACAACAAGGAUACUACUGUUACCCUAAACAAUAGGCAUAACAUCAAUGUACAAUAGCCAUAACAACGUUACACAUACUUUCUUAGGUUCAAACUGCCAACCAUUGUUCUUCAAAUGGAAAAUGUGACCUUCAUCGCCAUGGCACUCAAAUGGAAGGCCGUCUGGAUGCUCUGAUAUGAUAGUGCGAAUGACGUUCCCUGCUUCCUUGAAAUUGACUUUAGCCUUCCAAAAGGUAUCCUUCCACAUUUCAAUCCGACUGACCAAGUCAACGUGGCUGCUCCUUUUGUCUCCAGAGUGAAUGAUACCUUGGUCCACGAGGCUCCCCUAUCAAUGAUUUCCAUGCAUAAUACAAACACCCACUACUGUACUAGUAUCAACCAGAACUGAAAGUAUACAUAUCAUUUUUCAUAUUCAUGCAACCUUACUUUCCAAUCGUGACAUUCUAGUAAGUCUCUUGUAAAGCUCCCCAUACACAUAAACUAUGCUCUUAAAUAGGGCAUAAUUCAGAAACCAUUUAUAACGAAACCGUAAGAGUAACAUGGUACUAGCAUACCAUACACAUAUCCAUAACAUAACAUAGAUAUCUAACUAGGAGGGUUGGUCGAAGUUCCAGCUUCUAUGAGGAGGUCCACUACCCCUUCAAUUAAAAUAUGGGGAUGAAGUCGACUCCAUUGUGAGAGGACCAGGCGACAGAAGUACUUGAGCAUGUCCUUAAUCAUAACGUUCUCCUCAUCCCACCACUUCGUUUGGUCCGUUGUAAAACAACCAAUGUGUUGCCCCAUAAAACGAAGUGCCAUACAGGCCACACCUGUGAAUGUCAGGCUUUUGUGGCGCAGACACCACCCUCAACUUGAAGUCCUUGAUAUCCACGUGAGUGUUAAGAAGAACAAAUGACCUCGCAUAUUGCAUUAUCUGUGUUCUUGUCGGCUUGUUGUAUGGCUUGGUCUCAAAGUCCUUCUUAUAGAUAAGGCUAUUGAGAAUAACUCUUUCCUUUUUCUCCAUGUCCAACCCAAAGACAUAGAAGUGCUUGAAACUAUUUCCCCUUAUGUUGGGAAGAAGACCGAACACACAAAUAUAAUAUAGUAAUCACAUCAGAUUGUAUAUCAACUGCAUACCACAAAUACAAUACAUACAUAUUUCACGGAACUCAAGCCCUGGAGGUACUUCUUAUUUAAGAAAUCCUUGCAAGUUGGUGGGAAUUUAGAUUGAGUUAGUGAAAACUCAAUCUCAUUUUCAACUUUUGUCCUAGCAGGAGUUUGAAGCCAUAACACAGUCUAACUACACACAUAAAAAAUCACACUUACUAACAAGGAAUAGUCAGAUUAUACUCAUAACACAGUUAAAUUGGCAACAUAACAGAGGCAAAUUGUAUUCAUAACACACACAUAACAUAGAAAGACAGUUAAGUAACUUUGACGAUUCAAACAAUACUUGUAGUAAUUGAAAUAAGCCCAUAUAGUCUUUUUAUUGUGUUGUUGUUAGCCAGUAAAUUGUCAUUAUUGAACUGGUUGCAGAAUGCAUCAAUCAGUUUUGAUGUGCACCUGGUUUGAAUAAUAGACGGUCUCCAACUCAAGCUUCAUGACUUCCAUGCCUUUUUUUCCGGAAAGUCGCAUAUAAUGCAGCUGUUGAUAGGAAACAAUACUGCACUAGUUGUAGCCAUAACACAAAUGUAACACAAACGUAACAAAACGUAACACAAAUGUAACACAAAAAUAAAGGAUAUAUAACAUAGUGAGAAAUGAUAUGUACUCCCUUUCAACACUAGAUAUGGCAUAAGUUACUAUCUUGCUCUCAACUAGUGUUAAUUCAUGUUGAAGUCUAUUUGUGAGAACGAUCUUCAUGCUAGUCUUUUGUCGGUAAUAUGCAAUUGGAAUUGGAUUCUCUGAAUCACCUACCAAGUCCACUACAACUUGUCUCCACCCGGAGUUGCCUUUGUCGAUCCACCCACUAACUCCAAGAUGGCUUCUUUUGCGGUCAUUCUGUUGGUCCACUUCAACUUCCUUCUAUUUUCCUUGGCAACCUGCUCCUCUUCCUUUUCCUUUUCGGCUUCAUUAUCUUCAACCUUCUCUUCUUUCUUUUCUUCAUCCCUAUCAUCUGACUUCUCAUCUUACUUUUCGUCUGCAUUUGCAUCCUCCUCACAGUCACUACCAUCACAAUUUUCACCCUUGUUGUCAUCAUCAUCAUCAUCAUCAUAACCAUCGUCAUCUUCCUCCUCAUCUUCACCAUUGUCUUUAUCAUCAUCAUCACCAUCGUUAUUGUCCAUGAAAUCACCGUAGCUCUCGUCUUCAAACUCAUUACGAAACUCCACGUCAACAACUCCCUUGCCCUUCCCUAGUAAUAGGUUCUGGACAGACGCACUCCUAUCCAGUCACAACUAUAAUUAGCAAGGCAGUUGUCCUGCAUUGCACCUCGAUCGUCGCAACCUCUGCUAACAAUGUUUGCUGCAAUCAUGGUAUGAAGAUGCCUUCAGAUUAACCCAUAUACGAGAUAUAUAACACUUAGGUAAUUCAAAUAUACCACCAUCAGAACAGUACAAUAGUCGUGAAAAGCAGUUCACUGGCACAUAACAGAACAACAACAUAUCUUACGUUUAACGUCCAUAGAACAUUGUAAUAACACCCAUGGAUCAGUUACCUGUUAUGAAGAUGCAAGUUGUACUAUCGCCGUCUACUUGUCCAUUCUAGGGUUCGUUAAUCAUGUUCCCCUAUGCUGAUGCACAUUCACCCCAAAGGUAAGGAAAUCUAGCUCGAGACUUUGUCGAAAAUGUCUUGAGCCUAAGUGGGAGUAAUAGGUUUCAAGCCAGCUACAAGAGACGCCCUCUCACUCAACAUGAAUGACCAGCUGCCGUUAGGAGUACUUAUCCUUCUCAUCAUUUUGAUGACAACAUCGCAUCUUAGUAGGAACAAGUGGGAUGCUCUUUCGGAUCGAUACCAGAAAGAUCAACCAUGUCCAGAAAAUGCAGCUGACACAAACAACCGAGGAUAUCAAGAUUAGACAAUCAACCAACAGUAGUCUGCAUCAACAUAAGAACACUGUACAACUAUUAUAACACAACGAUAGCAUAAAUAUAAUAGCAAUAUAACUUAACAGUAACACUUACCACCAUGAAGUUCAUGUCCCUGCUGGGAUAGGACGCCUUCUGAUUCUUAUAGUAGUCCUCCAGACCUCUUAGCAGAUGAUUUGAGACGUCAGCCGCCCAAUUAGGAUUAGCAAUCUCAAAGUUGUGAAGGUGAAGAUACUUGGAAAACUUCAUUAUAACCCACCGGGUAUUUGUUGGAACAAGCAACGACUCAAGGGCAAGCAACAUGUACAACUUUGUAUAAGCCGUGGGAUCUUUACAAUUCUUCAUUGCAGCUUGGAGUUGAACUAUGUUGAUGUGAUUGUACUUAUUGCUCUUUGUACCGGUCACCCUUUCAAACUGCUUCAAUACCCUUAGCCCGAAAUGUUGGACAUCCACGUCGGCUAGACUUGUAUACAAGGGCAGACCAUAUACAUGGUGCACGACCUCUGACGUUACGCCCAACAGCUGACCAUCCGGGAACUUGAAAAGACCAAGUUCAGGAACAAAGGAUUGGAGGAGGAAUUGAGGAACCUCCUUAUUAAUCAUCUCUAGUUGUAGAUACAACAACCCAUAGAAGCCAGCGUCAUUGAGACAUAGACAGAUGUUAGUACGAUGCGGGUGGUCGUUUUCAAGUAGAUCAUUGGCAGCCACCAACUGUCCAAUUUUGCAACAGAAUGGCUUGCCAUUUCCCUUCUUUUUCUUCAAGCCAAUCUCCCCUAGGGGGCCCUUCUUUACAAUUGGUUGCUUUGUGGCAACUGCCUUUUCGUUAGCACAACCCUUCUUUGUCGGAUUAGUUUUGGCCACCAGACAAUCAAAUAACAUACUCAUAUUCAUAAUGUACCAAUGUCAUUAUGAUUCUCAUAACAACAAGACCAAACAAAGAUCGACAAUCAUACACAGGUACGUGAUCAUAUCAUAGUAAUAUCAUAUACGUAACAUAGGCAUUACGUAAUACUAAGAAAUACAAAUAGAUACACAAUCAUAUCAUAGACAUAAGAUAGGAAUAACAUAGGCAUCUAAUAUGCAUAACAACCAUAAACAGAAAGAUAAAUUGUAUUACACACAUAACAUAGGAACUUCAUACUAGUAAGUAGCAUAAACAAAAUAACAAUCAUAUCAUAGACAUAACGUAUGCACUUCAAAAUUGUAACAAACAUAGGCGGUCCUCAAAUCUCCCUUUUCUUGGGGGUUAACAGACACUAAUGGUGUUUUGUAGUUAGAGUCAGACUCCAAGCUCUAAAAGGAGGACGAUUCUUUCCGUUUCUGUUUCCACUUUUUGUUGCAUGAACCUUUCUGUACCCCACGUUGAGAUUACUGUAGCUCUGUGAGCCAUUUUAAAGAUUGAUGAGGGGAGAUGAGAACUCCUUUGUUAGUCUUCUCUAUAGGAAACUACGAGAAAGGAGGAAAACUUAUUAGAGCCUUAUAAAAUACCCUAAAAACCAAUCAUAUAUAUACGAAGCCUUAAGGAAGGUACAACAUAAAAAAAAAGUUAUCAGGUUUGGUGGUUCUAACCGUCAAUGUAUAGGUGGAUGAGGAUGAAUGUAACUGCUUUGGUGGAUGAGGACGAAGGUAACUACAACUUCACCAAGAGAGAGGCCUACAAACCUGAAGCCACCUUCAAAACUUCCACCCAGUACUUUGGAUCUACUGGCGGAUGAAUUUGAUUCCUCCAUGCAACGGCUUCACCGUCGCCGGUGAGAGGAGAGAGAUUAACAGGAAGAGGGAGACACUGAUGUUGAAGAAAGAGAUGGAGAGAAUGAAGAAAGAGAUGGAAAAGAGGGAGAGAAUGAAGAAAGUGAUGUGAAAGAGGGGUGACAGAAUAGUGAUAUGACCGGUCUGACACAAGGAUUGAAAAAAAUCGCAAAACAUUUUCAAUUUCCCAUUCUCGAUAAUGAAAUUCGAAUCUACGGAUGAAAAAAAGAAUUGAAUAUUAAAUAUAAAUAAAUAAAUUCUCGUUCCCAACCCCUAGAAGAAAGAUAGCCGUCUGAUCGAAGUCAACGAGGAGACGGAUUCCCAGUCGUCAGAUCAAGCUGUCUAGCCGUACAACUUGACUUUCCAUGCCAAUCAUUAACAUUUUUGCCCAACCGAGGCACCCUGUUUGUCUCCAGUUUGAUGAGUUCUUGCCGGUGAACCAAUCAACAAUGAAGAAGCUCCGAUGGAGGGCCCAUAAACUCACUAACAACUAGGUAAGGAUCAUGAAUGUUUUCAUAAGCUUAAUUUAAUAUUUUCUUAAGCUUAACCAGAUCUAUACAACCCUCCAUUGCCAGAUUCAAGUUUCGCCAGAGCCGCCGCCGUCUCUAUUUCUCAAUUUAAUCUCCUUUAUUUUGAAACCAGGUGAGGAGAGUUUCCCCUAAGUUAAUUUGGGGCUUCACAAUGGUUUGAAGUGGGAUUGAUCUCACCUGAGUUGACCUCCAGAACCCGAAUUUUGGAAUAUGGGUUUCGGCUCAUCGGGGAAGACGACUGGAAAACAUGUCAUGACGGUGCCUGAAGUUCCAGUGAUUUCAAUUCAGUCAUUGGACUUCUUGAGGCCAGAUCCGGUCACCUAAAUUUCCUAGAUGGCAAGCGUAAAACAAUACUUUAAAAUGUUAACAAAUUGCUUAAUAACGAGACCUAUAUAUCUGUUGUGACUCUAAACUUUAGGAUUAUGACAUUUGACCCAAAUACAUAAAAGAUAUUUAAGUGUUGAGGGUUAACCCUAAUUGAUCUUGAUAUGCUAUUCAAGGACAUUAAGGAUAAAUACAGGAUUUCUGAACUCGUAAAAGGAUUAAGGAAAAUGGAUUCUUUCGUUAUAAGGGAUCAUUAGUAAAAAGUAAUCAUGAUUUUGGAAAAGCCUAGUUUUUCCUUAUCACUUUAACAAUGGAGAUAAACUACAGAUACUUUGAGUCAUCACUCAGAUCUUUUUAUUUCAAAUCAACUCUGAGCCUAAUACCUAAAUUCCCGUAAUCAGGUUCUCAGAGUCGAAACCACUUUCAAGCGUGGAUCUCGACCUUUUUUUUGGGACCCUCACCACUUCACUUUUCUAGGCAAGUGGUUUAAGGGGGUAAAUUCUUACGUUGCUGUGUUUAGGAAUGAACCUAGAAUUAAAUGAUUACUUGAUCUAUUUGUUACUAUGUGUUUUGUAGUGAGUUAUGAUUGGUCCUAUACUCAUGUUGAUGUUAUGUAUCAUGCUUGCGUGUUACUUCCUGAUUAGUUAUGUUACUAGUAAAUCCUCAUCGUUGCUAAAUUCAUGUUGAUGCCAUGUGUCAUGUUUCCAUGUUUUUUCCUUGAUAUGUUAUGUUUACUUUUAAAUUCUUAUCCUUACCAUAUUCAUGUUGUUACCAUGUGAUAUGUCUUGGUUAUUAUCAUGUUAUGUUAUAAAUCACCUAAACAACAAGUAAGCCUAUGAUAGGCAAUAUAAUAACACGUAUCUCGCUAACUAGACCGCCACCCUCUUAUGUUACCUUCAUGUUUCACGUUUGGGCGGAUGGUAGGAAUCAUGUUUAUGGUUCGAUGAAUACGUACUCCCGGACUCUCACGUUUACAUUUUGGUGGUUUGCUAGUUAAUCAGGAGGCCCCUAGAUGUCAUGUCAAGUAAGCAAGCCAAGUAAAUAAUGUCAAGUAAACCAUGUUAAGUAAAUCAUGAUAAGUGAAUCAUGUCAAGUCUAAUCAUAUGUAAUCCCUAAUAACAUUAUUGUUUGGAUUGCUAACCUAAUGUGAAUGUGUACUCAAGAACUAAAAGCUUAUGUAAAACACUAAUAGUUAAGCACGCAAGACUGACCCCAAACCACUCACCAGGUCAUACUAGAGAUACCGGCAUAGAGACUACCUAAAAGAACUUUAGUGGAUGUUGAGGAUGUCACAUGAGUUAGAGUGAGUGAUUUUGGAGGAUGGACUACCAUGUUUACUCUCUUUCGAGUUUCUAGUACUUGAGACUUGGGUUUUGUUUUUUAUUUUUUCAUACUUGAUUUCAGAUGUUCGGGUUGCUCACUUGUAAGAGCCGAUUUACUUUGGAUUUAUGUGUAGUUUUCAAAAAAGUCUAUACCUUUCUCUUUUGACUAUCUUGAGUCUUGUGAUCUCUCCAAGGAAAUUUGGUAUUUAAAUAAAUGAAAAGGAUUUGUGAAAAUUUGGGUCGUGUCACAUACCACUUCCCCUUGCAACUCCUUUGAUGCCAAUAAACCUAAAAUACUCACAAAAUCACCCAAAAACCAACAUUAAAUGUCCCCAAACGGGCCAAGUGGAUAAAAACACAUAUUUGAGUUAAAGUUCCUAAGAACUACCCAGAAUAGCAUGAUAUGCACGAAAUUUGGCUUAAAAUACGAUAGAUGAAUGCAAUAAAUCAAACACUACAACUAACCCCACACUUAAGCUUUGCUUGUCCUCAAGCAAAAAACUGAUAAAAGCUAUGAUAAACAUCCACAAUUGAAUGACGUUACUAGCAAGGCAAAGCAAACCCAUAUUCCACAAAGUACCCCUAUAUUUCAACACAUGCAAGUAAACCCUUAAAAUCAACCAAUCUAGGAAGUAAGGGUCUCAUCAAAAGUUGUCCAACUUUUCAUACAUCAUCCGCCAUGGUAUACCACCCAUCUAGACUUUCUCUCAAAUGGCACAAUUUAAAAAUGAAGUCAAGAUCAUCUCACUCAAAGUGUUUAGGGAUAGUGUUUGUGAGCUCAUUCCUCAACUCUGACGCAAACUUCAACACUCGCACAUCAACCUACUUUUUAAUCAUUACAUCAUAGAACUUCAAACACUAUUCUAGAGGUCUUUUAUUAAGGAUUGUAAUCUGAAAAAAAGAAUAAGAGGAGAAAUGAAUUUGGUGGUAGGUGUACAUAUUGGCCGACGAUUCAGUCCACUCUAAACAUGGAGCUAAAGCUACUUAAAACAAACAACCACGAUGCAAGGAUUCAAUUUCCAUCAAGAGCUUAAUACUAGCUCCUCUAUCCCUUAAAUAAGCUACUACUCCUUCGAGCUUUUCCAUCAAGAGCUUUAUACUAGCUCCCCUAUCUCUGAAAUAAGCUACUACUACUUCAAGCUUUUCCAUCAACACUUGGCCUCAUGUGCAACAAAAUCCAGAAACUGGGUGAGGAACACGAUUUAGACAACAAAUGUAGCAUCCUCUGAUAAUGCAGAUAAUAUUUCCUUAAGACCUCAUGUUAAGGCAUUAGAAAAGAAGCUAAAUGAUUUUACUUUGAAAGUUUCUAACCCCCUGCUACUUAUGUUUAUACUUGUGCUUGGGGUGAUGUUCCUUACAGCCAGGUAGAAUGUGAUAUUUUCCUCACCAACAAAUUCAUGAUGAUGGAAGAAGUGGAUUUUGUGCGACAGGGCUACCCCUUCAAUCAGCAGGGAUAUCAGGAAUUCAGAGCAAAGAACGCCGAAGGCCGACGAUUCAACUUCACAUACCCUGGAAGGCGUUGUGACUUCUACAAGUGUAGGAUGGAGGAUUACAAUGUCAAAGACAACAUCACUCCCCAAAGACAAAACUCACACCAUUAAGGAAACUCGAGCAACAACUACCAAGGUCCACCAGGAUUUCCAAUCAAGCCAACUAAGCAGCAACAACAACAUAAUUCGGACCCUGCUGGAGGAAUAAAUGAAGACAUCAUCCAGAUGAUGAAAACCAUGCAUGUCUUAAUUAUAGCUCAAAAGCCUGCCAACACAAACUUUAUCCUCACUCCAGAGGAAAUCAAGAAGCAUGUUCGAUUCUAUAUCCAUUGGUAGUCAAGAAGAAGGGGCUUUGAAAGGCAUUUUAGAGAUUUAUAGAGAUCAUCAAGAAGAAGGAGGUUACAUUAACCUUUCUGGAAGCUUUCAUAAAGAUUCUAGCAUAUGCAAAGUUCUUGGUGAUGCUAAACAAGAAGAUAAAUCUUAGUGAUGCCACAGAGGUCUCACUCUAUGAAGAAGGAGCAAUAAUCCAAGUUGGAUCGACAAAGCAAAAAGACCUAGGGAGCUUUACUUUACCAUGCAUGAUUAAGAAUGUUAAAGUCUAGGGAGCUUUAUUUUACCAUGCAUGAUUAAGAAUGUUAAAGUUAGUUAGAGUCUUGCUGAGCUAGGUGCUAGUAUAAAUGUUAUGCCCCAAAGCUUAUAUGAGAAACUAGAUAUAUGUGAACUUAGACAAACUAAGAUAGUUCUUCAACUUGCUGAUAGGUCUUUGGUAAAACCCAGGGUAGUCGUAGAUGAUAUUUCAAUUUGUGUAGGACCUUUUGAAUUUUCUGCUAAUUUUGUUGUUCUAGAUACCCAUGAGAAUGACAGUCAUUGGCUUAGUCCUACGAAGGUUGUACCUAAGAAGGUGGGUUUCAGGACCAUUUUUGUUUGAUGAUAACUAUAUACAUGCAUUUAAUUUUCUAAAAAUGAAGUUGACCACUGCGUCGAGAUUAGUCUCCCCGGAUUGGGAGGCACCUUUGUAACUAAUUUGUGAUGCUAGUGAUUUUGCAGUGGGUGUAGUGCUAGGACAGUGGAGAGAGAAGAGAUUACAUCCCAUAUACAUCAUGAGCAAGAUGCUUAAUGAUGCACGGAAAAACUACACAACUACUAAGAAUGAGCUCUUGUCGAUUGUCUUUGCAUUCAAGAUGUUCAGGUCCUAUUUAAUGUUUAUCCCAGACUAUGGUUUUCACUGACCAUUCUGCUCUUAACUAUCUUCUAGCUAAACAAGAUGCGAAGCCGAUAUUUAUUCGUUGGGUGUUGCUCCUUCAAGAAUUUGACAACACUAUUAAGGACAAUGCGGGGUUAGAGAACAUUGCAGCUGCCCACCUAUCGCGCGUUGAACGGCCUCCUCCUGUUCAAUUAGCUCAAGGAGAGAUAAAUUAGCUCUUCCCGGAUGAUCCACUACUCCUCUUGGUAGAAGCAGAGAAAGUCUUGGAUCAUCAUCCUCAACAAACGCCCAUGGUUUUCGUACAUAGCCAACUUCCUCGCUUUCGCGGCAUUUCUAGAAGAUUAAAAAAUCAUCAGCAGCAAAGGAAACAGGUCUCCGAAGCCAAGCACUACAUCUGGGAUGAUCCUUACCUCUACCAUUCGGGCUCAGACGGAGUAAUCAAACGAUGUGUUAUGUUGCAUGAAUCACUCCACAUCAUGCUCCCUUGCCACACUAGACCUGUUGGGGGACAUCAUAGUGGAAAUCGCACAGCUCACAAGAUUUUAGAUGCGGGUUCCUACUGGAGGACGAUCUCGAAGGAUUGUGGCAGAUACGUGAAGAAAUGUGAUGCCUGUCAACAUACAUGUAACAUUUCAAAUAAGAAUGAAAUUCCUAUUACCAUCUCCAUGCUUGUAGAAGUUUCUAUUGUGCGGGGUAUUAGUUUUAUGGCCAUUUCCCAUAGUCCCAUGGUAACAAGUAUAUCCUUGUUAUUUUGGAUCAUGUGUCAAAGUGGGCAGAGGCAUAAGUGCUGCCUACUAACGAUGCUUGGAUAGUGGGAAAGUGUAUCACACGGCUUUUCAUGCAUUUUGGUGCCCCUCAUGUUAUUGUUAGUGGUAGGGGCACUCACUUCUAGAGUCAAUUCGAUCUUGUGUUCCAAAAAUUUGGUGUAACUCAUCGAUUAACCACUGCUUAUCAUUCACAUACAAGCGGUCAAGCGGAGGUGACGAAUCGUGAGCUGAAGCGGAAUCUUGAUUGACAGUCGAUCAGUCUCACAAGGACUGGUCAAUUCGGCUCGAUGAAGCUCUAUGGGCUUAUCGAACUGCCUUCAAGACUCCUAUCAGUACUUUGUUGUAUUAACUAGUUUAUGGCAAGCCUUGUCAUUACCGAUCGAGCUUGAGCAUAAGGCAUGGUGGGCCAUGAAGCUAUUAAACAUGGAUGAUAGUUUGUAGCUUCAAAACACAAAGAUCAGCUCCUUGAGCUAGAGGAGUACAAGUUUCAUGCUUAUGAGAGCUCAUGGCUAUACAAGAAGAGGAUGAAACGCAUCCAUGAUGCCAAGCUUCAAGGUGUCAAGGACUUUGAGAAGGGAGAUAAAGUGUUUCUUGACAACUCCCGCCUCCGACUGUUUUUGGGAAAAUUACAAUCAAGAUGGUCGGGACUAUAUGAAGUCACACAAUCAUUUCCCUACGAUACCGGGAAGAUCACACAUUCGUGCCAAGGAACAUUCAAGGUCGACAGUCACCAUCACAAGUGAUAUCACAGUUCCAAGCCUACUAAUUGAGUCAAAGUUCAUUACUUCACUGAUGGUAAAUAAAAGGCGAGGUAUCGUCUAGCUCAAAGAGGUUAAAAAAGAGCGGUUCAUGGGAGGCAGCUCAUGCUUGGAGUCUAUAUUUUGCAUUUUAUUUUGAGUCAAAUUGCAUGUUUAGGUGUUAGAUCGAGUCUAGAACAUGAUACUUGAGUCCCAUUCCUAUCCCAAGUCAUCGAUGAGAAGCGUUUUGAAUUUUGUGUGAAGGGUGGAAGGUCACAGAACAAUAUGUCAACCUUAGCGCUAUAGAUCUGGGUCAAACAUGAGCACCAGAGUUGCACUACCCCGCCCACCGCCACCACAUGGAUAUCAGCGACCGCCAAUAGAGUUUGCUGGCAUGGUGAGGUCAGUAUAGUAGUGGCAGAUCAAUUUUGGGGAGGGUAGUCUUCCAUGGCAGCAGUAGUAGACAGCCUGACAGACGUCAUUUGAUUUGGGACAGUGACCUUCAUAGAUCGAGCAGAGGAGAGUUGAGUAGGAACACCAUGAUCGAGCCCACCACACUCGCCUUCACUAGAUGACUACUGAUCCAGUAUCAUCAUUCUAGUUUCUCAUUAUGUGUUUGAGUGUUUUUCAGAAGUUAGUGUCGCCACGAAGGUUGAACUUCAUGAGUCAUGUAUGAGCCUCUUGGAUUUCAGACAACAUCCAUGUUUUCCUGUGUAACUUUUCGCUUCAUUUAGUGAGGACACUUUCCGAACUAAGUUUGAGGUGGGUUUGCAUAGGAUUUGUGUAUGCUAGUCUUGUUGGGUAGUUGUUUUACAUGUGCAUCCUAAACUCAAGCUUGUUGGAACUAUCUUUGAAUCAAUUACUUGGCAUGCUUAGAAAAAUUCCUUGUGAUUUGUGCACUUGAAUUGCUGAAUUACUUGUGAACCUAGAUUUGAUAGGAGUAUAGGCCUAUGAUCAAAGUCUAUUGAUUCAUUCUUUAGAAGCAGAUCUGAGGCAUAGACUCUAACACUUAUAUCCCUUCUACAUGGAAGUUUCAUCAAGUUUCAAUGUGAAUGAAUUCAAUCGGAGACUAGAGGAGCUGGGAACGAUAAACAUCCUCCACCGGCCUAGGUUUCUUCUUCGUAGCACAUGGUUGAAAUAGAAAUGAAGAAAAAUCAGAAGAAACCAUUUGGAGGCGGAGUGAUGAUGGUGAUAAUGAGGAGGUUUUGGUACCUUGUAUAAUUCAUCUCCAAUUAAAAAGGUAUUAAAAAUUAACGGUUUUUAAAUUGAUUGUUUUUAUUGACGGUGAAGGAGGUAUUAACUGAUGAAAGAGGUAUAGUGAAGAAAAGAACUUAUGGAACUUAAAAAAGAAAAAGAAAAUAGAAAAUUGGAAGGGAAGUUCACGUAUUUAAAUCGAAUAAAUUUGGGUGAUCUAGUUGUAUUGUUUAGCAUAUUUGGGUGUUAACUCAAUAUUAUGUUUAUUAAAAAAUCGACCAAUAAUAUUCCGCCACAUAACAUUUGUACCGGAUGCAUGUUUCCACCAAAAUGUUUCCUUAUAUUAAACUGAUUUGUUAAGUUUGAAUGUAUAUUAACUUUAAAAGAAUCGCAACAAAUGGGAGGGUUUUUGCUUUUUGAGAUAGAGAGAGAAAAUAGUGGUAGAUGGUCUGAUGAGAAGAACCCAAGAGCAAUAUGCCCUACAAGUUCUCAUGCAAAAAACUGAAGGACUUGGGAUUGGAAUUCACACCAAUGACGCAGAGCCUGUAUGAAGCAAUCAAGUCCCUUGAGGAAAAGUGUCAUUUUUCUCCCCCUAAACAACAGCAGCACCACAAGAAGGAGGAACCCAUGAAAAUUCAGUCCUCUUCUUAAUAAUAAUUAAAUCUACUACAUACCUAACAAAUGGCAAUCCUUGUUCGUUUGCAUAAUUAAAUAUAUGAAAAAAUUAGAUUUACCGGGGAAGACGCCUUAUCUGAUUUGACCAACUACGUACUUGUUUGUUACUAUUUUGAUUGUAUUGGGGUUCUAUUAUAUUCUACAAUCCUUUGUAUCGGUUGGUCAUUCAUAUGAUGAAAGUAUCAAGUCUUGUGUUGUAAUUGGUGUUUGUUAGCCCUACUAUAAUUAAACAAAUGCUUAAGUUGUUGUAAGAGAUAUAAUAAGAGGGGAAAAAUGAAACAUAGGAACAUACCUAUGGUAAGUACCGAAGCAAUGAUAAUUAGUUCCCCGGCUACAGAAGAUACACCGAUUAGAGCAACAAUUAGAAUGGGAACUAUGGCCAAACAUCUUGUUAAGAAAUUUCAGAUCCAUGGCUUCAAUCGUAGAUCAAGGAUGCCCUGCAAUGUAUUUUUCCAAACAUGUGAGGAAACAUCAGAACAUCUCAGCUUCUUCUAUGAAAUCUGUAUACAAUUGCAAAUUUUAACCUAUAGAAUUUUCUACAGCUGCCGUGGAAAUUGAAAAUCUGGAGGAGAGGAGCUGAGAUGAGGUGGAGUGCUGUCAGUUCGUAUCUGUUGACUGUAACGCAGAGUGACAUCAAGGAUCGGAUAUUAGAAGCAGAGAUAUCCACGAUGUCAAUGUUGGGAUGAUUUAAAUUAAAUUUUCCAAGGCCAAUGCUUUAUUUGAGAAAAUUGAAAUCUAUUAUUAUUGAAUUUAAGUAAAGUGUCUAUUUUGUAAGUUGUUUUUUUAUUUUCGAAAAUUUUUAAAAAGAAAUUAAAGAAUGCAUGGCCCAUAUUCAGUCUUAAAACGAGCGGUCCAAAUCUGAUGAAAAUAGCGGGUGCACCCGGUGCACUAGAUGCACUGAAGACCUAUGCAUCAGCCAACACAACAAUAACCGCUUCACUUAAAUAUAUUUACAAAAGGUGCUUUAACUUAAUAUAAUUAAAAGUAGGAAACUUUGCCAAGGUGAUCCAUUGUCUCCUUAUUUGUUUUUAUUGUGCUCGAAAGAUUUUUCAGCUUCAAUUAACAAGUACGAGAAGGAAAAGAAGAUACAUGACAUGAAAAUUUACAACAGAGCCCUUAUAUUUUCCCAUUUAUUUUUUGCAGUUGAUUGUAUAAUGUUUGCAAGAGCAAAUAUGGAGGAAAGGACAAAAGCUUCUAAUGAGGCCGUGCGAAAGCUCUCCAUUUCUGCGCACUGAGGCGAGUUGCUGUCAUACAUAGCUCCGGCUGCGGGUGCGCUCCAGUUGUGCGACAUCCGGUUGUGACUUUGGCAAGCAUAACUAGGAUCUGAGGUUUCCUCAGAUCAUCUCUCUUCUUUUCUCGUUCCUCUUGUCUUGCUUGUAGAUCCAUUAAUGGCGAUCAUCUUCUUCGUUGAACUAUUCUAAAGUGGGUGAGCUUCUGGAGAGAGUUCCGAAGGUUGUGAUCUGGUUGGCGACCGCUUGGCGGCUCCAUGAUAGCAAUUUCGUUCUUCUUCUAGUUGAUUCUCCUCUAAUUAUGCGCUUCUAAUGAGUGAAGGUCCUAAAUCAUGGAUCGAGUUGUUCUCUAUGUCAAAUGACUUUAAGCUUGAUUUUGUUGAGUCUGACCAAAUUGAUGGUGCUCUUCAAAUCCCCAAAAUGUUGUGGAUGAAGGACUUCAGAGAUUGAAGUUAUGCCUCGUCGCACAAUUCCUUGGCGAUCCUCCGACUAUGCCUAAGCAACAAGUGAUUGCUAAUUGGUUAUGGGGGAGAGAUGGCUUCAUUAGGGUUUAUGCUAUGGAAAAUGGCCUUUUCAAUUUCAAUUUUGUUUGUUGAGAAGUUUGAUUGGAUCAUCGGCUCGGGGCCUUGGCACAUGAAGAACUCUUCUAUUCUCUUUCGCCGUUGGGGAAUAGACAUCCAUCUGAUUGUCAAUACGGAAAGUGUUACGCCUGUUUGGCUAAAGUAUCAAAUGUUUCGAUGCCACUUCAAAAUAAGAAAGGACUCACUCGGUUGGCUAGCACCAUUGGUAAGCCAUUGAAUAUGGACAUGACUAUGAAGGAUGUUGUUGGCUCUAAAGCCAAGGUUUGUAUUGCUAUCGAGACAUCUCAAAUGUUACCUGAUUCCAUUCCUAUCUCAGUUGUUGGUAAGCCUCCCAUUCUAGUUAAGGUGGAGUAUGUGCACCAUCCAUUGUGUUGCAUUUCUUGUGCAGUCUUUGGCCGUUGCAGCUGUCUUGGGACUUUGGUCGUUGCAGCUAUCUUGGGACUAGGGUAUAGGAUAAGGAUAAGGGAUGUGGGAUUGCUAAGACGCUUGAUAUCUCUAAAGUUUUGCAAGAACCUGUUUCUGAUACCCUAGAGGUGGUUAUUCAGAAUACUACGGCAGAGGUGUGUUGCCCAGAAUGUUGUUCCAGAGUUCGUUGUUCAAAAUUUAUCAGUAAAUGAGCCUGCUACUUCCAUGGGAAUCCCUGUUGCCUCAACUAGUAAAGUGAGAAGUGAAACUUCUACUAGUAAGCCCCUUGUGCCUGCUCAGACUAAGAAGCAAAAAGCAAAAUUAAAUAUGGAGAAUUGGUUCAACCAUCUGUCAUAUCAGUCGGAUGAUAUUCUCUCCAAUUUGGGUGACCAUCCCUUUGUUAAUGGUGAAAGUCGCAAGAAGAGUUAAUGAAUGUUCUUUCCUAGAAUCUUUGGAGGUAUAAUUCCCUUAAAAAUAUAGGUUUUUAGUUUCUUACCUUGAAAAGUAUAAUAUAAAUGUAGUAGCUAUACUAGAAACUAGAGUUGCUAUAGGUAAAGCUGAUGAUAUUAUAGUUAAAAGCUCUCUGUCUUGGAACUUCUUUGGUAACUAUGAUAAGAGCAAGUUGGGAAAGAUUUGGAUUCUAUGGAGAUCCAGUCUUCAUUUUACAUUUUCCUGCUACUCGGAUAAAUUUGUCUUGGUUGAGAUUGGUGGUGGUCCUAAUUUCAUAUUUGUAAUAAAGAAAAUGAAAGACUAAAGAUGUAUACUGAUUUAUUUUUAGUAUUAUUAAGGAGAUGACCACCGUGUUUGCUACUGUUGGGGACUUUAAUAC
rnacentral:lncRNA from 1 species